CGGAGAAGGUGUAGGGCGAGAUAUGCACGAGCGCGCGCGCCCACGACGACGAGUAGUCCGACGACAUCCUCCCACCACGAUCUCCACCGGUGCGCGCUCGGUGCUGGAUCGGGGAUUUUCUUUCUCUCUCUUUGGGAUGGUUGGAUCGGUGACUGGGGAAGGAGAGAGAGUCGGGGUGCGAUGGAGGAGAAGAUGUGUGCGUGGUCUGCACGGGGACCAACCAGCCUUGCUGGGGCCAGAAGGUAUGCGCUCCGUCCGAUCUGGUUAUGGACGGCGCAGAGGAGAUCGUAUAUUUCUUUAUUGUUUUGCGGGAGAGGGGAUCGUGUCAGUCCGGGUCACGUGCUAGUCUUGAGGGGGGCUCCUAAUCACCGCAUGGAGCGAUGGACUGCGAGCAAACACGCAGCCACACUCCUGCGGCUCGCCCCGGACGCGGUCGCAUUCCUUUUUUUUUUUUGCUUUUUAUUUACUAAAUUAAUAAAAUGUUUACCAAAGUUAAUAAUCAUAUAAGAAUUUUAAAGAAAAUAUUCUAGAAAUAUAAAAAACGUUAGUGAAUUUAUAAAAAUAUUUCAAAAAGUUUUUGAAGAUUCUGAAAAUAGUUGAAAGUAUGAAAAUGUCCAUGGUUUGAAAAAAUAGGUUCAUGAAUUCAUAAAAUAUUAGUAAAGUUGAAAAAUAUUCAGGAAUUCAAAUAAAUUUAAUAAAUUUAUUAAAUAAUCAUGAAUUUAAAAAUGUUCAAAAGGUGUUCAUGUAUUUAAUAAAUGUUCAUGAAUACAAAAUUUGUCACAAAUUUCAAAAAUGUUCAUGAUUUUCAAAAAUGGUCAUGGAUUCAUAAAUGUUCAUGGUUUCAAAAAUUGUUCAAGAAUUCCAAAAAUAUUCACGAAUUUUAAAAUGUUCGCGUUUCAAAAGAAGUUUGUGAAUACAAAAAGUCUUCUAAGAUUAAAAAAUCACAAAUUUUAAAAUUGUUACUGAAUUCAAAAUAUAUUAGUGAUUUCCUAAAACAUUGAAGAACUUAAAUUAUAUUCACGAAUUCCAAAAAUGUACGCCAAUUUGAAAAGAAAUCAUGAUUUAAAAAAUAUUCAUUAAUGUAUUCAUGAUUUUGAAUCACAUAUUUAUAAAAAUGUCUAUACAUUUAAAAAUAUAUUUGUAAACAUGGAAAAUAUUCACUAUUUAGAAAAGUAUUCAGAAAUAAAAAAAUGUUAGCAACUUCACAAAAUGUUCACAAAUUGAAAAAAUGUUCACAUAUUCAAAAAAUGUUCGUAAUUUCAAAAUAUGUUUGUGAAUCUGAAAAAGGAUCAUGCAUUUGGUUUAUAUAUUCAAAGAUAUUCCUCGAAAAAAAUGUUUGUGAAUUCAUAAAUUGUUCACGAUUCCAAAAUUAGAAAAAAAAAUGGAAAAAAUAAGUAAAAAAAAUAAAAAUAGAAAGAAGGAUAAAAAAAGGCACGCAAGGUUAUAUAAGCUUCCUAAAACCAGUGUAAAACAAAUAUUAAAAGAGCAUAAACUGGCUGGCCCAUAUAAGCAUUGGAAUAUGUGUUACGUGCCUAACGAGCGACCUACACGGUAAAUAGGAACCUUGAGACGCUGCAAGACCAAUAGAAAAAGGCAAGCUUACAUAGUUGGUGGACUCGUGGUGGUGAGUCGAGUAAGCAUAUCAAUAAACCAAUCUCCCUCUAAAAACAAUUGACCAAUCGAUCGGGCCUGCAUAAAUAAGGAAACAAAAUUGAUCAUAUCUAGGAGUUCAUCUCGGACGGGAAACUAUAAUCUAUGUUAAGAUUUGGUUGUGUCAUUAUUGAUUACUAGUUAAAUGCUCCGUGCGUUAUUGAUUACUAGUUAAAUGUCCCGUGCGUUUUCACGAGACAACAAAACAAUGUUUCUCUAAUUGUAUUUGUCCCACUUCAUCUCUUUCCCACAUGGUCCUAUUUUCUCAAACAUGCAUACCCCACCUCCUCCCCUUUUAUCUUGGUCUACUAAUUUUCUCUAGCUUUGGUAUCAUCACUCUUCUUCGCUCCAUAUGGCUCGACCAUAACAUGUUAAGUUUGCGCUUAUGAUGCUUGUCAUUUGUUUUUUAUGGCGGCUGCUAUGAAUUGGCCGGAGAAAUCAUCUGGCUAGACGGCCAUCUGAUCAGCGCGCUGUGGCCCGUUGGAUGACAGCAACGUCAUGGCAGCAAUAAGCGCAUGGCUGCACCCCGACAAAAGUUGCACUACAACUUAUGGCGCACCGCUGACGUCCGGCAGAACUCCAACGCAACAUAAAUGAAUGCAAACUCCGACAGAACUUCAAUGCAACACUGCCGGCUUCGGUAAAGCUCUGAUGCGAAUCUGACAGAGCUCCAAUGCAGCAUCGAUGGCUCCGGUCAAUCUCCAAUCCAACUCCGGCAGAGCUCCAAUGCAACACCAACGACUCGGGUCAAGCUCCAACGCUGCACUAACGGCUCCAGUGAAGCUCAAAUGCAAUGUAUGACCGACGCUCAUGGCAGCACCGCUGGCAUGAUGAAGCUCCAUUGCAGCCAGAGUUGAGGGAGAUGCCCCCGUCGCAACUGCAGAGGCCAUGACGAGGAUGAAACAACAGUUGUUGCGGCCAUGGCGUGGAUCGAGGAUGAACCAAGAAUGGUUGUGGCCAUGGUGAGGAAGAAAAACCAGCGGUUGCGGCCAUGGAGAGGAUGCGACAACAACGUGUGCUACGAGGAGGAGUGGGUGAGGUAGUCAACCAUGGAUUUCAGUGGUUGGAAGGAUCGUAGCAAAAGGCGUGUGGGUGUUGCAUGUCGCUGGUUGGAGGAAGCCGACCCUAGCUGCAGGUUGUCGCCGGUCACUGCAAAGCCAUCCCCGGCUGCUCCAAAAAGGUCCAUGGCCAUAAAAAUAUGCAGGUGCGCAGUGCAAAGUGGCCCCUGUAGCAGCAAUAACAACAACUUCGUCAGCCGGGGUGGAAGAAGGCAGGAAGAGAGAGGAGAGCAAUGUUUGAGAAGGGUUGAGGAGAGGGGGGCAGUGGGAUUUACCCCCAAUUCAAAGGAAUAAGACAAGGGGAGAAGAUGGGCAAAGGAAGGAUAAGACCAUGAGUAGCUGGGCAUGGGCGGUGGUAGGGUCAUGGAUGCGUGUCGACACCUCGGGGAGGCUUAAGACGCGUUGUAAUCGGUUAGUUGAUUUUAAUACUUUUCCUUUUUUCUGAUGACACUCAUGUGUAAAUGUGUUUUUCUCUCUUUAAAACUUGUGCUAACCAGACCAUUCAAAUAAAUGUUUCAUCUAGAUUUUCUAUCAUCUUGCACCAUCUUCACAUGUGCUCGUACUUGUACAAGACCUAGGUUGAUGGUCAUUGUUUGCUCAAAGCAAGUGUAGCCAAAGCAUACUGAGUUGGAAAGAUGAAACAUAAAAUAUGGAUGAAGUCUUACUGAAAUCUAAUAAGGACGUAUAGAAACUUAAUAUAGUUUGCUCAUGUAGUUGCCCACUGAACAUAAAGAACCAUAAUGAGACAUGUGAAAAAUAACUAAGUGCAUAUCAGGUGUUUUUUAGACAAUGGGUACACCCUUUCAUUCAUUCAUAAUAUUUUAUUUACAAACAAUGGUCCUGAUAACAUCACGAACACUAUUGUCGCAAUAGGACCAACAUCAUGUUCAACCGAUGUUGCCAAAUCGUGGGUUGCCUCAUUACUAUAGUGAUUACAUGCUUGAAACUACAAGAUAGAAAUAUUGAUGAUCUAAUCUUGAUAUAUUGGACAAUGACGCCUUUUGAGGAUAUGUCAAAGUCUAAACUUUGCACCUUAUGGGGGUCCAUGGGGGUCGCCAAGAGCGGACUCUCCAGGUGCAUGUCCAUGAAGAUCAAGUGGUGUCGAUAGCCUUCCACCUUCUCAUCAGCCUUUAGGUGAGAGCCCGCAUCCGCGACAUCAACAAAGGAGACGCACGUUGUGCACUGGUCCAGGGCGGUGAACCGCAGGCUAAAGAAAUGACGAAAGAGCACCACUGAGGGCCUCAUGCCCACGAAAGCCUCACACUAAAAGGUGAAGAUAGCUAAGAGGAAGACAAAGUUGGGCUGAAGGUGCAGGGCCUGGAUCUGGUAAUGGGAAAGGAUAGCGUAGAAGAAAUCAGAGAACAAAAGGACGUGUCUGGCAUAGAUGGUGUGGAGGAAGAAGGGGUAGGCGGACUUCACCAGGCUUCUCGGCGCUACCGAGCCCGGCCAUAUGUCGGUCACUCGCCCUUCGUUCGUGUCGCGUGAUACGUCCCAAACAUAUCUAUAAUUUCUUCUUGCUCCAUGCAAGUUUUGGGUGAUAUUGCUAUGUGUUUUGUACACUUCCAUACCUUUUUCAACAUAUUUGGACUAACCUACUAACUCAGUGCACCCAGUGCUAGUUUCUGCCUGCUGAUGUGUGUGAAUUGCAGGUUUAUACCCACAUAUACAAAGCCCGAAAAAUUCCACAGAAAAUAUAUAAAAAAUCAGCAUUUCAGAAGACUCCAGACGCCCGAAUGAGAGCGAGAGGGGGGUCACCCCCACCCAGACGGCCACCUGGCGCGGCCUAGGGGAGGCCGCGCCACCAGGCCGCCUGGGCGAGUGGGACCUCCCCUGGUGCCCCCCUUUGGCCCUAUUUUUACCCCCGUGGAGGAAACCCUGAUUCCAGAACCCUUUUCUCCAGAAGCAAUUCCGAUCUCCGCCGCCAUCGCCAACAAGUUUCGGGGAACCAUAAUUCCUAUGUUGGCACCCUAUCGGGAUGGGGAAGUGCCCCCGGAUUCAUCUCCAUCGACGUUGCUUCCUCCCUCCAUGAAGCGGGAGUAGAUCCUCCUCGAGGUUGAUGUCUUCUACAGUAGCUAUGUGGUUAAUUCUCUCUCCGUGUUGGAAAUAUGCCCUACAGGCAAUGAUAAAUAGUUAUUAUUAUAUUUCCUAUUUAAAGAUAAUCGUUUAUUGUCCAUGCUAUAAUUGUAUUGAAUGAAAACAUAGAUACAUGUGUGGAUAAAUAGACACAACAAUGUCCCUAGCAAGCCUCUAGUUGGCUAGCCAGUUGAUCAAGGAUAGUCAAGGUUUUAUAACUAUGUGCAAAGUGUUGUUGCUUGAUAAUUGGAUCAUAUCAUUAGGGGAAUCAUGUGAUGGACUAGACCCAAACUAUGAACGUAGAAUAUUGAUCGUGUCAUUUUAUUGCAAUUGUUUUCUGCGUGUCAAGUAUUUGUUCCUAUGACCAUGAGAUCAUAUAACCCACUGGCACCGGAGGGAUGCCUUGUGUGUAUCAAACGUCACAACGUAACUGGGUGACUAUAAAGGUGCUCUACAGGUAUCUCCGAAGGUGUCCGUUGGGUUAGUAUGGAUCAAGAUUGGGAUUUGUCACUCCGUGUGACGGAGAGGUAUCUCGGGGCCCACUCGGUAAUACAACAUCACACACAAGCCUUGCAAGCAAUGUGACUAAGUGUAAGUCACGGGAUCUUGUAUUACGAAACGAGAAAAGAGACUUGUCGGUAACGAGAUUGAAAUAGGUAUGCGGAUACCGACGAUCGAAUCUCGGGCAAGUAACAUACCGAAGGACAAAGGAAAUGACGUACGGGAUUGCGUGAAUCCUUGACACUGAGGUUCAACCGAUAAGUUAUUCAGAGGAUAUGUAGGAUACAAUAUGGGCAUCCAGGUCCCGCUAUUGGAUAUUGACCGAGGAGUACCUCGGGACAUGUCUGCAUAGUUCUCGAACCCGCAGGGUCUCCACACUUAAGGUUCGGCGAUGUUUUAGUAUAGUUGAGUUAUAUGUGUGGUUACCGAAUGUUGUUUGGAGUCCCGGAUGAGAUCACGGACGUCACGAGGGUUUCCGAAAUGGUCCGGAGAUGAAGGUUGAUAUAUAGGAUGACCUCAUUUGAUUGUCAGAAGGUUUUCGGGCAUUACCGGGAAUGUACGGGGAGUGACGGAUGGGUUCCGGAUGUUCACCGGGAGGGGGCCAGCCCACNNNNNNNNNNAGGGAAGCCCAUAGGCCCUAGGGGUGGCGCACCAGCCCUUGGUGGGCUGGUGGGAUAGCCCGAAAGGGCCCUAUGCGCCAAGGAUAGAAAAUCCAAGAGAAAAGGAAAAGGAAAAAAGAGGUGGGAAGGAAGGGAAGGACUCCACCUUCCAAUCCUAGUUGGACUAGGAUUGGAGGUGGACUCCUCCACCUCCUUGGCCGGCGCACCCUUGGGGUAUUGGACCCCAAGGCAAGACUCCCCUCCCCUCCUCAUAUAUAUAGUGGAGUUUUAGGGCUGAUUUGACACAACUUUUGCCAUAGGAGCCCGACCACAAACACCACGGUUUUUUUCCUCUAGAUCGUAUUUCUGCGGAGCUCGGGCGGAGCCCUGCANNNNNNNNNNNNNNNNNNNNNNNNNNNNNNNNNNNNNNNNNNNNNNNNNNNNNNNNNNNNNNNNNNNNNNNNNNNNNNNNNNNNNNNNNNNNNNNNNNNNGGGAGAGGAUCCAGUGCACCAAAAUGGCUACGAAAAUCAUAUAUGUGUCCUUUGGUGCUUGUUUACGUCACAUGCAAGGAAUGAGAAUGAAAUACAACCGUCUCGGCGUCGGGCUCGAACUCAAACAUUGAGAAUCUCAGUUUUUAAAUCCCAGUAAAUCCAAAACUCAUCCAAAAAUAAUGAGACUUGGCAUGGUGUCAUGACAUGGUACAUAUCUGCCUUGGAAUUGUUUCUGUCCAUUUUGGGGCAAGCUUUAUUACAAGCCGCUUACAAACCGGAGCUUCUCUCCCAAGAAGCCUCAUGGUUCCGAUAGGGAAACAUGUCCUCCUUGUGGGCAAAAUGAUAAUCGCUGCCUCUUCUUGCAUUGUAUUAUUUUCUACAGGCAACAUGGAACAACAUGGUAUUUGUGUUGAGAUUUGAAAUUAUUUUGGGUUUGUUUGGACUUUUUUAUACAUUAAUUGAGUUUUCUAGGGAUUUAAUGUCCGUAUGUAAUUCAAAUCUGAACUACAAAUAAAUGCCCGAGUGCACCAAAAUGGCUAGAAAAAUCAUACAUGUUUCCUUGGGUGCAUGUUUAAGUCCCACGCAAGGAAUUAGAAUGGAUUACAACCCUAUCACUAUCCUGGCUCGGCCUCAAACACUGGAAUCUUGAUUUUGAAGUCCUCGUAAAUCCAAAGCUCACCAGAAAAUCAUGAAACUUGGUAUGGUGUCACAACAUGGAACAUAUAUAUGUCGUGGUAAAAAAGUUGUCCAAUUUAGGCAAACUGGAGCUUCUCGCAAGAACCCACGUGGUCCCGAUAGGGAAACGUGUCCCCCUUGUGGGCGAAACGAUAAUCACUACCUCUUCUUGCAUUGUGUUGUUUUCUACAGGCAGUAUGGAAUAACAGUGUAUUCAUGCUGAAAUUUGAUAUUAUUUAGGGUUUGUUUGGCCUUUUUAUACAUUAAUUGAGUUUUCUAGGGAUUUAAUGUCCAUAAUUCAAAUUUGACCUACAAAUACAUGCUCCAGUGCACCAAAAUGUCUAGAAAAUCGUACAUGUGUCCUUGGGUGCAUGUUUAAGUCCCAUGCAAGGAAUGGGAAUGGAUUCCAACCGUAUCAGUGUCCCGGCUUGACCUCAAACACUUGGAAUUACGGUUUUUAGGUCCCCAUAAAUCCAAAACUCACGAGAAAAUCAUGAAACUUGGUAUGGUGUCACAACAUGGAACAUAUAUGUCGUGGUAAAAGAAUUGUCCAAUUUGGCCAAUCUUUAUUACAAACCGUAGCUUAUCGCAAGAACCCUCAUGGUUCUGAUAGGGUAACGUGUCCCCCUUUGGGCGAAACGAUAAUUGCUCCCUCUUCUCGCCUUUUAUUUUUUUCCUACAUGCAACAUGGAAUAACAUGAGAUUCGUGCUGAAAUUUGAAAUUAUUCAGGGUUCGCUUGGCCUUUUUAUACAUUAAUUGAGUUUUUUAAGCAUUUAAUGUCCAUAAUUCAAAUAUGAACUACAAAUACAUGCUCCAGGGCAUUAAAAUGUCUAGAAAAAUCAUACAUGUGUCCUUGGGUGAAUGUUUAAGUACAAUGCAAGGAAUGGAAAUGGUUUAGAACCGUAUGAGUGUCCUGGCUCGGCCUCAAACAGUGGGAAUCGCGGUUUUUAUGUCCCCAUAAAUCCAAAACUCACAGGAAAAUCAUGGAACUUGGUAUGGUAUCACAACAUGGCAUAUAUAUGUCAUGGUAAAAUAAUUGUCCAAUCUGGGCUAGUCUUUAUUACAAACCUCUUACAAAUCGGAGCUUACCGCAAGAACCCUCGUGGUUCCAAUAGGGAAACGUGCGCCCCUUGUGGGCAAAACGAUAAUUGUCGCCUCUUCUUGCCUUGUAUUUUUUUCUACAUGCAACAUGGAACAACAUGAGAUUCGUGCUGAAAUUUGAAAUUAUUCAGGGUUCAUUUGGCCUUUUUUAUACAUUAAUUGAGUUUUCUAGGCAUUUAAUGUCCAUAAUUCAAAUCUGAACUACAAAUAGAUACUCCAAUCCAUCAAAAUGGCUAGAAAAUAUUACAUGUUUCCUUGGGUGCAUGUUUAGGUCCCAUGCGAGGAACGAGAAUGGAUUACAACCGUAUGAGUGUCUUGACUCAGCCUCAAACAUUGGAAUCUCGGUUUUUAUGUUCCUGUAAAUGCAAAAAUCACCAGAAAAUCAUGAAACUUGGUAUGGUCUCACAACAAGGCACAUAUAUGUCGUGGUAAAUGAACUGUCCAUUUUGGGCAAAUCUUUAUUACAAACCUCUUGCAAACCGGAGCUUAUUGCAAGAACCCUCAUGGUUCUGAUAGGGAAACGUGCCCCCUUGUGGGCAAAACGAUAAUUGUUGCCUCUUCUCACCUUGUAUUUGUUUCUACAUGCAACAUGGAACAACAUGAGAUUCGUGCUAAAAUUUGAAAUUAUUCAGGGUUCGUUAGGCCUUUCUAUACAUUAAUUGAGUUUUCUAGGCAUUUAAUGUCCAUAAUUCAAAUCUAAACUACAAAUACAUGCUCCAGUACACCAAAAUGGCUAGAAAAAUAGUACGUGUGCCCUUGGGUGCAUGUUUAGGUCUCAUUGAAGGAAUGGGAAUGAAUUACAUAGGUCUCGUUGUCCUAAAACAUUGAGAAUCUUGGUUUAUAAAUCCCACUAAAUCGCAAACUCACCCAAAAAUCAUGAAACUUGGCAUGGUUUCUUGACAUGGCACAUAUAUGCCGUGGUAAAAAAAUUGUCCAAUUUGAGACAAGGUGCACACAUUAAUACCCAAUGCAGUCCUUUGGAACAAAUAGCUGAUAUGUUACUAUCACAAACAAUUGUAUUAUGUGAACCAUGUGUGUUCCUGCAUCGAUUUAAGUGCAGCCACGCGUCCCUCUUUUUAUAGGAGAGUACUACCCCGGUCCUGGUUCAUUGGUCCUCUUUGUAUUUUGUGCAAAAAUUUAACAAUAGUCGACGGCGUGUGAUACGUCUCCAUCGUAUCUACUUUUCCAAAUCUUUUGCCCUUUUUUUGGAGUCUAAUUUGCAUGAUUUGAAUGGAACUAACCUGGACUGACGCUGUUUUCAGCAGAAUUGCCUUGGUGUUAUUUUUGUGCAGAAAUCAAAGUUCUCCAAACGUCCUAAAAAUUUACCGGGAGCAAUUUUGGAAAAUAUGAAAAAUAACUGCGCCAAGUUCCACCUGAGGGGGUGGGCCAGUGGGCCACAAGCCCUGGCUCCGCCACCCCCUGGUGGCGGUGGGCCGGCUUGUGGGGCCCACACGGCUCUGCCGCCCUCAUCAUCAUCAACCUUCUUCCCUCUCCAAUUCCAUGAAGCUCUUCAUCGUUCGUGAGUAAUCUAUUCGUAGGCUCGCUGGGCGGUGAUGAGUAGGAUGAGAUCUAUCAUAUAAUCGACUUAGUUUUGACGGGGAUUGAUCUCUAGUAUCCACUAUGUUCUGAGAUUGAUGUUGCUACUACUUUGCCAUGCUUAAUGCUUGUCAUUAGGGCCCGAGUGCCAUGAUUUUAGAUCUGAAAUUAUUAUGUUGUCACCAAUAUAUGUGUGUUUUAGAUCCGAUCUUGCAAGUUGUAGCUACCUACUAUGUGUUAUGAUCCGGCAAUCCCGGAGUGACAAUAACCGGAACCACUCCCGGUGAUGACCCUUGUUUGAGGAGUUCAUGUGUUCACCAAGUGCUAAUGCGUUGGUCCGGUUCUUUAUUAAAAGGAGAACCUUAAUAUCCCAUAGUAUCCUUUUGGACCCCGGUGCCACAGGAGGGAUGGACAAUAGAUGUCAUGCAAGUUCUUUUCCCUAAGCACGUAUGACGACACACGGAAUGCAUGCCUACAUCACAUUGACGAACGGGAGCUAGCCACAUAUCUCUCCAUGUUAUAACUGUUGCAUAAUGAAUAUCAUUCAAACAAAUCACCGACCCAUUGCCUACGAGUUUGUCCCACUGCUGUUGUUACUUGUUUUUCUCUGCUCUUGUUACUACUGUUGCUGCUGUUGUUACUUGUCUUGCUCUGCUGCUACUGUUGCUACUACUGUCGCUUGCUACUGUUUCUACUUGCUACUGCUGUCACUACUGCUUUUCCUUGCCGCUGCUAUUGCUCGUUACACUACUGCUACCUGCUACAAUCUUGAUCGCUGGUCGUUGACGGGAACUGACAAUUUCCGUCCACGAGGCAACUUGGCGCCAUUGAUACAAUCGUUAGAAAUAGUCUGCCGUGUCAACAAAUCGUUUCUGACACCGUUUUUAUCAUAUUACUUUGGUGUUACUACUUUGCUUGCAGAUACUAAUCUUUCAGGUGUGGUUGAAUUUGACAAAUUCAACUGCUAAUACUCGAGAGUAUUCUCUCACCUCCUGUUUUGGCGAUCAACAAAUUUGGGUCGAAUACUCUACCCUCGAAAACUGCUACGAUCCCACGCACUGGUGGGCCGUCAACAAGCUUCUACUAGUUUCGAUUGCCGGAGAGUGCUAGUAGCAUUCUUCUGGUGUCGUUACAAGGGGAAGAACAGUUGACAUCAGCGUGCGUGUAACUAUUUGAUUUGAUGGGACGAGCGCGAGCAGUGCGCCAUGCACGUUCGAUGAGACGUGUGUGAGUAGUCUGAGCCAUUGUUUAACAUGCGGAUAAUUAAAGCACCUCGACAGAGGGUGUUUUCUUGUGAUUCCAUGGCCCCACUCAUCCUUAAGCAUUUUAUUUUCUCAUGCCUCGCUGAGAACGUGAUUUUAGCUUGUUUCCAACUCUUAUUCUAGAUAAUUUAAAAUGCCACAUGCGACAAUGGAUAAUACGACAACAAAAUAAAAUGGCAACAGAUAGUGUGAGGACAAAUUUAACAUGGCGCGGAUAAUAAUUUUCAUACAUAUUCCAAAUAAUUUUUAAUGCCACACACGGCAAGGCAGGAAAGACACAUGGGCAAGAGAAGAAGCAAACGCAAACAACAAUCUGGGUCGCUACUGUCUCUACUCCUUAAUGGAUCCUCGGGUGACGAGUUCCUCCAGCUCCUUCUUCAAAUCCUCACGACUUUGCUUGACAGUAGCCACGGAUUCCUGCACCUCCUGCUUGCUCUCGAUGUGGAGCUUCCUCUAGUCACCCAUAAUUUCCUCGACGACCGCUUCCAACAUUAUCCCCGAGGCACUGCUCUGCUCAUGCAGCUUCAUCCAGCCCGCGAUCUCCUCCUCCUUCUUGGCGAGAUCCUUGAGGAGCUUUGCAUUGUCACCCAUGAGUCACACGACGAGGUCUAUUGCCUUCUAAACCAAGGCAACGUUAAUCUUGAGUAGGUUCACCAAUCUAUCGACUAGCUCCUCCUACCUAUCUAGGCGAGCGAGACUAGCAUCAUCGAUGGCCAAGGAUUUGACACCACCAUUUCUUCGCGUUCGUCGAUGCGGCAAGUGCACUUGCAAGAGCCCUCGCCUGUUAGUGAGAGCUAGUUUGAGGGCUCCACGACGCGCCAUGACAUCUUUGACACGUCUCCCAUGCAGUGACAAGACCUAUCUAGUGCUUCCGCGGCUUUGGUCCUUGCUCCUUGGUUGUAUGUCUACCUGAAACUCCUCCUACCGGUCAUGGCAGAACGACUUGACAUUAAAGACCUAUUUUGUGGGUGAUGAGGAGGAAAUGAGAAGUAAUUUUUUAGUGGGUAGUUUUUACAGCCCGGGGCUAAGUGUGAACACAUUUAGGUUUGAUCGGUGUGAACAGAUUUGCAAUUACUUAGUGCAUGGUAAUCUGGAAUGUGACGAGAAACAAGCUCAAAAUAUAUUGAUGGUUCUAGGCUCCAAGCCCGAAACACACCUUCAUAUGGCUACGUUCAAGAGCUAUUUGCAAUAAUUAUGCAUGUGCUUGCUUGCCGUUUAGGCGGCUGCGGCAUGCUCUCCUCGCGUCCCUCCACGCGCUCUGCUCACCGUGUAGGCCCCAAGGCACGCUCGGGUCGCGUCCCUGCGCACGCGCUUUGCUAGCGGUUGGGGCCUACGCACAACCAAUCUUGUUAAGUUGAACCAUUUCUGUUGUGUUACCUAAUAAAAAACAGUUCGUCUGAGCGAACCAUAUGACGCUCUUCCAACGGUUGGGGCCUGCCCACAAUCACGUUUGGGGCUCCAUAUGCAUGCAGUUGCGCCACAAGCGUCUCCCGAUGCGGUUAUGUGCUCCACGACUGAAUCAUGUGCUGCAAAAACUGCCAUCCGGAUGUACCGGUUUUCGAGGACAUCUGCCCCUCAUUUAUACCCGCGGCCAUUAACCCUAGUCUCAUCACUCUUUCCAUCAUGCCCCACAACACAAUAAGCACACCCUCGACGAUGCAUAUAGAUAGGAUAUCCAACAGCGUUGCAAUGGAGUUCAACAUGCAUCUUAUGGAGACCCAGAUGAGGAAGAUAGACCUAACGGUGGUGUACACCAAUGACCCGGUCAUGGUGGGGGAUUCCAUCAACACUAUGGAGCGACUGCUUGCUGAGGAUGACAAGUACAAAGUGGUCACCUUCGACCUCACUUACACCGGCGAUCAUGCCGGGCAUGAUCAGAAGGUUGCCAUUGCCCAGUUGUGCAUGCACCAUCAUGUUCUCCUCUACCACUACUGCCUAGCCAUAAUGCCUUGCGAGAAUUUCACCAGGUUUGUCAAUAGCCCCAACUAUAGUUCGGUACAGUGGACACCACCAAUGAUCAAGCUUGGCCUGCCAGAAGCUUGUCGACAUCCACGUCCACUACAAGAUCUGGGGCAGCAAGAAGGAGAUGGACUCCCAUGCUGACCUGGCUGAGGCCAUCAUCGACCCCUACUACAGAGGCAUGAAGGCUGACUGCGACAAGAACAAGCCUAUAUGGCACAUGACCUGGGUGAAAAGACUGAAUGAACAUCAACUGUAGACCACAGGCAAGGAAGGGUACACAUGCUACGAGAUGUUCACGCGGAUCGUUGACAUGAGGAACUACCUCCUACCUGAAUACGUUGAGGGAUUGAGCCACAAGCAUAGUGAUGGCGGCAAGCUUCACGAGAAGUAAAUUAUGUGUUGAUCGUUUCCCAUACUCACUCUGUGCCAAAAUAUUUAUACUUUUAGUAGGCUAAGUUUAUUAUGCAUCUAAUAGUGUAUUGAGGUGUGCGCCAAUGUUAUGUGUGUAGUCACUUAUGUAUUUGGAUGCUUAAAUUAGGUUAUGCAAUCAUGUUGUCAUGUGUGUAAUUGUUUAUUGAGCUAUGUCAAUGUUAUGUGUGUAGUUAGUUAUGUAUUUGGAUGUUUAUUUCGGUUAUGCAAUCAUGUUCUUCUUCAUAGAGCAUGGAGAUGUUUGUGCGUGAGCAAAUCACAUCGCAUAUGGAUUAAAUUACCAAAUCUGUCGAUGAAAUCAUCAUCAAUCAUUGACAUGGUUGUCAUUGCCUAGAUGAUUAUUUCGGCGCCAAGGCACGCUCGGGUCGCGUCCGUCCACACGCGCUCUCCUAGCAGCUGGGGCCGACGUCCAACCCAACAGCCGUAUGCAGUGUCAAGUGUUAUCACACACGUGUUAACAUAAGGAAACAUAUGUGUAACCUACUAAUCAUCGCACAUGUGUACUCGCAUGCUGCCACCUCUUGAGCUUGCGUUGGUUUUCCCUUGAAGAGGAAAGGGUGAUGUAGCAAAGUAGAUAAGUAUUUCUCCCAGUUUGUUGAGAACCAAGGUAUCAAUCCAGUAGGGGGAACAAGCAAGGCCCCAAUCGUAGUACCUACACAAACAAUCAAACACUUGCACCCAACGCUAAAAAGGGGUUGGCAAUCCCUUCAGAGUUAUUUGCAAGGAUGAGAUCUGAUAGAGAUAGAUAAAAGAUUGCUCGAACUAAAAGUAAAACAAAAGUAAAUAAAUACCGGCAAUAUAUUUUUGGUAUUUUUGGUUUAUAGAUCUGAAAAUAUAAUAUGGAAAAUAGACCCGGGGGCCAUAGGUUUCACUACAAGCUUCUCUCAUAAAGGAAAAUAAUACAGUGGAUGAACAAAUUACUGUCGAGCAAUUGAUAGAAAAGUGAAUAAUUAUGAAGAUAUCCAAAGAAAUGAUUAUGCAUAUAGGCAUCACGUCCAUGUCAAGUAGACCGAAACGAUUCUGCAUCUAGUACUAUUACUCCACACAUCGACCAACUCCUGCCUGCAUCUAGAGUAUUAAGUUCAUGAAGAACAGAGUAACACAUUAAGUAAGAUGGCAUGCUGUUUUCUAUUGUCUCAAAAACCCUCAAAACCCUUAGUAUAUAUAGGAGGAGAGGAGGGAGAGGGCUGCGCCCUAGGGCUGCCCCUUUUUUCCCUUGCGCAAGGAGGAGAGGAGGAGUCCUCCUCCAAUCCUAUUUGGAGUAGGAUUCCUCCUUCCCACUUGGAAACUCUUUCCACCUUCUGUUUUUUCCUUCUCAAACCUUAUGGGACUUAGUGGGAACUUAUUCCAGACCACUAGGGGCUGGUUUAUCUCUUCCCACAACCCACAAGGUCCCUUGGGGCGUGACACCCCUCCCGAUGGUCCCCGGCACCCCUCCCGCACCCCCGGUACACUACCGAUGAGCCCGAAACUUUUCCGGUAACCAAAACAGGACUUCCUAUGUAUCAGUCUAUACCUCCAGACCAUUCCGGAGCUCCCCGUGACGUCCGUAAUCUCAUCCGGGACUCUGAACAACCUUCGGUCACCAACACCUAUAACUCAACUAUACCGAAACAUCACUGAACCUUAAGUGUGCAGACCCUGCGGGUUCGAGAAGUAUGCAGACAUGACCUGAGACAUUCUCUGGUCAAUAACCAAUAGCAAGAUCUAGAUGUCCAUAUUGGCUCCCACAUAUUCUACGAAUAUCUCUAUCAAUUGAACCUCUAUGUCAAGGAUUCAGUUAAUCCCGUAUGUUGUUCCCUUCAUCCUUCGGUAUGUUACUUGCCCGAGAAUCGAUCGUCGGUAUCUCGAUACCUAGUUUAAUAUCGUUACCGGCAAGUCUCUUUACUCGUUCCGUAAUAAAAGAUCCCGAAACUAACUCUUAGUCACAUUGCUUUCAAGGCUUGUUGUGAUGUUGUAGUACCGACUGGGCCCCGAGAUACCUCUCCGUCACACGGAGUGACAAAUCCUAGUCUUGAUCAAUGCCAACCCAACACACACCUUUGGAAAUACAUGUAGAGCACCUUUAUAGUCACCCAGUUAUGUUGCGACGUUUGAUAGCCCACAAGGUAUUCCUCCGGUGUCUGGGAGUUGCAUGAUCUCAUGGUCAUAGGAACAGAUACUGACAUGCAUAAAACAGUAGCAAUAAACUAACACGAUCAUAUGCUACGUUCAUAGUUUUGGGUCUUGUCCAUCACAUCAUUCUCCCAAUGAUGUGAUCCCGUUAUCAUGUGACAACACUUGUCUAUUGACACGAAACCUUGACCAUUUUUGAUCAACGAGCUAGUCAACUAGAGGCUCACUAGGGACAGUGUGUUGUCUAUGUAUCCACACAUGUAUUUGAGUUUAUAAUCAAUACAAUUCCAGCAUGGAUAAUAAACUAUUAUAAUGAAUAAAGAAAUAAAAUAAUAACCAAUUUAUUAUUGCCUCUAGGGCAUAUUUCCAACAGUCUCCCACUUGCACUAGAGUCAAUAAUCUAGUUCACAUCACUAUGUGAUUGCAAUGAACCUAACACACAUACAGUUAUGGGGUUUGAUCAUAUCUUGCUUGUGAGAGAGGUUUUUAGUCAAUUGGUCUGAACCUUUCAGAUCCGUGUGUGCUUUACAAAUCUCUAUGUCAUCCUAUAGAUGCUGCUACCACGCACUAUUUUGAACUAUUCCAAAUGACCGCUCCACUAUACGAAUACGGUUUAUUAAUCAUAGUUAUUCGGAUUAGUGUCAAAGCUUGCAUCGACGUAACCCUUUACGAUGAACUCUUUAAUCACCUCCAUAAUCGAGAAAAAUUCCUUAGUCCACUAGUUACUAAGGAUAACUUUGACCGUUGUUCAGUGAUUCAAUGUUGGAUCACUCUUUGUACCCAUUGACAUACUCAUGGCAAGGCACACACCCAGGUGCGGUACAGAGCAUGGCAUACUUUAGAGCCUACGGCUAAGGCAUAGAGGAUGACCUUCGUCCUUUCUAUUUCUUCUGCUGUGGUCGGGCUUUGAGUCUUACUCAAAUUCACACCUUACAACACAGCCAAGAACUCCUUCUUUGUUGAUCUACUUUGAACUCCUUCAAAAACUUUUCAAGGCAUGCAUUUCAUUGAAAGUUUUAUCAAGCGUCUUCAUCUAUCUCUAUAGAUACUGAUGCUCAAUUUUCUAGUAGAUCAAUCCAGGUCUUCCUUUGAAAAACUCCUCUCAAACAACCCUCCAACCAUUUGUCGGAAUCAGGGCCCACCAUCGCUUCUCCAUAGUUCGUAGGUUCAUUGUUGUCCAAUAACAUGACCUCCAAGACAGGGUUGCCGUACCACUCUGGAGCAGUACGUGACCUUGUCGACCUACUAGGUUUGUAGUAACUUGAUCCGAAGCUUCAUGAUCACUAUCAUCAGCUUCCACUUCAAUUGGUGUAGGCGCCACAGGAACAACUUCCUGCGCCCUGCUACACACUGGUUGAAGCGACGGUUCAAUAACCUCAUCAAGUUUCCACCAUCCUCCCACUCAAUUCUUUCGAGAGAAACUCUUCCUCGAGAAAGGACCCGUUUGUAGAAACAAACACUUUGCUUUCGAAUCUGAGAUAGGAGCUAUACCCAACUGUUUUGGGUGUCCUAUGAAGAUGCAUUUAUCCGCUUUGGCGUUGAGCUUAUCAUGUUGAAACUUUUCCACACAAGCAUUGCAGCCCCUAAUUUUUAAGAAAUGACAGCUUAGGUUUCUACAAACCAUAGUUCAUAUGGUGUCAUAUCAACGGAAAUAUGUGCUGCCCUAUUUAAAGUGAAUGCGGUUGUCUCUAAUGCAUAACCCAUAAACGAUAGUGGUAAUUCGAUAAGAGACAUCAUAGUAUGCACUAAAUCAAAUAGGGUGCAACUGUGACGUUCAGACACACCAUCACACGAUGGUGUUCUAGGUGGCAUGAAUUGCGAAACAAUUCCCUCAUUGUCUUAACUGUGUCCAAACUCGCAACUCAGAUAUUCAUCUCUAUGAUCAUAUCAUAGACAUUUUAUCCUCUUGUCACGACGAUCUUCACUCUGAAAUAGCUCUGAACUUUUCAAUAUUUCAGACUUGUGAUUCAUCAAGUAAAUACUCUUGUAUCUACUCAAAUCGUCAGUGAAGUAAGAACAUAACGAUAUCCACUGCGUGCCUCAGCACUCAUUGGACUGCACACAUCAAAAAUGUAUUACUUCCAACAAGUUACUUUCUUGUUCCAUCUCACUGGAAAACGAGGCCUUUAGUCAUCUUGCCCAUGUGGUAUGAUUUGCAUGUCUCAACUGAUUCAAAAUCAAGUGAGUCCAAACGAUCCAUCUGCAUGGAGUUUCUUCAUGCGUUUAUACCAAUAGGUAUGGUUUGCAUUUCCCAAACGUUUCAAAAGUGAGCGAGUACAAAGAUCCAUCAGCAUGGAGCUUCUUCAUGCAUUUUAUACCAACAUGAUUCAAGCGGCAGUGCCACAAGUAAGUGGUACUAUCAUUACUACUUUGUAUCUUUUGGCAUCAAUAUUAUGAACAUGUGUAGCACUACGAUCGAGAUUCAAUAAACCAUUGAAGGUAUUUAUUCAAGAAAAUAGAAUAACCAUUAUUCUCUUUAAAUGAAUAAUCGUAUUGCAAUAAACAUGAUCCAAUCAUGUUCAUGCUCAACGUAAACACCAAAUAACAAUUAUUUAGGUUUAACACCAAUCCCGAUGGUAGAGGGAGCGUGCGAUGUUUGAUCACAUCAACCUUAGAAUUACUUCCAACACACAUCGUCACCUCACCCUUGCUAGUAUCCUUUUAAUCCGUAGCUAUAAUUUCGAGUUACUAAAUCUUAGCAACUGAACCGGUAUCUAAUACCCUGGUGCUACUAGGAGUACUAGUAAGGUACACAUCAAUAUCAGGUAUAUCCAAUAUACUUUUGUCGACUUUACGAGCCUUCUCAUCUACCAAGUAUCUAGGGUAGUUCCGCCUCAGUGACCAUUCCCCCCAUAGCAGAAGCACUUAGUCUCGGGUUUGGGUUCAACCUUGGGUUUCUUCACUAGAGCAGCAACUGGUUUGCCGUUUCAUGAAGUAUCCCUUCUUUCCCUUCCCUUCUUGAAACUAGUGGUUAUACUAACCAUUAACAAUUGAUGCUCCUACUUGAUUUCUACUUUCGCAGUGUCAAACAUUGCGAAUAGCUCAAGGAUCAUCAUAUGUAUCCUUGAUAUGUUAUAGUUCAUCACAAAGCUCUAGUAGCUUGGUGGCAGUGACUUUGAAGAACCAUCACUAUCUCAUCUCGAAGAUUAACUCCCACUCGAUUCAAGCGAUUGCAGCACUCAGACAAUCUGAACACAUGCUCAACAAUUGAGCUUUUCUCCCUUACUUUGUAGACAAAUAAUCUUGUCGAAGGUCUCAUACCUCUCAACAAGGGCACGAGCAUGAAAUCCCAAUUUCAUCUCUUGGAACAUCUCAUACGUUUUGCGACGUUCAAAACGUCUUUGGCACCUCAAUUCUAAGUCGUUAAGCAUUACACACUGAACUAUCACGUAGUUAUAAAAAACGAGUAUGUCAGAUGUUCGCAACAUCCACACACGACGCUCGAGGUUCAGCACACCGAGCGGUGCAUUAAGGAAAUAAGCCUUCUGCGCAGCAAUGAGGACAAUCCUUGCUUUACGGACCCAGUCCGCAUAAUUGCUACUAUCAUCUUUGAACUAAAUUUACUCUAGGAACAUAUAAAAAUUAGUAGAUCUACAACGCAAGCUACAACAUAAUUUGCAAAGACCUUUUGACUAUGUUCAUGAUAAUUGAGUUUAGCUAAUCAUAUUACUAAUAACUCCCACUCAAAAUAGACAUCCCUCUAGUCAUUUGAGUGGCGUAUGAUCCAAAUCCACUAACUCAAGUCCGAUCGUCACGUGGGUUGAGUUCAGCUUCAAUGGUGAACAUCUCCAUGUUGAUCGUAUCAACUAUAUGAUUCAUGCUCGACCUUUUGGUCUCUUGUGUUCCGAGGCCAUGUCUGUACAUGCUAGGCUCGUCAAGUUUAACCCGAGUGUUCCGCGUGUGCAACUGUUUUGCACCUGUUGUAUGUGAACUUUGAGUCUAUCACACCCGAUCAUCACGUGGUGUCUCGAAAUGACGAGCUGUCGCAACGGUGUAAAGUCGGGGAGAACACAAUUUUAUCUUGAAAUUUUAGUGGGGGUCACCUUAUAAUGCUAUCGCCGUUCUAAGCAAAAUAAGGUGCAUAAAAGGAUUAACAUCACAUGCAAAUCUGUGACAGCCCGAGACCGACAUUCCAGAAGAUUCCCCCUUUAUUCCGUUUCCGUCGUGUGAUUAUUUUUAUUUGUCCAAUCAUCAUGGCAUCAUGCGCAUCAUCCCCAUUGCAUCGGCAUCCAGUUGCCGCCAGUUUUCAAACUUGCAUCCAUUAGUAGUUGCCGGUUCUCUCCGUUCUCGUCGUUGCCUGUGUUUAGCCCGAUGAUAACCCACAAGUAUAGGGGAUCGCAACAGUUUUCGAGGGUAGAGUAUUCAACCCCAAUUUAUUGAUUCGACACAAGGGGAAGCCAAAGAAUAUUCUGAAGUAUUAGCAGUUGAGUUGUCAAUUCAACCACACCUGAAAGACUUAGUAUCUGCAUAAAAGUAUCAGUAGCAAGGUAGUGUGAUAGCAGCAGUAGCAACAGUAACCAGUAGCAGCAAAGUGACAGCAGUAGCAGCAAAGUAACAGCAGUAGCAACAAAGUGACAGCAGUAGCAACAGAGUAACAGUAGGAGCAGUGACAGCAGUAGAGGCAAAGUAACGUAGCAAGGACCAGUAGGAAAAACUCGUAGGCAUUGGAUUGGUGAUGGAUGAUUAUGCCGGAUGCUAUUCAUCAUGCAACAGUUAUAACACGGAGAGAUAUGUAACUAGCUCCAGUUCGUCAAUGUAAUGUAGGCAUCUAUUCCGUAUGUAGUCAAACGUGCUUAGGGAAAAGAACUUGCAUGACAUCUAUUGUCCAUCCCUCCCGUGGCAGCGGGGUCCUUUUAAGGUUCUCCUUUUAAUAAAGAACCGGACCAACGCAUUAACACUUAGUGAAUACAUGAACUCCUCAUACUAUGGUCAUCUCCGGGAGUGGUUCCGGCUAUUGUCACUCCGGGGUUGCCGGGUCAUAACACAUAGUAGGUGACUACAACUUGCAAGAUAGGAUCAAGAACACACAUAUAUUCGCGACAACAUAAUAGGUUCAGAUCUGAAAUCAUGGCACUCGGGACCUAGUGACAAGCAUUAAGCAUGGCAAAGUAGUAGCAACAUCAAUCUCAGAACAUAGUGGAUACUUGGGAUCAAUCCCCGUCAAAACUAACUUGAUUACAUGAUAGAUCUCAUCCAACCCAUCACCGUCCAGCAAGCCUACGAUGAGAUUACUCACGAACGGUGAAGAGCAUCAUGGAAUUGGCGAUGAAGGAAGGUUCGUGAUGACGAUGGCGAAAAUCUCCCCUCUCCGGAGCCCAGAACGGACUCCAGAUCUGCCCUCUAGAGGAAGAAUAGGAGGUGGCGGCGCCUCCGUAUCGUAAAACGUGAUGAACUCUUCUCCUUGAUUUUUUUCGGACGAAAGGGACUUAAUAGAGCUGAGAUUGGAGGCGCUGGAGCAACGUGGGCCCCACAAGCCUGCCAUGCGCGGCUAGGGGGGCCGCGCCUUGUGGGCUUGUGGGCUCUCAGCUCCACCCCUCCGGUUGAUUCUUGCGCCCGUAUUUUUUAUACAUUCCAGAAAAAAUCCCCGUAAAUUUCCAAGUCAUUCCGAGAACUUUUAUUUCUUUGCAAAAACAACACCAUGGCAUUUCUGUUGAAAACAGCGGUAGUCCGGGUUAGUUCCAUUCAAAUCAUGCAAAUUAGAGUCCAAAACAAGGGCAAAAGAGUUUGGAAAAGUAGAUACGACGGAGACGUAUCAACUCCCCCAAGCUUAAAACCUUGCUUGUCCUCAAGCAAUUCAGUUGACAAACUAAAAGAGACAAAAGAAAAACUUUUACGAACUCUGUUUGAUCUUGUUGUUGCAACUAUGUCUAACUCAUAUCCAGAAUUUCAGCAACAUCACAAGCUAAACACAUAAGCAAAUGACAUCUAGGUCUCACGGUAAACUCAUAUCAAUGGCAUAAUCAACUAGCAAGAAAAUAGUAGUGAGUUUCAAACGUCAACACUUCAAUCAAAACAAUCAUGAAGCAGUAUAAUAGAUGGUAUCUCACUAGCUCUUUCUGAGACCGCAAAACAUAAAUGCAGAGCACCUUCAAAGACCAAGGGCUAACUAAACAUUGUAAUUCAUGGCAAAGAAGAUCCAGUCAGAGUCAUACUCAAUAUCAGUCAAAAGCAAAGCAUAAAAAUGACAGAGGUGCUCUCUAAUUGGUGCUUGAAUAUGAAAAGUAUGACUCAACGGGAACAUAAAUAGAUAGGCCCUUCGCAGAGGGAAGCAUUGAUUUGCAGAGGUGCCGGAGCUCAAGCUUUGAAAACAGAGAUAAUAAUUUUGGGUGGCAUACUUUCAUUGUCAAUGCAAUGACUAAGAGUUCUCACCAUCUUCCAUGCUACAGAUGCUAUAGGCGGUUCCCAAACAGAAAAGUAAAGUUUUGACUCCCCCACCACCAAUCAAUCACACUCCAUGACUAGCCGAAUAUUCGGGUGCCGUCCAUACCAACAUAAAUCCAGGGGGAGUUUUGUUUGCAAUUAUCUUUUCGAUUUGAGUAUGGAACUGGGCAUUCCAAUUACCGGCCCCUUUCUUGUGAAUGAUUGUGAAUAAACAAAAAUCAAGGAUAACACGUCUAGCAUGGAAGAUACUGAUCGCCCCUUGUCACCACAUGAGCGGUUCGGGCAUGCAAAACAGAUUAUUUCUUGAAGAUUUAGAGAGUGGCACAUGCAAAUUUACUUGGAACGGCAGGUAGAUACCGUAUAUAGGUAGGUAUGGUGGACUCAUAUGGAACAACUUUGGGUUUAUGGAGGUGGAUGCACAAGCAGUAUUCCCGCUUAGUACAAGUGAAGCCUAGCAAAAGACUGGGAAGCGAGCAACUAGAGAGCGAUAAAAGUCAUCAAAAUGCAUUGAGAUUAACCAACAUUGAGUAAAAGCAUGAGUAGGACAUAAAUCACCAUGAACAUGAAUAUCAUAGAGGCUAUGUUGAUUUUGUUUCAACUACAUGCAUAAACAUGCGCCAAGUCAAGCCACUUGAAUCAUUCAAAGGAGGGUACCAUCCUAUCAUACUACAUCAUAGUCAUCUCAAGAUUCAUGUUGGCAUCCAAGACAAACCAUUAUAAGCUCCUAGCUAAUUAAGCAUGGCAUCAGAAACUAUGAUCUCUAAGUUGUCAUUGCAAACAUGUUUCUCUCACAACAAAGCUGAAUUUGGAACGAUGAGCUAGUCAUAUUUUCAAAAACGAAAUAGAUCGAGUUCAUACCAGCUUUUCCAGGCUCAGUCACUUCAUCAUAUAUCGUCAUUAUUGCCUUUCACUUGCACGACCGAGUGAUGUGAACAAUAAUAAGAGUGCUCGUGCAUUGGACUAUGCUGGAAUCUACUGGCAAACACAAAGGAGAAGACAAAGUAAUAUGGCUCUUUGACAAAUAAGCAGAUAUGCAUGCGGGAGCCACUAAACAUUGUAACCAUGGUCUUCUACCUUGACCCAAAGAACACGAAAACUAUUUACACGGGAAAGCUCCCAACAAUCAAAAGAAGAACAAGAAAAUAUUUUUGGGUUUUUCUCAAACUAGACAAACACACGAAAAGAAAACGAGAAAAAGAAAUAAACUAGCAUGGAUGAUACAGUGGCAAAGUGUAAACACCGACUAACAAAGUGAAAGCGUAAGCAAGAAUAUAAAGUCGGUGAGAAACACGUACUCCCCCAAGCUUAAGCUUUUGGCCUAAGUUGGUCUACUCCCAAGGAGGGAUAUAACCAGCUCCAGGGUACUCCGGAGUGUACUGAGUGUGCCACUACUGUGUGAGCUCCUCUGGCUCCCACUGAUAAACUCGCGUCUGUUACUCGACUGGUGGCUCGGGCACAAGCACCUGUGGUUGGGCUAUGCCCCAAUAUGCAUGGAUGUCCGAGGGCAUAAUAAUGUACCUGUCUGUAUGAAGAUUAAACAAAGAAGGAGCAGGCAAGGUAAUAGUCUCACGAGUACCCUGACUAAAUAUCAGGUUAUAAAUCAUCCUCCUAUUUAUAUCUUUAUCAAGAAAGUCAUGGCGAACCAUGCUAUUAUAAUCUAGAUAUCUCUCAGGAAGAAGAAUCUCUUCUUCCUCGACCAGUCUAAUAGGUAUCUCAAAAUGUCUAGCAAGACGAGUAGCAUAGAUACCUCCAUAAACAACGCCUUUAGAACCGUUCGUGUUCAACCGUUGAGCUACUAUAGCGCCCAAGCUAUAAGUCUUAUCAUGAUAAAGGGCUUUGCGCAAAACCGCAAGAUCUGGGGAGCUAAGGGCCCCAGCUUUCCCACGGCCAAUCAAACAUUUUCCCACGAAUAAUGAGAAGUACCGAAGCACAGGAAAAUGUAUGCUAGCAGCUCUAGCGCAAGACACUCCUCUCUCCUCUCCUACAACAAUAAUAUCUAUGAAAGCCUCCAAGUCCCGUGGACGAGGUUCAUGAAUAUCCCCAACAUAAGGUAAUUUGCAAACAUUGCAAAAAUACUGAAGUGACAUGCGUUGGGGGAUAUCACAUAAUUUGAACUCAACCAUAGGAGGACUCUUCCUUGGAUAGAAGUUAAAGCUUUGCACAAAAAUAUUAGUGAGGAGGAGGUAUUGCGGACACUUAUCUUCAACGAAGGCGGUAAGGCCUGCGUUCUCCACCAAGUAGUAAAAGUCCUCAUAAAGCCCGACGGCGCGUAAGAACACAUUGCUUGGCCACUCGCACGCUCGAACUUCUGCAACUCGGGGGACCGGAUACUUGGGUUUCUUCUUCUCAUUCCCAUCAUCCUUGGGGCCACGGCUUGAAGAGCCUCUUAAGAACCUCCUCAUCUUUUCCUUUUUCUAACUCUGAAAAUUUCUGAAAUUUUUAGUGACUCUAAGGAGAAGUGAACAAGGCUCAAUGAAACUCGUAGCAACUACUCCGACAAGUGCCUAGGGGCCAUAUCACGCAUCAAAACUACUUGGGACCAGCUAAAAUUAGCAUGCAAAGCUCAAGAACAAGGUCCCCAAGGCAGAAAAAAUAAGCAACGUAUAGGGCACUAGAGCAAAAACUAAUUGGACCAAUCGAGGAGUCACAUCCCAAGGAGCAAUUUCCCCAAAACAGCUUGGUGAAUGGUGCUUUGCACAAGGAGAUCAAAAAUCACAGCAAGAAGAGCAAGAACACGGGUUUGAGCUGCGAAACGAUUUUUUUUGGAGGUAGGAGAAGCAAAUAGUAGCUAGAAUAAGUGGAGGGGGUGCACGUGGGCCCCACAAGCCUGGUAGGCGCGGCCAGGGGGUGCCCGCGCCUGCAGGGCUUGUGGCCCACUGGUGCACCCCCUGACUAGCUCUCCGUCUCAGUAUUUUUAAAAAAUUCCAGAAAAAAUCAUACUUGAUUUUCACGGCAUUCGGAGAAAUUUUAUUUUUGGGGUACUUUUCUACGGGACGCUAAGAGCAGAAAACAGGGACAACUAAACUAGAUCUAUCAUUUUUCUUCUAAGCUACCGAAGGUGAAAGCUUGGAACAGAGGUUUUUGACUCCUCGAUUCAUCCAUCCCAUAGUCAUUGAAAGAAAUCCGUCAAUGAGGUUGAUCAAGUCUCCUUGACAAACUUUUUCGAAUCGCAAAAGGAAACGGAUAAUUUUUUGAAUAGUCACUAGGUUACCUCAAUGGGUAUGUGCAUAUCCCCAACAAGCAAAUCAUACUUCAUCUUAACAGUAGGUAUAGGGCAUUCAAAGCUACCAAUAAGAAUCGAUGAAGUUUUUUCGAUAGCAUUGAUGCAAUGUACUCGAUAUUGUUUCUUCGGAAAGUGCACCGUAUGCUCAUUACCAUUGACAUGGAAAGUGACAUUGCCUUUGUUGCAAUCAAUAACAGCCCCUGCAGUGUUUAAAAAGGGUCUUCCAAGGAUGACCGACAUGGCAUCAUCCUCGGGAAUAUCCAGGAUAACAAAGUCUGUUAAAAUAGUAACGUUCGCAACCACAACAGGUACAUCCUCGCAAAUGCCUAUAGGGAAAGCAGUUGAUUUAUCGGCCAUUUGCAGAGAGAUUUCAGUGGGUGUGUGCUACGACGACAGAGUUCUUCUGUCGUCUCUUGAGAUUGCGUUGGUUUUUCCCUUGAAGAGGAAAGGGCGAUGCAGAACAGGAGCAGUAAGUAUUUCCCUCAGUUUGAGAACCAAGGUAUCAAUAUAGUAGGAGAAUCUCGUCAAGUCCAGAGUACCUGCACAAACACAAAAGAACUUGCACCCAACGUUAUAAAGGGGUUGUCAAUCCCUUCAAGAUUGAUUGCAAAGUGAGAUCUGAAGGCGGAAAGUGCAACGAAGUAAAAGAGUAAGGUUAAAAAUAUGGUGUGGAGUAGACCCAGGGGCCAUAGUGUUCACUAGAGGCUUCUCUCAAAAUAGAAAAUAUUACGAUGGGUGAACAAAUUACUGUCGAGCAAUUGAUAGAACCGCACAAAGUCAUGACGAUAUCUAAGGCAAUGAUCAUACAUAUAGGCAUCACGUCUCGGACAAGUAGAUCGAUACUUUCUGCAUCUACUACUAUUACUCCACACAUCGACCGCUAUCCAGCAUGCAUCUAGUGUAUUGAGUUCAUGAUGAACAGAGUAACGCUUUAAGCAAGAUGACAUGAUGUAGAGGGAUAAUCUCAAACCAAUGAUGAAAACCCCAUUUUUUACCGUUGAUGGCAACAACAUGAUGCGUGCCUCGCUACCCCUUCUGUCACUGGGUUAGGUCACCGCACGACAUGAACCCAAAACCAAGCACUUCUCCCAUUGCAAGAAUCAUAGAUCUAGUUGGCCAAACAAAACCCACAACUCGAAGAGAAUUACAAGGAUAUGAAAUCAUGCAUAAGAGAUAUCAGAAGAGACUCAAAUAAGAUUCAUAGAUAGUCUGAUCAUAAACCCACAAUUCAUCAGAUCUCGACAAACACACCGCAAAAGAAGAUUACAUUGGAUAGAUCUCCAUGAAGAUCAUGGAGAACUUUGUAUUGAAGAUCCAAUAGAGAGAAGAAGCCAUCUAGCUACUAGCUAUCACUACAGGAAUCAGCUUCUUUGCCGUCUGCCAUCACAGACGGCAAAGACUAAAUCCCGGACGGCAAAGACAAAACAACAGACGGCAAAUAAUCUCAUGGCCGGCAAAAUUUCUGCGUCAGCCUAUGACGGCAUAGGACCUUCUUUGCCGUAUGUCCCCCCAAAGCGGACGGCAAAGCUCUUUGCCGUCAGCUUUCCAUAGGAGCAGUCGGCAAAGUGCUCGAGAUGGCAGCCGACAGGCGUUGCCUCCAUUAGGGGUUAACGGAAGCUUUGGAGUCUGCCUCCCCCUUAUUCUUUUCCAUCUGCCUCCCCCUUAUUCUUUGUCGUCUGCUCCCCCUUACUCUUUGCCGUCUGCCUCCUCCUCCUCCCCCCCCUCCACUCUUUGUCGUCUGCCUCCUCCUGCCCCCCCUCCUCUGUGCCCUCUUCUUUGCCGUCUGCCCACCCUGGAGGCAGACGGCAAAGAGCCUAUAUAGACACCCCAGGAUGCACAGCUGGGUGCCAUGUGGCACCUUCGCCAUCUGCCAGCUGAUGGCACAGGUCUUUGCCAUUAGCUAGCAGACGGCAAAGAGCCCAUAUAGUACCUGUUUUUUUUUGUUUCAUAUUAUUUCACAGCACACACACACACACACACACAUAUAUAUAUAUUUGACAGCACAUUUAUAUAAUUCACCACACAUAUAUGACAUAUAGUUCACCACACAUAUACUUGCCAACACAUAUAUAUAAUUCACCACACAUAUAUGAUAUACAUAUAAAUCAAUGUACAUCCCCAUAUAUCGAAAGAACCAACAUACAAAGUAUUGCACUGUUUAUCCAUACAUACAUAUACAUAUAGUUCGACAUUGUUCAUCAACUCAAAUGAAAACUAGAUGAUAUACAUAUAAAGUUCAUCCAUCGACAUUGUUCAACUCCAUGAAUGCGAGCUUCCGUGCAUGUAGUAUAUCCAAUAUGCAAAAAUGUGAAUAAGAAAGUCAGAAGAAGAACAAAAUAUGAUGUUUUUCAGCUAAUUAUGUCAUUUUUAGCGGAAAACAAGCUAAGAAUAUAAUAUUCAUGAGCUAACCAAGGUUCUUAUGCCAUUUUUAGCUUAUUAUGGCAUUUUGGAGCUAAAUGGGUUAAUCAAAGCAAGGAUAAUAUGAAAGAGGAGAAGAAAGAGGAGGAGGAGGAGAAGAAUAAGAAAUCAAGAAGGAGGAGGAGAAGGACUAGAAGGUCCUUGGCCUUCUCCUUCUCCUCCUCCUCCUCCUCCUUCUCCUUCUUCUCUUCUUCUUCUUCUUCUUCUUCUUUCUUUUCAUUUUUCCCUAUUUCUUCUCCUCUUCUCCUCUUGUUGGAGCUAAAUUACCUAAUUAUGUCUUUUUGGAGCUAAAUGGGUUAAUUAUCCCACUUUAGAGGAAAACAAACUAAGUAUAUAAUAUUCCUGAGCUAACCAAGGUUCUUAUGCCAUUUUGAGCUUAUUAUGGUAUUUUGGAGCUAAAUGGGCUAAUUAUGUCAUUGUUGGGGAAAUUAAAGCAAGGAUAAUAUGAAAGAGGAGAAGAAAGAGGAGGAGGAGGAGAAGAAGAAGAAAUCAAGAAGAAGGAGGAGAAGGAGGAGGAGGAGAAGGACUAGAAGGUCCUUCGCCUUCUCCUCCUCCUCCUCCUCCUCCUCCUCCUUCUCCUUCUUNUUCUUCUUCUUCUUCUUCUUCUUCUUCUUUCUUUUCAUUUUUUACUAUUUCUUCUCCUCUUCUCCUCUUGUUGGAGCUAAAUUACCUAAUUAUGUCUUUUUGGAGCUAAAUGGGCUAAUUAUCCCAUUUUAGAGGAAAACAAGCUAAGUAUAUAAUAUUCAUGAGCUAACCAAGGUUCUGAUGCCAUUUUGAGCUUAUUAUGGUAUUUUGGAGCUAAAUGGGAUAAUUAUGUCAUUGUUAGGGAAAUUAAAGCAAGGAUAAUAUGAAAGAGGAGAAGGAAGAGGAGGAGGAGGAGAAGAAGAAUAAAUCAAGAAGAAGCAGGAGAAGGAGGAGAAGGAGGAGGAGGAGAAGGACUAGAAGGUCCUUGGCCUUCUCCUUCUCCUCCUCCUUCUCCUUCUUCAAUUCUUCUUCUUCUUCUUCUUCUUCUUCUUCUUCUUCUUUCUUUUCAUUUUUCCUAUUUCUUCUCCUCUUCUCCUCUUGUUGGAGCUAAAUUACCUAAUUAUGUCUUUUUGGAGCUAAAUGGGCUAAUUAUCCCAUUUUAGAUGAAAACAAGCUAAGUAUAUAAUAUUCAUGAGCUAACCAAGGUUCUUACGCCAUUUUGAGCUUAUUAUGGUAUUUUGGAGCUAAAUGAGCUAAUUAUGUAAUUGUUGGGGAUAUUAAAGCAAGGAUAAUAUGAAAGAGGAGAAGAAAGAGGAGGAGGAGGAGAAGAAGAAGAAAUCAAGAAGGAGGAGAAGGAGGAGGAGGAGAAGGACUAGAAGGUCCUUGGCCUUCUCCUCCUCCUCCUCCUCCUGCUCCUUCUUCUCUUCUUCUUCUUCUUCUUCUUCUUCUUCUUCUUUCUUUUAAUUUUUCCUAUUUCUUCUCCUCUUCUCGUCUUGUUGGAGCUAAAUUACCUAACUAUGUCUUUUUGGAGCUAAAUGGGCUAAUUAUCCCAUUUUAGAGGAAAACAAGCUGAGUAUAUAAUAUUCAUGAGCUAACCAAGGUUCUUAUGCCAUUUUGAGCUUAUUAUGGCAUUUUGGAGCUAAAUGGGCUAAUUAUGUUAUUGUUGGGUAAAUUAAAGCAAGGAUAAUAUGAAAGAGGAGAACAAAGAGGAGGAGGAGGAGAAGAAGAAGAAAUCAAGAAGGAGGAGAAGGAGGAGAAGGAGGAGGAGGAGAAGGACUAGAAGGUCCUUGGCCUUCUCCUCCUCCUCCUCCUCCUUCUCCUUCUUCUCUUCUUCUUCUUCUUCUUCUUCUUCUUUCUUUUCAUUUUUCCUAUUUAUUCUCCUCUUCUCCUCUUGUUGGAGGUAAAUUACCUAACUAUGUCUUUUUGGAGCUAAAUGGGCUAAUUAUCCCAUUUUAGAGGAAAACAAGCUAAGUAUAUAAUAUUCAUGAGCUAACCAAGGUUCUUAUGCCAUUUUGAGCUUAUUAUGGCAUUUUGGAGCUAAAUGGGCUAAUUAUGUCAUUUUUGGGGAAAUUAAAGCAAGGAUAAUUUGAAAGAGGAGAAGAAAGAGGAGGAGGAGGAGAAGAAGAAAAAUCAAGAAGAAAGAGGAGAAGGAGGAGAAGGAGGAGGAGGAGAAGGACUAGAAGGUCCUUGGCCUUCUCCUCCUCCUCCUCCUUCUCCUUCUUCUCUUCUUCUUCUUGUUCUUUCUUUUCAUUUUUCCUAUUUCUUCUCCUCUUCUUGGAGCUAYAUUACCUAAUUAUGUCUUUUUGGAGCGAAAUGGGCUAAUUAUCUCAUUUUAGUGGAAAACAAGCUAAGUAUAUAAUAUUCAUGAGCUAACCAAGGUUCUUAUGCCAUUUUGAGGUUAUUAUGGCAUUUUGGAGCUAAAUGGGCCAAUUAUGUCUUUUUGGGGAAAUUAAAGCAAGGAUAAUAUGAAAGAGGAGAAGAAAGAGGAGGAGGAGAAGAAGAAGAAGAAAUCAAGAAGAAGGAGGAGAAGGAGGAGAAGGAGGAGGAGGAGAAGGACUAGAAGGUCCUUGGCCUUCUCCUCCUCCUCCUCCUCCUCCUUUUGGAAGGACGUGGAUGUCGUCUAGAGUGGGGGUGAAUAGGCACUUUAAAAUAAUUAAGGUUUAGGCUUGAACAAAUGCAGAAUAAAACUAACGUUUAAUGUGUCAAGCACAAAACCUCAAACAACUAGGCUCACCUAUGUGCAACAACAACUUAUGCUAAGCAAGAUAAACAACUAAGUGAUAGCAAGAUAUAUGACAAGAGACAAUAUGGCUAUCACAAAGUAAAGUGCAUAAGUAAAGGGUUCGGGUAAGAGAUAACCGAGGUACGCGGAGACGAUGAUGUAUCCCGAAGUUCACACCCUUGCGGAUGCUAACCUCCGUUGGAGCGGUGUGGAGGCACAAUGCUCCCCAAGAUGCCACUAAGGCCACCGUAAUCUCCUCACGUCCUCGCACAAUGCAAGAUGCAGUGAUUCCACUAAGGGACCCUUGAGGGCGGUCACCGAACCCGUACAAAUGGCAAACCUUGGGGGCGGUCACCGAACCCGUACAUGUGGCAACCCUUGGGGGCGUUUAUCGGUACCCGUACAAAUUUCUCGGGGCAAUCUCCACAACCUAAUUGGAGACCCCGACGCUUGCCCGGAGCUUCACACCACAAUGAUUGAGCUCCGAGACACCACCAAGCUUCUAGGACGCCAAUAUCUAGGGUACUAAGUACCAAAGGUAAUAAGCUUCUCAAACUUCACUUCCACGUAUCACCGUGGAGAACUCAAACCGAUGCAACCAAUGCAAUGGCAAGAACACACGAAGUGGUCAAGUCCCUCACACUCAAAUCCCUCCACAACAACGAAAGCUAUGGAGAAAUAUGAGAGGAAGAACAAGGAGCUCACAAAGAACUCCAAGAUCUAGAUCCAAGGGGUUGCCCUCACAUAGAGGAGAAAGUGAUUGGUGGAGAUGUGGAUCUAGAUCUCCUCUCUCUUUUCCCUCAAGAACAAGCAAGAAUCAUUGGAGGGACUGAGAGUAAGCAAGCUCUAAGAAUGUCAACAACGGAGGUAGAACAAGAGCUCAACGGAUAGAUAAGGCCAAGGGGGAAGAAGACCCCCUUUAUAUAGUGGGGGAAGGAAUCAGACCGUUACCCCCACUUACAGCCCGAGCCCAACGGUACUACCGCUGGCUGCAACGGUACUACCGCUGAGCCCAUGGUAGCGCAAAGAUACUACCGGGCCAACCACUGCCAAGAAAGUCUUCGCAAAAAUGACUGACGCAGUACAACCGCAAAGAUGACGGUACUAAACAAUUGGAGCGGUACUACCGCUCGCCAGGGGCGGUACUACCGCUGGGACAGCGGUACUAUCGCCAGGUCCAGCGGUACUACCGCUCGCCACUGAAACAGCCAUAACUUUCGCAUACGAGCUCCGAAUCGAGCAAACCCAAGCUUUUUGGAUUCAGGACGACAAGAGAUAUCCAAUGAUAUAGGGAUGUGAGUCCUCUAUGAAUGAAGAACCGGCAAAAACUCCAACAUCGAAAACAUCAUAGUAGAUGCAUAUGGACUCCGUUUUUGAUGAACUCGAGCUUGUCACGAAGAUGACCAUAAGCUCUAAAACUCACAAAGAGAAACACCAAACAAGAACCAAGAAGUAUGAUGCAAGGAUGCAAAUGGUUUGAGCUCUCAACGAACGAUACGAUCAAGCUACUCACUUGAGAGCCCCCCUUGAUAGUACAGCAAUCUAUCCUAAACAAAAAACCUAUCAAGGGCAAACCUAUACCUUGCACCUCGUCCUCUUGAGCUAGAUGAUGUUGAUCUUGGCUUCCUCAAGAUGGACCACCUUUCUUGAUUGCGUUGGCUUGAUGAAGACUAGUUGAUUGCUCCCCCCUACUCACUAUGGGUGAGCCACUCUUCAGCAUAUCUUCACAAGUCCAUUGCCACCACAAUGGACGGCAAGCUUCAAGCAUGAUAUCUUUGUGUUGAUCCAAUUGAACUUGCACAUCGCAAUCUUGAUGACGAUCACAACUUGACGUCAUACUUCAUGGGUUGUAUGAGAUCUUCCCUUUGACGCAAGCCCAUGGAAACACACCUAACCCACACAUAGAACUCUCACGAAGACCAUGGGUUAGUACACAAACACGUAAUGGACAAUGCUUACCAUACCAUGGGAUCACUUGAUCCCUCUCGGUACAUCUUGUACGCUUUGUGUGUUGAUCAUCUUGAUUUACUCUUUGUCUGCGAUCUUGAUCAACCAUGUGUCUCUAUGACCAUUCUUUGGAUAAUACCUUGAAUACCAUCUUGGUCAUCAUAUAAACUCCUUGAGCCCAAGAGAUGGACUUCAAGAAGUGCCUAUGGACAAAUCCUAUAAAUGUAACUUAAGGCAACCAUUAGUCCAUAGGAAUUGUCAUCAAUUACCAAAACCACACAUGGAGAUAUAUGCUCUAACACCUUCUCUUCUUCUUCUUCUUCUUCUUUCUUUUCAUUUUUCCUAUUUCUUCUCCUCUUCUCCUCUUCUCCUCUUCUUGGAGCUAAAUUACCUAAUUAUGUCUUUUUGGAGCUAAAUGGGCUAAUUAUCUCAUUUUAGAGGAAAAAAGCUAAGUAUAUAAUAUUCAUGAGCUAACCAAGGUUCUUAUGCCAUUUUGAGGUUAUUAUGGCAUUUUGGAGCUAAAUGGGCUAAUUAUGUAUUUUUGGGGAAAUUAAAGCAAGGAUAAUAUGAAAGAGGAGAAGAGAAACUUACCGUAGUGGUCAUCAAGGAGGAGAAACACCACGGUUGCUCGCGGCGGCUUCGUUUGGAGACGGUUGCCCUGGAGAAGGGUCGUGUGAUGCCGCUCGGGAGUUAUUCUGCAGAAAAGAUAUUUUGCAAUGUCUCAGUUAGCAUGAUGACACUCAAUUAGUAAUACUAGUUUAGAAUGAAAUUCACCGUGCCAAUCGAAGAGAAGACGGGCAUCGGCGGAGGGACUUGACCGCUCUUCUCGCACAGACCCUGAAGAGUGGGUCGUAUUAGUUAGUAAUGAAACAGACAUUACACACAUGAUUUGGCUAAUGUGAAAAAAACAUAUCACAAAAAGCUCGUACAGGGCCCGUUGACCCGCCUCAUUCCGGUCCCUCUCCUCCUCAAUCAAUCAUGCCGUGGUCUGGUCCCUCUCAUCAAGAGCAGCCUGAAGAGCAGCCUGGCUUGCCAAUCUCUCUUUCUCAAGAGCAGCCUGGUUUGCCGCUCUCUCUUUCUGAAGAGCAGCCUGAAACACCAUUCCUCGUUACCACAGUAAUGAUCUAUGGUGACACACAUAAUGAAAUGGAUGAAAGUGUUCUUAGUCCGUACAACUAACCUCGAUGGAAAGUUCAACUGGCCGUGGACGAUGCGUUAUCUCAGGACAGUUGCUCGACUGGCGCGCCUUGAUCUCCGGAGGAGUGAGUGGACAACGUAUUAUCCCAUCUCCAAUGGCUAUCGAGCCAUGGGGCCUCUUGCCACCAGAUAUCAUCACCAGCUCUGGAUCCAAAGGUUCCUGGCUAGGGUUAAAGUCAUCCCCUUUCGUAGCCUUCCCCGCGUCCCUGUAUGCCACGAGCUUCUGGUGGGAUGAUAUGUUGGUAAAGUUAUUGGGAUCAUCUAGGUCAGACUUAGAGAAUGCCUUCGCCUUCUUGUACGAGGCAGUAUGGGCCAUGGCAUAAAGGUCGCACAAGUGUGGCAUCUCAGUCUUAUUGUGAUGCGCCUAAAAGAGAGGAACAAAAUAUUAGCAUCAAGAAUGAAUUGCAUGAAUCAUGAAGCAAAUCACAUACCCAGUUUCGUCCAAACUGAAGUAAGUUGGCGCUGCCUUGAUGGUGUGGCACACCAACCAUUUGCCUACGCCGAUCCUUCGCAUUCUCGUGGACGGCUCGCCAGCUGCCUGUGCACCACUCAUCAACCAACGCCUCCCAACAAUCCAUCAUAUCCGCACACCAUCUCGGGGGCACCUGUAAGUUAUUAGAAAGAAUUUUCAGCGCUACACCUAUGAAUGAAAUCAAGAAAACUACGUAGAAGGACUUAAGAAUAGGUAAUUACCUUCAUGUAUUGCUCCUUCUUCAGAAACUUUCCGCGGCAAUCCUUCUUCUGCUUCUUAAUACCACGCGUGGCGUAGUAAUCUCGAAUAGCCUGCGGCCGAGCCUCGUGGCGCAAGUUCUGUAGUAACCGCCUACACUCGGCCUCGAGAACCCUGGCCACCUCCUCCUCAUAUCCAUCCUCACACCUAUAGAAGGUCUGCAAUCAAACGUGAAAACACCGAUUAGUACAAUAAUUAGCUAUAUUGUUAAUUUUAUAUUCUGUAAAAGGAUAAUUUACCCAAAAGCUCUUGAUCUCCAUCUCGGCCCUUGUGUGGCACAAGACACCAUCUAUAAUCUCCUCCGGCAGGGCCUGCGCAGCCUAGUAGUGCUCCCAGGAAUAUCCUAGUGUAGGAACCUGACCCUCACCAGGCAACAUGACAAACCCCGGGAAAUUUGUCCGGCAAAGCACACAAAGGACGGAGUUCGGCCUGCGGACUCCAAGAGGGUGUACCCAUCCCCUGCAGUAUGAUAAGGUCAACGCAUUAUAUAUUUGAACAAACUUGAAGGCAAAAGUUAAAAAAGGGUAAAUGUACUUACCUAUCUCCUUCAGGUUUAAUCACCGGCCUCUGCUCGCGGGUAGCCGGGGCGACCGGGAGACGUGUACUACCACGCUUGUACACGGUGGCCCCGUCCACCUACACAUCGCCCUCACUAUCCGUAAGCUCAUCCCCGCGAUCCCCGCCCCCUGAGCCACCCGGACCCUCGGUCCAAUCCGGCAACUCAGUACGAUCCGGCCAGGUCUCCCAUCCGGGCCUCUCCACGUCGGGUGAAGCCUCCGGAACCGUAGUCUCCUCCAGCUGCUCCUGGGCCGAAUGCACCUCGACCGGAGGCUGCUCCUGGACCGGAGUCUCAUGGGACGAAUGCCCGUCAAUACCAGGCUCCUGGAACGGAGUCCCCGUAGCCUCCUCCGCAAACGGGUCGACCAUACUAGUCCUAUGCUCGGGUGAAUGAGCUGGUGGUGGUGGCGAGGACGGCUCAACAGUCCCCCUGGAUCUUCCGCGGCCACCACCUCUCCCUAUACCCUUCCCCUUCUUCCCUACCUGACCAGCACCUCUCCCAGUGGGCAAUGCCGCCGACGAAGAAGAACCCACGGGUGGUGUCGACAGAUUGUCUGCCAAGGCUCUACAGAGAGAUAGGGGUGGAAGGGAAGUACCACCCCUCGUGCGGGGCGGCUGGGAAGAACCCGUCGAGCGCUCUGGACCAGCGCCCACCAUCUUUCCACACCUGGUGACCUGCCAUGAUAAACAUUAAAAGAAAUUAGUACAACAUAAAAAAAUUGAAUAACUGACAUGAAUAAUAAUAUGUACAUGAAUAAUAAAGAUUAAAAUAUAUAUAAUUUAACUUUUGAAUCUUACAAACUAAUAAUCAUCAUCAAAAAAAUGCAUCAUCAUCAUCACUAUCACGCAUGUCUUCACGAAUGACGUGCUCGUCGGGUUCAACGGCGUGAAGUUGUGAAAAUCCUUCCUUUAAUCGUUGAAGCAUUGACAGGUCAUCCGCAUCAGUAACCUCUACGAGUUCCAGGUCUUCUGGUUCCGGCUCAGGGAUGGAGUCGGAUUCAUUGUCGCUGUCUACUUCCAUGUUCUUGGGUGAAGCACGGCGGUUCUUGAAACGUUUCUUGGAAAGUCGUGUUUCUUGGAAGAAUUCUCCAUCAUAUGUGUCUGGGUUAAUGUGAGGUUCAUAAUCCUGUUCAUUUGGGAGAGGUGGUCUGACAUGUGGCGGCACUUCAUAAACAACAUACCAACCUUCCAGAUUCUUAUUCGUUUGGCAUGCCCACGGUAAAUAGAAAACUUGGGUCGCCUGUUGAGCCGUAAUAUAGACAUCGGGAACAUCUAAAUGGGUGUUUGGAUUGAUUUCGACUAGUCCUAUAUGUUCAUGAGUCCUUCUAGUCUCCUUCGGCUGGAACCAAUAACAUUUGAAGACUACGAUGUUCGGUGGGUUUUCACCAUAGAAUUGAAGUUCACAAAUUGCUUCAACUCUUCCAUAAUACUUGAUAACACCUUCGCCGAUAGUAGAGACACCACAAUCUGUAGAUUUUCGGUUGGGCAUAGAUAGCUCUUUGCCAAAGGUACGAAAGAGAUACCCGUUGAUGUUGUAUUUCUCAAAUGAACGGACCUUAUAGUCAAAACCAUUAGCGGCUUGUCUCAAUUCGGCGUCCAUAGACUCUGAAUUAGGCUACAAGUUUAAUGCGAAACGGUUGUUGCAUUAGCCGCAAGUUAGACCAAGAAUGAAAUGAUUAUUGAUAAUUACCGUUUGUUUGAACCAACAGAUGAAACCGGGAUAGCCGCCUCCUGUCUUUGACAGAAGCUCAUACUCUUCGACGUAACGGUUGUUUGAAAUAUCCGGGAAUAAGAGCAGUUCAAAUGAAUUAGAAGUUACAGGAAAAUGUGCCGAGAACUCACUCGAUGUACGGCCGCACUUCUAUUAGGUUGUUGAAGAUAUACAACGAAAUGUUCCGCCAUUCUUCGACAUCCAACGUUAUUGGUUUCGAAGCACCAGCUGGUGCGAGCUUCCCUUUGAAUAGGCUGAGGUUGGACCCACCUUUUUUAGGGUCUCCAUCAUUGUGCCGAGGCUUCGGAUUAUGCAAAUGGUGAUUUUUGGCAUCGUAGUGUGCUGUCACAAAGUUUGCCACCUCCUCAGUAAUGAAUGCCUCAGCCAUCGAUGCUUCAAUUCUACGCUUAUUUUUACAUUUAGCUCGAAGGGUCUACUGCAUCCUCUCAGUUGCAUAGCACCAACGAUCUUGCACGGGCCCACCCAAUCUUGCCUCGGUCGGUAGAUGUAAAAUCAAAUGCUGCAUUGGAUUAAAGAAGCCUGGUGGAAAGAUCUUCUCUAACUUGCACAACAACUCCGGUGCAAACUCCUCCAUGUCUUCUACCACGCCAGGCGACAAUUCUUUCGCACAAAGAACAUGGAAGAAAUAGCUUAGCUCGGCCAGUACUAGCCAUUCAUCCUCAGGAAUAAAGCCACGUAACAUCACCGGCGUUACCCGCUCUAGCCAUAUGUGCCAAUCAUGACUCUUGAGACCAAAGAUUUUUAAUUUUUAAAGACUCGCUCCCCCUCUUUAGAUUCGCUGCAUACCCAUCGGGGAACAUCAAGUGCAUUUUGACCCACAAGAUAAUUUCACUCAUAGCUGGCCUUCCAAGAUUGAACCAGGCCUUUGGCUUCGACCACUUCUGCUUUCCUUUCCCUUCUCGCAUGUUUUGUAACGGUCUAUGACAUAGUGUCUCUUGAUCGACUCCAGCCUUAAUAUUAUCCUUUGUCUUCCCAUCUAUGUCGAACAAUGUACCAAAAAUAGCCUCUCCGAUAUUCUUUUCAGUGUGCAUCAUGUCGAUAUUUUGUGGAAGAAGGAGGUCUUUGAAGUAAGGCAGAUCCAGAAGCAUGGCUUGCGAGUCCAGGCUUGUUUUGAAUUAUACCCCUUGAAAUACCGUGGAUGCUCUGGAUCAGGCUCGAGGGCGUAUAACUGAUCCAGGAUCUGUUGGCCUGUGAACACAGGUGAUGCCAAGUUUUUGACAACUUUACCUUUGGUAAAGUUCUUCUUAUCUUUUCUGAACUGAUGGUGAGGAUCCAGGAAUUGUCUAUGCAAGUCAAAGCAAGAAUGCUUCCGACCCUCCUGCAACCAAUGAAACUGAAGAGCUGCCUUGCAUUGGGGGCACGGGAACCUUCCAUGCACACACCAUCCAGAGAAUAGCGCAUACGCUGGCAAGUCAUGCAUAGAGUACAUGUACCACACAUGCAUUUUGAAGUUUUCUUUUCUAGCGGCAUCGUAUGUCUUGACCCCAUUAUCCCAAGCUUCUUCCAAUUCAUCCUUAAGCGGUUGCAGGUACACAUUCAUAUUCUUCCCCGGAUAAUUGGGCCCUGGAAUUAUCAACGUCAGAAAUAUGUUCUUUCUUUGCAUAAUCUGCCGGGGGGAGAUUGAGUGGAAUGACAAAUGCAGGCCAACAACCGUAUUGGGUUGCCGUCAUGCCGAAGGGAUUAAAACCAUCCGUGGUGGCACAGACUCGAGGAUUCCUUGGAUCUGCCGCUUUAUCCUGAUGCAAUCCAUCCAAAUGUUUCCACGCUUCCCCAUCCGAUGUGUGUACCAUCAUCUUAUUCCCAUCCGCAUCUAGUUCGGUUCUUUUGCCCAAUUUGUGCCAUGUCAUUUGUGUGGCUAUCUCUUCGACCAUGAAAAUACGUUGAAGUCUUGGUACGAUUGGCAUAUACCGAAGAACACUAACUACGAUUUUGGUCUGCCUCUUAUCACCCAUACCGUUGUCUACCACAAGAUACCUGCAAGACUCGCAAUUGGGACAAUAGUCCAAGUGUGCAUACUCCUUCCUAAAUAAGACACAUCCUUUCUCACAUGCAUCUAUCUUCUCAUAGGGCAUCUUAAGUACACGAAGUAUUUUGUCCGACUCGUACAGGUUUGCAGGCAUGACAUGGCCUUUGGGUAGGAAAUGUCCAAAUAGUGUCAUCAUCGCGUCGUAGCAUUCUCUUCCCAAGUUGAACUGAGCCUUCAGAUCCAUUACUUGUGCAAUUGCAUCCAGCUGACAGAGCACAGUGUGCUCAUGGAGAGGACGUUUCGAAGACUCCAACAUUUCAUAAAAUGCCUUUGCAGAUUCCUCCAUCUCAUCUUCCGAAUCUCGAGCAUCAUCAAAGUCUUGCACCAUGUCUUCGAUCCCGGUACCAUGCUCGUCCGUGCGACGACGGACCACCUCAGCUCUUGUGUGUUGUAUAGACUCACCAUGAAAUGUCCACACCGCAUAAUUAGGCUUAAAACCGCUCCUCUGCAGGUGUUUAAUCAUUACAGCCUCUGUCAUCUUUUUAUAGUUGUCGCAUCCAGGACAGGGGCAAUGGUUUCUUUCCUGGCCAUUUGCGAAUGCGGCUUUCACAAAUUCCUUUGUUUUUACAAACCAUUCUUUCAUCAUCUCUUUGUGACUAGAGUGACCGGUAUACAUCCACGCACGAUCACUCAUCUUGCGUAGCUACUAAAGACAGAAGAAAUACAUUUAUAUAUAAUUUAGCAUUUAUAUUCAUUGGUUAAUCAGGUUCGCCAUUUUUAUUACGUCCAGGCAACCUACACGCUAAUAGGUAAAGAUAGGUCCUAAUCCCACCCGAGUAUGUGUAGAUUGGGUUCGUUUUCCCAUGCUCUGCUCCGGAUCCAACACAAAAUUUCGGCAGCACCUCCCCGCUGUUCACCUGAUACACGUCUCCGCAAUAAACAGAGAGGAUGUGCAUCCGGAGAACAACGGCGGAGGCACUGACAAAAUUCCGCAUCAGAUCCAGAGCACAGCAUACAGGAAAACGAACCCAAUCUACACAUACUCGGGCUGUCCAUGGAUAAUGUUGGACAAUUCGUAAGGAUGGCGGUUAUAAAUAUGCAAAGACAUGCAUAUUUAUAGAUGUCGCCCUUUCGAACGGGAGACGCAUACUGGUCACGCAUACUCAUGAUUGAAGAAACCUAUAUAUAGAUAGCAAGUUUCAUCGGCACGAAGACCGGGACAGAGCAAAUUAAGGGGGUAGGAGGAGAAGUCAUUUGUGCUCACCAACAAACGUAGGGGCGGAGCUCGUCCAACGCACGUGGAGGUCGUCGAACAACUUCACAUUGAAAUUCACCCGAUCAACACAAAUAUGAUGUUUUUAUAAGAUAAUCAAAAAAUAUGUGACCUAACUCUUAUUUUCUUUUUUCUUUUUUACACUUAUUCUUCUUCUUCUUCUUCUUAUUCUUAUUUUCUUUUUUUCUUUUUCCUCUUAUUCUUCUUCUCCUUCUUCUUCUUUUCUUCUCUUCUUCUUCUUCUUCUUCUUCUUCUUCUUCUUAUUCUUAUUUUCUUUUUAUUUUUCCUCUUAUUCUUCUUCUCCUUCUUCUUCUUUUCUUCUUGUCUUCUUCUUCUUCUUCUUCUUCUUCUUCUUCUUCUUAUUCUUCUUUCUUCUUAUUCUUAUUUUCUUUAUUUUUCUUUUUCCUCUUAUUCUUCUUCUCCUUCUUCUUGUUUUCUUCUUCUCUUCUUCUUCUUCUUCUUAUUAUUAUUAUUAUUAUUAUUAUUAUUAUUAUUAUUAUUAUUAUUUUCUUUUUUCCUCUUAUUCUUCUCUUCCUCUCCUAUUUUUUCUUCUUCUUCUUCUUCUUCUUUCUUCUCCUUCCCUUCCUUUUCCUUCUUCUUCUUUUCCUUCUUCUUCUUACUUUUUUUCUUCUCCUUUCUCCUUCUUUUCUUCUCCUUUCUCCUUCUUCUUCUUCUACUUUCUCCUUCUUCUUGUUCUCCUUUCUCCUUCUUCUUCUUCUCCUUUUCUCCUUUACUAAACAGGAAACUAACCUAACUAAACCUAAACUAAAACUGAACCUAAACUAAACUAAUUUAACAACCUAACUAACUAGCCUAACUAACCUAAUAAACUAAAAAACUAACUUAACUAAUUUAACAUAAAUAAAAAUAAGGGAAAACAAAAAAAUGGGGGGACUCACCGGCGGGGGCGGCUGGGCCGUCGGGGGUGGCGAGGAGGACGGGUGCGACGGGGCAGUGGGGCGUCGCCGGGGGCAGUGCGGUGGCGGGGGGCAGUGGUGGCGGCGGUGAGGUGUUGUGCGGCGGCGGCGGGCAGUGGUGGCGGSSGUGGGGGGCAGGUGAGGGGGCGGCGCAGGGGGUGGCGCAGGGGUCGGCGUAGGGGGCGGCGCAGGUGUGGCCGGUCGCCGGUGGUGCAGGAGGGAGGCGCGCACGACGGUUGAGAGAGAGACAGAGUGGGGAGCGGGGUAGUGGAGCGAGGGGCUAGGGGAUAACGGCUGUCAGCUUUGCCGUCUGCCCCCGGACGGCAAAGGGCCCAACGGCGGAUGGCAAAGGCUAGGCGGACGGCAAAGAGCCCGUCCGUUGGACCUGGCCAGGCCCAAGGUCUAGUGGGACCCAUCUGCCCUCUUUGUCGUCCGCCCUAGGUUUCUUUGCCGUCCGCAGGCAGACGACAAAGCCCUGGCCGAUGGCAAACAUUAUUUUUACCAUCAGUGAGCCCUUUACCAUCCGCUUUAGGUCAGCUGACGGCAAAGAGGGUCUUUGCCGUCAGCCAGGAGAUGGCAAAGAACUGGCUGAUGGCAAAUUACUGUUUUCUAGUAGUGUAUGGACCCGUAGGUCUAUGCUGAACUACUCACGCAUCAUCGGAGAGGUCAUGGUGUUGAUGAAUAAGCCCUCCGUAUUCGAAUCCCCCCUUCGGCACGGCACCAGAACGUGCCCCAGAUGGGAUCUUGCGGAGACAGAAGCUUGCGGCGGCGGAAAAGUACUUUCGAUGAUCUCCUGAUUUUUUCUGGGAUUUUAGAGAAUUUAUAGGCGAAAGUCCUAGGGAAGAGGUGACCCAGGGAGCCCACAAGCCUGGGAGGCGUGCCCCCCUCGCCACGGCUAGGGGGCUUGUGGGGUCCCUGCAGGCCCCCUGCCCUGAUUUUCAGGCUUCCCGAUCUUUUUCUGUUUUGGAAAAAAUAUUUUUGGCAGUUUCGUUCCGUUUGGACUCUGUUUAAAAUCCUCCUCUAAAAGGGGUCAAAAACAUGGAAAAAAUAGGAACUGGCACUUGGUACUGAGUUAAUAAGUUAGUCCCAAAAAAUAUAUAAAAGGCAUACAAAACAUCCAAAGUUUGACAAGAUAAUAGCAUGAAACCAUAAAAAAUUAUAGAUACGUUGGAGACGUAUCAAGCAUCCCCAAGCUUAACUCUUGCUCGUCCUCGAGUAGGGAAGUGAUAAAGAAUAAUUUUUUGAUGUGGAAUUCUACCUAGCAUAGUUGUCCUUUUCAACUUCUUUCAUGUGACAUGAAUGUUCUGAUCCAUAAGAUUCAAAACAAUAGUUUGCUAUUGACAUGAAAACAAUAAUACUUCAAGCAAACUAGCAAGGUAAUCAUGAACUUUCAAAAUAACAAGGCCAAGGAAAGUUAUCCCUACAAAAUCAUAUAGUCUGGCUAUGCUCCAUCAUCCUCACACAACUAAUGUAAAUCAUGCACAACCCCGGUAUUGGCCAAGUAAUUGUUUUCACACUCUUACUUUCUCAAACUUUUUAUAACUAUCACACAAUACAUGAGCGUGAGCCAUGGAUAUAGCACUAUAGGUGGAAUAGAGUGUGGUGGUGGUUGUGAGACAAAAAGGAGGAGAUGGUCACAUUGAAUCAGCAUAUCAAAAGGCUAUGGAGAUGCCCAUUAAUAGAUAUCAAUGUGAAUGAGUAGGGAUUGCCAUACAAAGGAUGCACUAGGGCUAUAAGUAUGUGAAAGCUCAAAAGGUAAAAUAGUGGGUGUGCAUCCAACUUGCUUGCUCACGAAGACCUAGGGAAAUUUUGAGGAAGCCCAUCAUUGGAGCCAAGUUAUAUAAUGAAGAUUCAAACUAGCAUAUGGUGGUGACGAAACGAGAGGCUCUCAAUCAUGAAGAACAUGGUGCUAUUAUGAAAGACAAGUGUGGAAAAGAUAGUAGCAUUGUCCCUUCUCUCUUUUUCUCUCUCUCUCAUUUUUUGGGCUACUUAGGCCUUCUUUUUUUUCUCUUUCUUCUUUUUUCUUUUUUUUUAUUUGGGCUCUUUGGCCUCUUCUUCUUUUUUCCUCGCAUGGGACAAUGCUCUAAUAAUGAUGAUCAUCACACUUUUAUUUACUCACAGCUCAAAGCUUAGAAAUGAAUCUAUAGGAAAUGCCUCCGGCAGUGUACCGGAUGUGCAUAAAUCUAGCUUGGCAUAUGACGUUGAAACAUCUCGCUAGCUAUCUUACGAUCAUGCAAUGGCAAUAUGAGAGUGACAGCUCAAGUCAUGAGACGGAACGGUGGGAAUUGCAUGGCUAUAUCUCGGAAUGGCUAUGAAAAUGCCAUAGUAGGUAGAUAUGGUGGCUGUUUUGAGGAAGGCAUUAGGUGGGUUUGUGUACUAGCGAGAAUUGCGCGGUACUAGAGAGGCUAGCAAUGGUGGAAUGGUGAAAGUGCAUCUAUACUAUGGACUCACAUUAGUCAUGAAGACCUCACAUACUUGUUGCGAAAGUUUUUAUUAGUAAUCGAAACAAAGUGCUAAAUGCAUACUCCUAGGGGAAGGGUUGGUAGGUGUUAACCAUCGCGCGAUCCCGGCGGCAAUACAAAGGAUGACAAUCAAUAGAUCAAUUAUGCUCCGACUUCCUAACAUAGCGGUUCACCAUACGUGCAUGCUACGGGAAUCACUAACUUCAACACAAGUAUUUCUAUAUUCACAACACCCUACUAACAUAACUCUUAAUAUUACCAAAUCCACGUCUCAAAACUAAUUGAGAGGAAUGAAAACUUCUCUUUCUACUCAAUGCACAUGAAGAUGGAGGUUUUUGUAUCCUCUUUGGGUACCUAUCAUAUUUGGGACUACUUUCAUAGCAUAAGCCAACUACCAAGUCACGCACCGCCGUGCUCUAAAAGAUCUAAGUGAAGCACAUAGAGCAAAAUUAUCUAGCUCAAAUGAUAUAAGUGAAGCACAACGAGCAUUCUAGAAAAAUCACGAUGAGUGCAUGUAUCUCUCUAAAGGUGUGCAGCAAGGAUGAUUGUGACACAACAAAAAGAAAAAACUCCUAAGAUACAAGACGCUCCAAGCAAAACACAUAUCAUGUGGUGAAUAAAAAUAUAGCUCCAAGUAAUGUUACCGAUGGAUUGAAGACGAAAGAGGGGAUGCCUUCCCGGGGCAUCCCCAAGCUUAGGAUUUUUGGUGUCCUUGAAUUUGGCUUGGGAUGCCUUGGGCAUCCCCAAGCUUGAUCUCUUUCCACUCCUUAUCUCUUUGUCCAUGAGAACAUCACCCAAAACUUGAAAACUUUACAACACAAAACUUAAACAGAAACUCGUGAUAUCAUUAGCACAAGAAAACAAAUUACCUCCCCUUUAGGUACUGUAGCAAUCUUGAUUUCUAUUUAUAUUGGUGUUGGGCUACUGUAUUCUCACUUUUCCAUGGCUAUUACCCCCGAUACUAACCAUAGUUUCAUCAAAACAAGCAACCAACUCAACAAAAACAGAAUCUGUCAAAAACAGACCAGUCUGUAGCAAUCUGUAGACUUAGUAUACUUUUGGUACCUCACAAAUUGUGAAAAAUUAAGUAUGCCUGGGAAAAAAUCAUAUCAACCAGCAGAAAAAAGAAUCAACUCAAAAUCUCUUUCUGAUUAAAAAUGAAAAAUCAUCUCGUGAGCGAAACGUUUCUGUCUUUUUCCAGCGGGAUCAAACAACCAUUACCAAGACUAGUCAUAAAUGUUUUGCUUGGCUCAAACACAAAAAGAAACACAAAAGACACAAUCAUAACAGAAUUAUGAUAGUGUGGACGCAACAAAACAGAAAGAAAAGAAAUAAAUUCAUUGGGUUGCCUCCCAACAAGCGCUAUUGUUUAACGCCCCUAGCUAGGCAUAAGGCGAUAAAAUCAUGUAUUGUCGUCCUUGGUGCUCAAACCAUAAGUGGCCCUCAUCAUGGAUUCAUAAGGCAAUCUUAUUUUCUUUCUAGGAAAGUGCUCCAUGCCCUUAUUUAAAGGAAAUUGAAAUCUAAUAUUCCCUUCCUUCAUAUCGAUGAUGGCACCGAUAGGCCUUAGGAAAGGUCUACCAAGAAUAAUAGGGCAUGUAGGAUUGCAAUCAAUGUCAAGCACAAUGAAAUCCACGGGUACAUAGUUCCUAUUUGCAACAAUAAGAACAUCACUGAUCCUUCCCAUGAGUUUCUUGACAGUAGAAUCCGCAAGAUGCAAAUUAAGAGAACACUCUUCAAUCUCAUUAAAACCCAGAACAUCACAUAAAGACUUUGGAAUCGCGGAAACACUAGCACCCAAAUCACACAAAGCAUUGCAUUCAUAGUUUUUGAUUUUGAUUUUGAUAGUAGGUUCCCACUCAUCAUGAAGCUUUCUAGGGAUAGAGACUUCCAAUUCAAGUUUCUGUUCAAGAGACUUUAUCAUAGCUUCGACGAUAUGAUCGAUAAAGGCCUUGUUUUGGCUAUAAGCGUGUGGAGAGCUUAGCAUGGAUUGCAUCAAGGAAAUGUAUUCAAUCAAGGAGCAAUUAUCAUAAUUGAAUUCCUUGAAAUCCAAAGUAGUAAUUUCAUUACUACUCAAAGUUUUAACAUCCUCUACUCCACUUUCAAUGCUUUUAGCAUCAAGAUAGAUGGACUCCGAAUCAUUGGGGCGUUUUUCAACCAAGGUGGAUUCAUAUCCAGCCCCAUCAUCAUUAGGUUUGACACAAGAAAACAAAGAUUCAAUGGGAGUCACACCAAGCACUUUAAGAUCUUCGUGAUUCUCAUCACGAGUUUCAGGUUUAGCAGCCAUUUUACUGACUAAGGUAGCCUCUUAUCAGAGAUCUGGCCUACCAACUUUUCAAGACGAGCAAACUGAGAAUUUAGCGCAAGGAAUUCUUUGGCCAUAUCAUCAACUUCUCUACUCAUAAAAGCCAGAAAAGAAUUUUGCUCCUUCAGUUCUCUACGAAAGUAACUGUUGUAUUCAAACUGUGUAGACAUGAAGCCUUUAACACUAGUUUCAAUCUCUUCCAACAUUGCAUAGUGAGCAUCAAAAUCCCUUUGUUGGGCCAUGUUUAGCAGGCAGACAAGCGGACAGAAACCAAGCAAGAGAAAAGGGCGAAUGAAAAGGCGAAUGAAAAAGGCAAAUUGGUGAAGUGGGGGAGAGGAAAACGAGAGGCAACUGUCAAACAAAGUAAAUGCAAGAGAUGAGUUUGCGACACUUACUUUGAUGAGUUCUUGACUUGAUCCUCCCCGGAAACUGCGCCAGAAAUUGUUUUGCUAUGGCGACAAAGUUCUUCUGUCGUCUCUUGAGCUUGCGUUGGUUUUUCCCUUGAAGAGGAAAGGGUGAUGCAGCACAAGAGCAGUAAGUAUUUCACUCAGUUUGAGAACCAAGGUAUCAAUCCAGUAGGAGAAUCUCGUCAAGUCCAGAGUACGUGCACAAACACAAAAGAGCUUGCACCCAACGCUAUAAAGGGGUUGUCGAUCCCUUCAAGAUUGAUUGCAAAGUGAGAUCUAAAGGUGGAAAGUGCAACGAAGUAAAAGAGUAAGGCUGAAAAUAUGGUGUGGAGUAGACCCGGGGGCCAUAGUGUUGACUAGAGGCUUCUCUCAAAAUAGCAAAUAUUACGGUGGGUGAACAAAUUACUAUCGAGCAAUUGAUAGAACCGCGCAAAGUCAUGACGAUAUCUAAGGCAAUGAUCAUACAUAUAGGCAUCACGUCCGGGACAAGUAGACCGAUACUUUCUGCAUCUACUACUAUUACUCCACACAUCGACCGCUAUCCACCAUGCAUCUAGUGUAUUGAGUUCAUGAAGAACAGAGUAACGCUUUAAGCAAGAUGACAUGAUGUAGAGGGAUAAUCUCAAACCAAUGAUGAAAACCCCAUCUUUUUACCCUUGAUGGCAACAACAGGAUGCGUGCCUCGCUACCCCUUCUCUCACUGGGUGAGGUCACCGCACGGUAUUAACCCAAAACCAAGCACUUCUCCCAUUGCAAGAAUCAUAGAUCUAGUUGGCCAAACAAAACCCACAACUCGAAUAGAAUUACAAGGAUAUGAAAUCAUGCAUAAGAGAGAUCAUAAGAAACUCAAAUAAGAUUCAUAGAUAAUCUGAUCAUAAAUCCAUAAUUCAUCGGAUCUCGACAAACACACCACAAAAGAAGAUUACAUCGGAUAGAUCUUCAUGAAGAUCAUGGAGAACUUUGUAUUGAAGAUCCAAGAGAGAGAAGAAGCCAUCUAGCUACUAGCUAUGGACCCGUAGGUCUAUGGUGAACUACUCACGCAUCAUCGGAGAGGUCAUGGUGUUGAUGAAGAAGCCCUCCAUAUCUGAAUCCCCCCUCCGACAGGGCACUAGAACGUGCCCCAGAUGGGAUCUUGCGGAGACAAAAGCUUGCGGCGGCGGAAAAAUACUUUUGAUGAUCUCCUGAUUUUUUCUGGGAUUUUAGGGAAUUUAUAGAUGAAAGUCCUAGGGCAGAGGUGGCCCAGGGAGCCCACAAGACUAGGAGGCGCGGGCCCCCCUAGCCACGGCUAGGGGGCUUGUGGGGUCCCUGCAGGCCCCCUACCCUGAUUUUCAGGCUUCCCGAUCUUUUUCUGUUUCGGAAAAAAAUCUUUUUGGCAGUUUCAUUCCGUUUCGACUCCGUUUAAAAUCCUCCUGUGAAAGGGGUCAAAACAUGGAAAAAAACAAGAACUGGCACUUGGCACUGAGUUAAUAAGUUAGUCCCAAAAAAUAUAUAAAAGGCAUACAAAACAUCCAAAGUUUGACAAGAUAAUUACAUGAAACCAUCAAAAAUUAUAGAUACGUUGGAGACGUAUCAAUGUCAACUUCUCCAAUUCAAGUCUACGAUAAAGAGAGAGAUGCAUAACACUAACACCGGCUCCAAGGUCGCAUAAAGCAGUUCUAAAGUAGUUGCCUUUAAUGGUGCAAGGUAUAGUGGGCACUCCGGGAUCACCUAGUUUCUUAGGAGUUCCACCCUUGAAGGUAUAGUUAGCAAGCAUGGUGGAAAUCUCAACCUCAGGUAUCCUCCUCUUAUUAGUCACAAUAUCUUUCAUGUACUUAGCAUACGGAGACAUUUUGAGCAUAUCUGUCAAACGCAUUUGCAGAAAGAUAGGUAUAAUCAUUUCAACAAAUCGCUCAAAAUCCUCAUCAUCCUUUUUCUUGGAUGGUUUGGGAGGAAAGGGCAUGGGUUUCUGAACCCAUGGUUCCCUUUCUUUAUCAUGCUUCCUAGCAAUGAAGUCGUUCUUAUUGUAUCUCUUAUUCUUAGGCUGUGGGUUAUCAAGAUCAACUGGUUCAAUCUCCACAUCCUUAUCAUUGCUAGGUUGAGCAUCAUCAUGAACAUCACUAUCGAUAUUAUCAUUAGGCUCAUGUUCAUCACCAAAUUGUGUUUCGACAUUAGAGAUAGAGACAUCAUUUGGAUUCUCAGGUGUAACAGGGUUGCUAGCGUGCAAGUUCCUAUCAUAUUUCUUCUUCUUCCUAGGAUGACUAGGUGCAUUAGUGCUAACUCCUUGAGAAUCUUGUUCAAUUCUCUUAGGAUGAACCUCGGGGUACAAAGGUUCCUGGGUCAUUCUACCACCUCUAGUGACGACUCUGACAGAAUUGUCAUUCAACUCAUUGAGCAAGUCAUUCUGAGCUUUAAGUACUUGUUCUACUUGAGUAGUAACCAUAGAGGCAUGUUUACUCAAGAGCUUAAGAUCAUUGACGUUUUUGUCCACACAAGCACUUAAAUGCCUAAGCAUACGAGCAUUCUGUUCCAAUUGUCUGCUAACAUAAUCAUUGAAACUCUGUUGUUUGGCAACAAAGUUAUCAAAUUCAUCCAUGCAUAAGCUAGCAGGUUUAUCAAAAGGAAUAUCACUCUCAUUGAAUCUACGGAGAGAAUUUACCUCUACUACCUGUAUCGGGUUAUCAAGACCAUGGAUCUCUUCGAUAGGUGGUAGAUUUUUGACAUCUUCAGAUUUAAUGCCUUUCUCUUUCAUAGAGUUCUUAGCUUCUUGCAUAUCUUCAGGACUGAGGAAUAGGAUACCUCUUUUCUUAGGAGUUGGCUUCGGAGGUGGUUCGGGAAUAGUCCAAGCAUUCUCAUUGCACAUGAUAUUAUUCAAUAGGAUCUCAGCUUGUUCUAGAGUUCGUUCCCUAAAAACACAAUCGGCACAACUAUCCAGGUGGUCCUUAGAAGCAUCGGUUACUCCAUUAUAGAAGAUAUCAAGUAUUUCAUUCUUCUCAAGAGGGUGAUCAAGCAAAGCAUUCAGUAGCUGGACAAGCCUCCCCCAAGAUUGUGGGAGACUCUCUUCUUCAACUUGCACAAAGUUAUAUAUUUCCUGCAAGGCAGCUUGUUUAUUAUGGACAGGGAAAUAUUUUUCAGAGAAGUAGUAGAUCAUAUCCUAGGGGCUACGCACACAACUAGGAGCAAGAUUAGUGAACCAAGUCUUAGCAUCAUCCUUUAGCGAGAAAGGAAACAGCUUAAGGAUAUAGUAGUGGCGGAUCUUUUCCUCACUCGUGAAUAGGGUGGCUAUAUCGUGGAGUUUGGUAAGAUGGGCUACAACCGUUUCAGACUCAUAACCGUGAAAAGGAUCAGAUUCGGCCAGAGUGAUUAACUCAGGGUCGACAACAAAUUCAUAAUCCUUAUCGAUCACAAAGAUAGGUGAAGUGGCAAACUUCGAGUCGUAUUUCAUCCUAGCGUUCAGAGAUUUUUCUUUCCACUUUCUCAGUAAUUUCUCAACAUCAUAGCUAUCCUUACAAGCAAGAAAGUCCUCAGCUAUCUCUCCCUCCAUAACAUAACCCUCGGGCAUAUCAGGCAAUUCAUAUCUAGGAGAGCUAGUUCUAACAGGAAAAAUAGCAGGUUCUAUUUCAAUAGUAUCAGCAGUUUCAGAAGUAUCAUCACAUAUAGCAGCAACUCUAGCAAUUGGUUCAUGAAGGAAUGCACCAAGUGGCAAAGCAGUAUCAAGCAUAGCAUCAUCAUAAGCAUCAUGGGCAGCAGAAGUAGCAUCAUCAAGCACAAGCGACAUAUCAAGAUUUCUAGCAGGAGGUGGUGUCGCACACUUAGUCAUAACUGAAGGUGAAUCAAGUGCAGAGCUAGAUGAUAGUUCCUUACCUGCCCUCAUAGUUGAGGGCAAGACUUUUGUUCUUGGAUCUUUCGGAUUCCUCAUAGUGACCAGCAGAUGUAAAUCCCAAGUGACUCAGAGAAUAUAGCUGUGCCUCCCUGGCAACGGCGCCAGAAAAAGGCACGUUGACGGGAGAAUAUUCUUGACUUGGCUUCCCCGGCAACGGCGCCAGAAAAAGGUCUUGAUAACCCACAAUGGGGGAUCGCAACAGUUUUCGAGGGUAGAGUAUUCAACCCAAAUGUAUUGAUUCGACACAAUGGGAAGCCAAAUAAUAUUCUCAAGUAUUAGCAGUUGAGUUGUCAAUUCAACCACACUUGAAAGACUUAGUAUCUGCAGAAAAGUAUCAGUAGCAAGGUAUUGUGAUAGCAGCAGUACCAACAGUAACCAGUAGCAGCAAAGUGACAGCAGUAGCAGCAAACUAACAGCAGUAGCAACAGAGUAACAAUAGCGGCAGUGACAGCAGUAGCGGACAAAAAAAAAGUAGCAAGGACCAGUAGGAAAAACUCGUAGGCAUUGGAUCGGUGAUGGAUGAUUAUGCCGGAUGCUAUUCAUCAUGCAACAAUUAUAACACGGAGAGAUAUGUAAGUUGCUCCAGCUCGUCAAUGUAAUGUAGGCAUGUAGUCCGUAUGUAGUCAUACGUGCUUAGGGAAAAGAACCUGCAUGACAUCUAUUGUCCAUCCCUCCCGUGGCAGCGGGGUCCUAAUGGAAACUGCGGGAUAUUAAGAUUCUCCUUUUAAUAAAGAACCGGACCAACGCAUUAACACUUAGUGAAUACAUGAACUCCUCAUGGUAUGGUCAUCUCCGGGAGUGGUUCCGGCUAUUGUCACUCCGGGGUUGCCGGGUCAUAACACAUAGUAGGUGACUACAACUUGCAAGAUAUUAUCAAGAACCCACAUAUAUUGGCGACAACAUAAUAGGUUCAGAUCUGAAAUCAGGGCACUCGGGCCCUAGUGACAAGCACUAAGCAUGGCAAAGUAGUAGCAACAUCAAUCUUAGAACAUAAUGGAUACUAGGGAUCAAUCCCCGUCAAAACUAACUCGAUUACAUGAUAGAUCUCAUCCAACCCAUCACCGUCCAGCAAGCCUACGAUGAGAUUACUCACGAACGGUGAAGAGCAUCAUGGAAUUGGCGAUGAAGGAAGGUUGGUGAUGACGAUGGCGAGGAUUUCCCCUCUCCGGAGCCUAGAACGGACUCCAGAUCUACCCUCGAGAGGAAGAACAAGAGGUGGCGGCGCCUCCGUAUCAUAAAACGCGAUGAACUCUUCUCCUUGAUUUUUUUCCGAACAAAAGGGACUAAAUAGAGCUGAGAUUGGAGGCGGUGGAGCAACGUUGGCCCCAAAAGCCUGCCAGGCGCGGCCAGGGGGCCACGCCUAGUGGGCUUGUGGGCUCCCAGCUCCACCCUUCCGGUUGAUUCUUGCGCCAGUAUUUUUUAUAUAUUCCACAAAAAUCCCAGUAAAUUUCCAGGUCAUUCCGAGAAUUUUUAUUUCUACGCAAAAACAACACCAUGGCAAUUCUGCUAGAAACAGCAUUAGUCCGGGUUAGUUCCAUUCAAAUCAUGCAAAUUAGAGUCCAAAACAAGGGCAAAAGAGUUUGGAAAAGUAGAUACGAUGGAGACGUAUCACCCGACCACACACGUACGCGCCCGCGGCAUCGUCAAAACCUGUUUUUAAAAGUGUGUAUAAAAUAUUCUCUGAUUGAGUUGAAACUCGGCGUGCGCUCUUAAUUAGUUGUUGCUAGGCCGCUUGUCAAAUUUCGGCGCAAUGGGAGUCUGUCUGGUACCUGGACGGUCGACCGUAGAGGCACUGUAUUCGGUCUAUCGUCGGACUUUUUUUGUUGUUUAAAAAUCGUGUCGCCGCGCCGCGCUAUUUACCUCUGACCUCCACGUAGCCACUCUACGCGGCCCACCUAGCCAUUCUGCGUCCGUGGCCGUCCGAUUGUGAUCCCGUGGUCGAAAACUGAUCCGAAUUCGGAUAACCCUAGCUACCCCAACUAUAAAACGAAGGGUCUCCCCUUCCAUUUCUGCCUCCCUCUCUCCUCCUCGAAAACCGUGCCACCAAUCCUAGCCAGCACAGCAACCCCCCUCUCUCUCCUCCCACCAGCGCGCAGAGCCUGCCGAGCCCAUCGCCGGCCCACUCGGGCCCAUCUGGAGCCGUCGUUGCCUGCCCGAGAUGCCCGUGUCUGCCGAGCCCGCGCCUGUGAAACUCGAUCCAGCUGCCGCUCCCGAUCUGGAGCGGGGGAAGCUCGAUCCCCGCGCCUCCGGCGAGCUCCUGUCGUCGCCGACCUCUCAGUCCAUCCCACCGAGACACCUUCCCUCUCCACCAUCUCUCUUUUCCCUCUCUCCUCUAACCUCUCUCUCCCGUUCUCUGGUCUGGCAGGAGCCCCAUAGCAGGCCUGAAGCUUGUCGCCGGCAGGAAUGGAUACAUCCUCUUGGAUCCGGCGACAUCCGCCCCCUGCCGAGCUUCCCCGCCGUUUCGCCCUGAUCUGGCCGAAGCCGCCCACCGCCAGGAGCCGCCGCCAUCCGCCCUGUGUCCUCGGUCCCAGUCGGGACAGAGUACGACGACAGCCGAGGCCAGAUCUAGCGCAUCGCCAGCUCCUGGACCGCUCGCCAGCCGCUCUGGGCCGGCCUCACCCCGGCCCAUCUCCAAUCGCCUCCCAGGUCGAGCCACCCGCGCCACCAGCCCAGUGCCCAGGCCCAGCUCGGCCUUCCGCACCGGCCCAUCUCCGUUGACCCAAGGUGAGAACCUCUCAAUCCAGCGCCCAUGCAAUGUUUAGUUACCUUGCGCCCACGUAUCCAGUAGUGGGUCACUCCCAGAUUCGGCCCGAUAGGUUUUUUUAGAGUUUUCGAAAUAGUUAUUUUCAGGGAUAUAUAUAUAUAUAUAUAUAUAUUAAAACGGCCGUAGUUUCUAAACCGAGCGUCGGAUCGAGAUGAUCUAUAUAUGUAUCUUGUGUAGUUUUCCGCGUAGAUUCGUAAUUUGUAAAUCGGAUGCAUGUUUGACAUAGUUUGGCUUGCCAUAUGCCUAGUUUAGUGUGCUGUCCUAACAGGAGUUCAUCCCGUGUUAUUUUCCGUGCGUGUCUGGAUUGUUCGGACACCGUAGAUAAAAUGCUCAUGCUUUAGGGACCCUAUUGCCAUGUAUUUUAGAGUAGUUGGUUGUAUUUUUGCAUGUAGGGUUUAGUCGCUAGUUUUUUAUUUCGUGAUUAGGACAUAUUCCCGCAUAUACGUGUGGAUUUUUUUUAUUUUGGAACCCCUCAUGUUAUAUAUGUCUUUGGGGUAGAAAAAUCCAUAUAAUUUAACUGUGCAUUUAGUUUUAGCUUUUGAGCAAGUUAGUUCGCGUGAUGUUUUGCCGUGAUGCCCUUUUGUUUAUUUUGUGGGAUUUAAUCCGUUCAUCAUAUUAAGGAGUUGUCAACUAGAGAUUUGCCCUUGGAUGUGUAGGCUAGCCCCUAGUAUUUUGGUUGCAAUACAAAUCCAUGUUUAGGUGUGGUUUGCUUGCUCUCAACUAGCUAGGAAAUAGUGCUGAUUUGGAGAUGCUGAAAUAUUUCUAAGUCUGAAAUAUGUUAUAUUUUGUUGCUGUCUUUGCAUGAGUUUAUCGGGUGAUCUAUAGCUCUUUUGAGGUUGAUGCAAUGGAGUUAGUUGUAGACUUUAGGAUUCUCUAGCAUGCUGUCAAUUUUCAUGUCAUUUGGAGUCCUGUAGCUUAUGGUUUUGCUGCUGUCAAUAUGCCUUCAGAUCUAAAACUGCACUUUCAUAAACUGUGGUUUUCACUAAGUCUGAAACUGUGUGUGAGAAGCCAUUUUGUGACUUCUUUUCCUAGUGAUCCAUGCUUCCAUGAUAGUUGUUGUUAGUUGUAUGUUGUAGUGCUUCUUGCCCUCUAUUGUCUCAUGCCUUGGUUGAGUAUAUUGGAUUUGUGUAGCUCAUAGUUGUGGGGUGUAGAAAAUGCUAUGUGGCUGAUUUUGGCAGUUUGUAGUGAUUUCUUGUUUAGCUCGUAGUUGUUGAACCGUUGCUCCGUUUUGAUCGUGUCCUAUAUGAAACUUGCUUAGAAGCUCGUGUAGUUUCACAUUAUCUUGCUGGUUGUAUGUUUUGAAAUGCGUGUGACUGUCGUUGCACACAUAUUGCAUUCAUGCCAUCAUAUAUUGCGGUGCUCGUAUCUCUUGAACCGUAGCUCCGUUCGAGAUGUUCUCUAUGUGUAAAUUUCUUGUAACGAUAUCCAUUCUUGCGAACCGACGAGAUGCGCUUCCAUCCCUGACGAGGCCCUCGUGCCAAAUUGAGGAUAGAAUCGCAUCUUGGGCGUUACAAAAUCAUAAGUGACAUGAUAUGGCCAUGAUCUUGUGCUUCUUGAUCUCCAUCAUCAAAGCAUCGGCAUGAUCUUCAUCGUCACCGGUGCCACACCAUGAUCUCCAUCAUCAUUAUCUCCAUCAUUGUGCCGCCAUUGAGGUUAUCAUGCUAUCUAUGCUAUUACUACUAAAGCUACUACCUAGCAAUAUAGUAAACGCAUCUGCAAGCACAAACGUUAGUUUAAAGACAACCCUAUGGCUCAUGCCGGUUGCCGUAGCAUCGACGUGCAAGUCGAUAUUUAACUAUUACAACAUGAUCAUCUCAUACAUCCAAUAUAUCAUAUCAUGUCUUUGGCCAUAUCACAUCACAUGCAUGCCCUGCAAAAACAAGUUUGACGUCCUCUAAUUUGUUGUUGCAUGUUUUACGUGGCUGCUAUGGGUAUCUAGUAUGAUCGCAUCUUACUUACCCAAAGCCACAACGUUGAUAUGCAAAUUUCUAUUUAACCUUCUCUAAGGACUGCCUCGGUCAAAUCCGAUUCAACUAAAGUUGAAGAAACAGAGACCUACCAGUCAUCUUUAUGCAACAAGUUGCAUGUGAGUCGAUGAAACCAGUCUCUCGUAAGCGUACGAGUAAAGUUGGUCCGGGCCGCUUCAAUCCAACAAUACCGCCGAAUCAAGAAAAGACUAAGGAGGGCAGCAAAUUGAACAUCAACGCCCACAAACUCUUUUGUGUUCUACUCGAGAUAUCAUCUACGCAUGAACCUAGCUCAUGAUGCCACUGUUGGGGAACGUAGCAUGGGAAACAAAAAAAUUCCUACGCACACGCAAUACCUAUCCAUGGUGAUAAUCAUCUACGAGAGGGGAGAGUGAAUCUACAUACCCUUGUAGAUCGCUAAGCGGAAGUGUAUAUAACGCGGUUGAUGUAGUGGAACAUCUUGGUGAUCCAAAUCGCAGCCCAUCCCGCGAUCUCAUCAUGAUCCGUCCUGCGAUCCCAUCACGAUCCUUCCCGAUCUAGUGCCGAACGGACGACACCUCCGCGUUCAGCACACGUACAACUCGAUGACGAUCUCCACCUUCUUGAUCCAGCAAGAGGGGGCGGAGAGGUAGAUGAGUUCUCCAGCACGACGGCGUGGUGGUGGUGGUGGUGCUAUUCUAGCUGGGCUUCGCCUAAGCACCGCUGAAACUAGAGGAGAAACAGAUCUAGAGAGAGAGAGGGCAACACGUGGUUGUUUUUUGUUGUCUCAAAAACCCUCAAAACCCUUAGUAUAUAUAGGCGGAGAGGAGGGAGAGGGAUGCGCCCCAGGGAUGCCUCUUUAUCCCCUUGCGCAAGGAGGAGAGGAUGAGUCCUCCACCAAUCCUAUUUGGAGUAGGAUUCCUCCUUCCCACUUGGAAACUCUUUCAACCUUGUGUUUUAUCCUUCUCAAACCUUAUGGGCCUUAGUGGGAACUUAUUCCAGCCUACUAGGGGCUGGUUUAUCUCUUCCCAGAGACCAUGAGGCCCCUUGGGGUGUGACACCCCUCCCGAUGGUCCUCGGCACCCCUCCCGACACUCCUGGUACACUACCGAUGAGCCCGAAACUUUUCCGGUGACCAAAACAGGACUUCCUAUAUAUCAAUAUUUACCUCCGAACCAUUCGGGAGCUCCUCGUGCCUUCCGGGAUCUCAUCCGGGUCUCCAAACAACCUUCAGUCACCAACACCUAUAACUCAACUAUACCAAAACGUCACCGAACCUUAAGUGUGCAGACCCUGCGGGUUCAAGAACUAUGCAGACAUGACCUGAGACACUCUCCGGUCGAUAACCAAUAGCGGGACCUGGAUGUCCAUAUUAGCUCCCACAUAUUCUAUGAAGAUCUCUAUCAGUUGAACCUCUAUGUCAAGGAUUCAAUUAAUCCCGUAUGUUGUUCCCUUCAUCCUUCGGUAUGUUACUUGCCCGAGAUUCGAUCGUCGGUAUCUCUAUACCUAGUUCAAUCUCGUUACCAGCAAGUCUCUUUACUCGUUCCGUAAUACAAGAUCCUACAACUAACUCCUUAGUCACAUUUCUUGCAAGGCUUGUUGUGAUGUUGUAUUACCGAGUGGGCCCCGAGAUACCUCUCUGUCACACGGAGUGACAAAUCCCAGUCUUGAUCCAUGCCAACCCAACAGACACCUUUGGAGAUACCUGUAGAUCUCCUUUAUAGUCACCGAGUUACAUUACGACGUUUGAUAACCCACAACGUAUUCCUCCGGUGUACGGGAGUUGCAUGAUCUCAUGGUCAUAGGAACAGAUACAUUGACAUGCAUAAAACAGUAGCAAUAAACUAACACGAUCAUCUGCUACGUUCAUAGUUUUGGAUCUUGUCCAUCACGUCAUUCUCCCAAUGAAUUGAUCCUGUUAUCAAGUGACAACACUUGUGUAUGGUCAGGAAACCUUGACCAUCUUUCAUCAACGAGCUAGUCAACUAGAGGCUCAAUUGGGACAAUGUGUUGUCUAUGUAUCCACACGUGUAUUUGAGUUUCCAAUCAGUACAAUCCUAGCAUGGAUAAUAAACUAUUAUCAUGAAUAAAUAAGUAUAAUAAUAACCAAUUUAUUAUUGCCUCUAGGGCAUGUUUCCAACAAAUUGAACUUAAAACUAAGCAUUUCUCCCAUUGCCAGAAUUACCAAUCUAGUUGGCCAAACCAAACCAAUAACUCAAAGAGACUUGCUAAGAUAUGAAAUCAUGCAUAUAAGAAUUCAAAUAAGAUUCAAAUAAUAUUCAUAGAUAAUCUAAACAUAAACCCACAAUUCAUCGGAUCUUGGCAAACACACCGCAAAAGAGUAUUACAUCGGAUAGACCUCUAUCAAGAUCAUGAAGAACAUCGUAUUGAAGAACAAAAAUAGAUAAUAAGCCAUCUAGCUACUAGCUAUGGACCCGUAGGUCUAAGGCGAACUACUCACACAUCAUCGGAGGGGCAAUGGAGUUGAUGUAGAUGCCCUCCAUGAUCAAUUCCCUCUCCGACAGAUUACCAUAAAAGGCCCCCAGAUUGGAUCUCACGGGAACAGUGGCUCCCGACAGCGGAAAAGUAUUUUUGUGGCUCCCUUCGGUAAUGGGGGAUUAUUUGGGAAUCUAUAGGCCAAGGAUUAGGGUUAGGAGAGCUGCAGGGGGGCUACAAGCCAGGGGGCGCGCCCUUGUCGCCUCCCGGCAGGUCUCGUGCCCCCUUCUCCAAGUCUGGCACAUGUCUUCUGGUCCAAGAAAAAUCAUUCCGGAGAUUUUAUUUCAUUUGGGCGUUGUUUAAUAUUCUUUAUCUGCAAUACUCAAAUACAUGAAAAAAAUAGAAACUUGCAUUAGGAUCUACAUUAAUAGGUUAGUAACAAAAAUAAUAUAAAAUAGCAUAUUAAUGCAUAUAAAAAAUCCAAAACAGAUAAUAUAAUAGCAUGGAACAAUAAAAAAUUAUAGAUAAGUUGGAGACAUAUCACAUGCGCAUCGUGUGCGAUACUCCUAGCCUCCAAAAUCAACUACUUUGCAUUUUGCAAAGUUUUUUUACGUCACGGAAUCGCACACGAAUUAACGGUAGUGACAGUCUGUCUUAUAUUUUCUCAUCGCAAAUAGUUCAUCCGAGUGGGCUGUUUGCCGCGUAUCACACACAUCUUGUUUACAUGACUCGUUCAUGUUCUUUUGGCUCAUUGCAAACAGUUCAUCUAUGUGAACUGGAUGCCGCAUAUCACACACAUCUUGUUAAACUAAACUGUUUCUAUUGUGUUCCUAAUAGAAAACAGUUCAUUCGAGUGAACCGUAUGCUGUAUAUCGCACAAAGCUUGAUCUACCUAACUGUUUCUGUUGUGUUUCCUAAUAACAAACAGUUCGUCCGAGUGAACCAUAUGCCAUAUAUUGCACAGGCCUUCAUGUGGCUGCCCAUUUUUGUUGUUCCGCAUCGUCGCAAACAGUUGAUUGGAGUGAAUCGUAUGCCACACAUCACACACGCAACUCUAAUCUGAAUCUUGUUUGAUGUCUCCACCAUUGCAAACGUUUUGCAUCUUUUUUGAUGGGUUUUUACAUCAUCGUUUGUGAUUCAUGCAUUGCACACAAUUUCAUUGAAGGGUCUCUGAUUGUAAUGUCGCAUUAGCAGCAUCCUGCAGUAGUGUGGGUUCAUGAAUUACAGCUAAUUCCUGACCAGAUAGAGUAGGUAUCUCAUGAUUUGAUGAUCUAGGCAUAUCCAUCAUAGAAAAUAUGUCCUCAAAGAAAGUCGCAUCAUUCGACUCCAUAAUUGUACCAACAUGCAUGUCGCAUACCUCAUAUUUUCUAAUAAAAAUCUAUAGCCAAUGCUAUGAAAGGCAUAGCCCAGAAGAACACAAUCCAUGGUUUUUUGUCCAGGCUUGCACUUCUUGGGAAUUGGUAUAUUGACUUAUACCAAACAACCCCAAGUAUGUAGAUAAGAGAGUUUCAUCCUUUUCCUUUCCUAUUCUUCAAAUGGAGUAAUGGUUUUAUGCUUUGCGGGAACUUGAUUUAGGACAUGACAUGAAGUCAUUAACGCCUCCCCCACCAUGCCUUGGAGAGACCCGGUGUGUCUAACAUGGCGUUAACCAAAUCAGUUAGAGUUUUUUUCUUUAUUUCGGCCAGCCCAUUUGACUGAGGUGAGUAGGGAGGCGUCCUCUCAUGGAUUAUACCAUGUUCCGCACAAAACAAAUCAAAUUCAUUGGGAGAAUACUCUCCACCAUGAUCAGACCUAAGACUUUUAAUUUUCCAUUCAAGUUGGUUCACUGCUUUAGCUUUAUUGUACUUUAGAAGCUAAAGGCCAUAUAUUUUGAUUUCUGAAGAUACACAUAACAAUAUCUAGUGGAGUCAUCAAACAACAUCAUGAAGUAUUUCUUUCCACCUUUUGUCAACACACAGUUCAUUUCACAAAGAUCAUAAUGUAUAAGCUCUAGUGGUGCCAAGUCUCUCGCCUCUGCAGUCUUAUGGGACUUGCGAGAUUGCUCAGCUUGCACACACACUUGGCACUUGGAGCCCUUGACAAUAGUGAAUUUCAGAAUUAAACUCAUAUUACCUAGCUGUGACAUGUGAUAUGUCUCAACGUAUUGAUAAUUUAUGUAGUAUGCAUGCCAUAUUUUCCUAUGUUUACAAUACUUUUAUAUGGUUUUAAUGCACUUUAUGUGAUUUAUUUAGAACUAACUCGGACUGACGUUGUUUUCAGCAGAAUUACAGUGGUGUUGUUUUUGUGCAAAAAAUAAAAGUUUUGAGAAUCGCUCGAAACUUUUUUAUGAUAUUUUCUGGAGAAAAUAAGAACUACUGGGGCGAAGAACCGCUAGAGGGGAGCCACUUGUGGUCCACAAGCCAACAGGGCGCGCCGACCCCUGGGCGCACCCUGGUGGCUUGUGGGGGCCACGUGGCUCCGUUUGGCAUGAUUCCAACCCCAAAAAUUCCUAUAUAUAUAGGAGCCCUCACAAAUAAAUUGAGAACUUCCACUCCAACGCCGCAACUCUCUGUAUCAAUGAAAAAUCCAUUUAGAGCCUUUCGAGUACCUCAUUGGAGGGGCAAAAUCAUCUCUAGUGCCAUCUUCAUCAUCCCGGUGGAGACCAUGACGAGGAGGGAGUAGUUCUCCUUCGGGGCUGAGGGUAUGUACCAAUAGCUAUGUGUUCAGUCUCUCUCUCGUGUUCUUGAGAUGUCCCGAUCUUGAUGUGUCACGGGCUUUGUUAAUAUAGUUGGAUCAUAUGGUGUUCUUCCCUCACUAUAUUGUUGUGAUGAAUUGAAUCUUUCCCUUUGAGAUCUCGUUAUGUUGAAUUGAAUAUUGGAUUUGAGAACACUUGAUGUAUGACUUGCAUGCGGAUACCCGUAGUGAGAUUGGGGUAUUCUAUUGAUUCACUUCAUAUAUGUUAUGGCAUUAACUUGCGGAUUCCCAUGACCUUGGGGAUAUAUGCAUAGGGGUUGAUUGCACGUUUUUAUAAUACGUUCUUUGAUAGAAAUGUUGGGGUACUAUUUAAAGUUCUUUGUGCUGGAUUGAUAUGUUGAAUCUGAACUUAUUUGAUGCAUGUCGAAUAAUUAACGCACAUAUUCUUUAGGUGACAUUGGAGUAUCUAGGUGACAUUAGGGUUGAUUGAUCCGUAUCAUAGGGGUGUUAUUCUAGUACAAACUCUAGGGCUGUUUGUGACACCUAUAGGAAUAGCCCAAAAGAUUGAUUGGCUAGAAUAACUUUGAGGUGGUUAGCUACCUACAACAAUUUCAUCUUAUGUUCUCCGCUACUUAUGAACUUUGGAGUGAUUCUUUGUUGUACGUUGAGGGAUGCUCAUAUGAUUCUUCCAUGUUAGCACCGUUGAGAGAUUGCACUAGUGAAAGUAUGAACUCUAGGCCUUAUUUCCAAGCAUUUAUACGCCAUUUUGCUCGCUGCUUUCCACUUGCUACCUUGCUGUUUUUAUAUUUUCAUAUUACAAAAACCUAUAUCUACUAUCCAUACUACAAUUGUAUCACCAUCUCUUCGCCGAAGUAGUGCACCUAUAUAAUUUACCAUUGUAUUGAGUGUGAUGGGGACACAAGAGAUUUCUUGUAUUUGAUUGCAGGGUUGUUUGAGAGAGACCAUCUUCAUCCUACACCUCCCAUAGAUUGAUAAGCCUUAGGUCAUCCACUUGAGGGAAAUUUUCUGUUGUCCUACGAAAUCUGCACUUGGAGGCCCAACAACCUCUACAAGAAUAAAUUUUUGUAGUAGACAUCAACAUGCAACCAAAGUUAAUAUGACAAAGUCGUGAAUGCCAAAUAUUAGAUUCAUUAUCGUGGCAAACAUUAUUAAUAACUUUAGUGCAAAUAUUUGCCAAAAAUAGGUGGAACAAGCCUCCACACUCAUAGCCUUUUCCAACAAAUUGUCCAUACUUUGAAAUUACAACAUUAUUGGAGAUGAAAACCAACUUAAACCAUCUUCACAUAAACGAGAACCAUUGACGAGAUUUUUAUCGAUGGAGGAAACAUGAUGAAUGUUCUUUAGGCGCAUGAUCUUUCCCAAAGUAAACUUCAGAUCGACCGUACCGACACCUCGAAUAGUGGCAUGUGACCCGCUCCCUAUCAGCAUGGGAGAAUUCCCUGUGACGUGAUAAGAAUAAAACAUGGAGGCAUCAGCACAAAUAUGUACAUUAGCACAAGUGUCAAUUAACCAAUCAGGAGAAUGACAUACUAAAAGGAUGGUAGGAAAAAUAUCGUACCCAGAUUCGUUCAUAUAAGUAGCACCAAUUACAAUGAUACGUAUCCAACAUAUCUAUAAUUUUUAAUUGUCCCCUGCUAUAAUAUUAUCAUUCUAGGAUGUUUUGGGGUGUUUAUAUACCAGUUAAUAUUAUUUUUGGGAACAAACAUAUUAACCCACUACCCAGUGACAAUUAUUGUUUUCUGCAUGUUUUUGGCUUUUCAGGUUUACAGUACCAAACGAAGUCCAAUUGCCCUGAAAAAAAUUUUGUGAUUUUUUCUGGACCAAAAGCAGACCUGAAAGCAUCGGGAGGAGACAGGACGCGACAUGAGGGAGGCAACACACAUCAGGGGGGGGGUCACUUCCCCCCUCGGGUGUCUCAUGGCGUACCUCUUCGUCCUAUAAAUUCUCAAAUAACCCCAAAACCCUAGAGAGACACCCGAAACACUUUUUUUCAUCGCCACAAGUCUUUGUUUCACUGGGAGACCAUCUUGAGCCAUUUUUCGGUGCCCUGCCGGAGGGGGGGUUGAUUACAUGGGACUUCUACAUCAACCUUGUGGCUCCCAUGGUGAUGUGUUAGUAGUUUACCACAAACCUAUGGGUUCAUAGCUAGCAGCUAGAUCUCUCUCUCUCUCUCUCUCUCUCUCUCUCUCUUGAUCUUCAAUAGAGUGAUCAUUUCAUCUUCGCUUUGAUCUAUCCGAUGUAAUCCUAUUGUGCGGUGCGUUUGUUAGGAUCCAAUAAAUUGUGGGUUUAUGUUCAGACUAUUCAUGAUAAAGGUUUGAGUCUUCUCUGAAUUCUAAUUAUAAUUCUUAUUUGCAUGAUUAUUAUAGCUUCGUAAAUCUCUUCGAUCUACUGAAAUAGUUUGGCCAACUAGAUUGAUAUUUCUUCAAUGACAACGGUUCGUUGUAGUGGGUUCAAUCUAACGGGUUUCUAUAUCCCAAUGAAAGAAGUGGCAAGAUAUGUCUUUGUAUUGUUGCCACUAAGGAUAAAGCGAUGGGGUUAAUUCAUAUUGAUUGAUUUCUCUUUGUGUAUAUCAUGUCAUUGUUCUCCAAACAUUACUCUGUUUGUCAUGAACUUAAUACCUAGAGAGGCAAGCAUAGAAGCUCUCUUGAAGUGGAGUACUAGUAAUAGGUGCACACAAGAGUCGACCUAUUUUCUUAUGGACAUGAUGCCUAUAUACAUAUGAUCAUUGCCGUCAAUAUCACAUAACUAUGUGCUUUCCUAUUAAUUGCCCAGAAAUAAUUUCUUUAGCCACUGUAUGCCUACUACAUGAGAGAAGCCAUUAGGAAAAACUACGACCCCUAGGUCUAUUCACUUAUAAGUUUACAAACAUUAUAAUUUCCUCGCUGCCUUAAUUUACUUUUUAUCUACUUUGCACUUUACAACUUCUACCUACACACUUUACUUUCUUGCAAAUAACGAGUCCAAGGGGAUUGACAACCCUCUUGCCCACGUUGGGUGCAAGUGUUUGUGUCUUUUGUGUCGAUUCGCUGAAGAUGUGGGUUGUUUGUUACUCCAAUUGGUUUGAUAAAAGUUGGUUCUCUACUAAGGGAAAUACUUACCUAUAUUGUGUUGCAUCACCCGCUCCUCUUCACGAAUAACCCAACACAGAUAACAAGCAUCAAAUAACAUUAGCGGACUUGCUGCUCUUCUCAAGUUCACCCUCCUCAUAGCGCUUAGGACAUUUGAGAACCCAGUGAUUAGGAUCACCACAAACAUGGCUAUUAUCGUCCCCUUAUUAUGAGAGUUCUUCUUGAAGUUGGUAGAGUGUGACGGCUUGUUCUUUGCAUCAAACUUGUCUUUGCCCUGAGAUUUGUUCUUGUUGUUUUUGGGCUUGUUGAGACGGAAGUUCUUCUAUACCAUGUGCGCACUAGAAGCUCCCUCAACAACUCGAGCACGUGUGUCUUUUGCUCGUGCCUUCUCUUCAACAUUAAGAGAGCCAAUGGGAUCUGAAACGGAAAACCCGUGUCUCUUGUGUUUCACAGAGGUAGUAAAAUUGAUCCACGAAGGUGGAAGCUUGGAAAAUAUGUCUUCGGCAACAAACUUGUCCGGUAACACACACUUUAAGUACUCAAGCUCCUUCGCGAGUGACUAUCUCGUGAGCUUGCUAAACAACAAGAUGCUCAUCAGUCAUCUUGUAGUCAUAGAAUUGCUCCAUGACGUACAACUUGUUGCCAGCGUCUGAGGCCCCAAACUUGGCCUCGACUAUAGCCCACAUUUCCUUGUCGUUGUCAACAAAUAUAUACAAAUCCACAAUGGAAUCGUCAUGAACGCUCAGAAGGGCGCCCUUGAAGAGGGUAUCGAUCUUCUCAAAAGCUUUAUGUUGUGUAGGAUUAAGAUCAUCCUCGGGCUUGCCCUUGGUGGCGUCAUAACAAUACAUGGUCUGAAACCAGUAAACUCCUCUUGUGCGCCACCUCUUAUAUUGCACCCUCUUGGAGGUGGGCGGAUUCAUAUGCGUAGCAAAACCACUUGGAGUAAAAUGCCUAUGAUCAGGUUUUCAGAUUGUUGAGUAUAUGAGCAAAUUACUACGAGAUUUAAUUCGAAUAAACAUUAAAUAAACCAUGAUGAUAGUAUCAGAGAAUAAACUAAUCAUGCGGACUAGUAUAACAGAGAAAUAGAUCAAAUGUAAGGCACAAAAUGGAAACAUAGAUUGUAGCACGAUCUCAAACAGAGAAGACAUGAUUGCGUACGGUGCAGCGGGAGCAGAACUGCCAGAGUUGGUAUUGUCCGCCAUGUCAUUGAUGAAGAGGUUCGUGAGGUUGGGGAAGAAGUCGUCGUCCAGGAAGUAGUUGUUGCCAGUAGUCGUGCGAGUGCGCUCCCCAAGAACCUGAUCGCCCCUCUCCCAUACAGGACCACGAGAGGUCGGGUUCCAAAGGUCUGCUGUCCCUUCUCGCAUUUCAUGUCGAAAGAAUGGAUGGAGAAGACUUGUGUGGAGGAGGAAUUUUUUGGAGAAGUGUGAAACCAUAUGUUGUGGCGGCGGCUAGGGUAGAUGUCUGCAUGUUUAUAUAGUGCGGUUUAGGUAGGUCAUUGGAGUAAACCCACGUCCUAGUCAGUAAUAGCCCCACGAUCCAAAAGAAUCGGAAACUGCUUAAUAAUCAACGCAUCCGUUAAUUAUUAAUUAAUGACAUAUUAAUUUUCCCGAGUAGCAAAAAUAUAGACAACAUGGAUAGCUUUGUCCUCGGCUUGGCUCAUUCCCAAAAACCGACACGGUGCAUUGUGAUGUGGCGAGGCGAGUGAGCAUGAUGAGCGCGCGUGUAGGUCUCCUCUUCUCAUGCUCGUACAAGUGCUACAAGAGUUCACCUUAUAAGGUGGUGUAACUCUCUUCCAACUAGCGGUAUGGGACUAAACCUUAGUCCCACUCACACCACACAAAGCCAUGCAAAAUGGGCCAUGAGAAUUUCAGAUUUUGCUGGGCUUUGGUCCAAAGGCCUACUAGCAAAAAUCCAACAUAUUUGUGGUUGUUUGGAACUUUCAAUUUAUCAGGAAUAUGGUGAUAUGAUGAGAUGUUUUUGUAACUUUUGAAUCUGUGGCGUGUCCACAACCACUGUCGUUCAUCCUACAAGCAUUGAUGCUCUACAGCUCGCUCACCUCAAAAGUUGCUAUGAUUGGAGAUGGGAUUUGAGGUGCUAAUGUAUUACCAAUCAAAAAUUUGUGCAAGUGGUGCUCAUCAUAGUUCUAGUCAAUUAAUUUGGUAAAAUCUUCAAUGCUCAUUCUUACCGAGCCCCCGACCUUCGAUCAUGUCCAAUUGGUCAAACCGGGGGAGGAAAAAGCAUGUCAGCAUAUGCGAGGCGACUGCCCUGACUAAUCGAUUUGGCGCAAAGUGAUGCAACACUCGCUUUGGUUGGUUCUGCGGAUGGAGGCAAGGGCCUCACCCGACUCUUCCGUGUAGUUGACACACAAUGGAUUUUCACACCCCUAUGCACCUCCCCACCUCACUACUCCGCAAAAAAUGAAGGUACUUCAUUACCCCUUAAGUUUCAAUUUUCAUGCGUGGUUUGUGAGGAUCCAGUUUUGAUGCUUGAUCCACUUUCUGAUUGUUUGUAAGUGCAAACUUAAUUUCUUGUUUACAAGGUUUAACAUGACUUUUACAUGGAUUGAUUGGUCUGUGUGGUUGAGGCGAGCACAACAAGAAGAUAUGCAACAUGGAGUUCACUUAGCAAGUCAUGUCGAUGUGCUACAUCAGUUGAUCUAUAUCCGGCCUUUGAAUGUUGUUAACUUUUACAAUUGACGAUCUUCUGAUUCUAUUGACAUGUUUGAAUAGACAGAAGUAUCUUAUCAAACAUGUCGAGUCAUAAUAUGCUUCUAGCAAUGUCUUCUUGAGUGAGAAAUUGCUCCAUGAACUCGGUAAUAUUGAGAACAGAUUUAGGAUGCAUGCUUCAGAAUUUUUGUAAGAGCAGUUUUAACUGACACAAACUUGAGUACACUCUUUACUCCAGUAGGUAAUCUAGGAUAGUAAAAUUGUAGCUUCUUCUAGAUUUCUCACAACAUUUUUCUCUAUUUUGCUUUGAAGCCACCGACUAGUUCUAUGUUGCUGCACGAAUGGACUAUGCUUUCUUGGACUUGAUUUUGGGAAUAAAAUUGCAUCAGUUCUUCUCAACGAUAUUCUAUCUGCUCAUUUUUGAACUCACGGAAUGAAAAAAAUUUGAAUAGGCAAGUUUUUCCAUUACCAAUAAACAUUCUCAUCUCAUAUUUAUGACAAAAACAAAUAUUCAUUAAAUUUCACCUUGCAUGCAUCCAUACAUAACUUCCUACUGUUCCAUAUAUUUCAUAAACUCCAAUUCUUCAAUUGAUAAAAUUGACGACAAACCUUAAGAGAGAAUUUUUCUAGAAGAGUUGGCAACCCUGUGCAUCCUCUUUUCUUAUUUAUUUUUUGCAGCAACGACAAGAGGCCCACUGCGUUUAUCUAUCAGCUCUUUGAUGUGGGGUGCCCUUUGCAUAACACCUUUCACGACUUCCUAAGAAUGAUACAACACUAAUUCACCACCAAAUUUUUGUUCAAAAAAUAUGUGAGACCUAGUUACGAAGCUUCUUCUUGAUACAUUUGUUGAUGCUUUAAGGCAGUUGUGUUGGUUCAAUGGAUUGUACUAUUAAUAUUUGCUUUUAGCAUUUAAUGUAAUUUUACUGAGAUUCUUGCGUAUUUUUGCAGAAAAGGCACGCGCACUGACUUCAAUUGUUAGGCAUGGACAACCUUGAAUGUGACGUCUCUUCUAAAAUAUUGUUUUUUACAUGCUUUGAAGCUAUUAUCUUAACUGAAUUUGUGUUGUCAUCUCAAUCAGUUGAUUUGUUCGAGAAUGUAAUGGAUUAUAAAUUUUGCGAUACUGUUCUACUUACCAUGAACAAUUCAUUUGCAACGCCAUAACCAUUUUUUUCUUUUGACUUGUUUUCACUCUUUAGUUUACAAAGUGCUAUGGUAUGGUAUUUUCAGGUGUAGAAUAUAAAAUGUAAUGUAGGGCUACAACUGAGAGGUACCAUAUGUGCUGGUGUUCUUGGAAAGAGAAAACAAUGCAAAACGGUAGAGACACUCUUGUUACAUGUGUUGGUUCUCAAUGUUUUUAGGCACAAACCAUUGGUAAACACCAUCAUGGUCGCUUAAUAUCAUCAAGUGUUGUGAUGUACUUUUACACUUGAAAUUAUCAUUUUUUCAUAAAAGAUUAUUGUGUUAUGGAUUAGCUCUGUUUUUCAUAUUCAAAUGCAAAACAAACUGGUCUUGUCCAUUGGUUUAGCAAAAAUGUUUUUCCUUAAAGUCUACACUCAUGUGUGUUGUACACAAGCAAUUGUCCCUUUCAGUUAUUUAUGUCGGAGACUUGUUGUAGGAAACUGGAGGACUAUCACAUGCUCUUUAUAAAAUCAAGAGCAGAUAUGUGUUAUUAUUACUCUUACUAUUUUAGUUGCUAACAAUGAAUCACCCACUAUAGUACCUUGGUAGUAUUACUUAACAGAAUAUUAAUAUCUAUACAUAUACUUACAUCAAUACAUAUGAUCCUAUUGGAAAAAUGGACAAGCAUAGCAACACAUGCCUUCAAAGAUUAGUAUAGGGGUAUUAGAGAUCAUAUUUCCGUACCGACCCAAUUUGUUCGAUUUUGACACCUUCAAAAUUGUUUAGAACAAAUUAUACUUGUACGCAUUGGAUGAAAUGGACAUGCUGAGAGGAUUGUCCUUCUUUUGGUAUUAUAUGACCAAACAUGAGAAAUACAAAGAAGUCAUUAUAAGAGAUGCGGAAUAACGUAUAUUGGCCAGGUAUUGUUAUGGUGGGGGUUGGGGGUGGAGUAUAUCAACCUAUUAAUAAGAUAAGGUAAGUAAGGAAGUGAACUGAACAACCAAAUUUUUUGAAUCCCAUUUAUGAAUUAUUCAUUUCACUAUGAUAACUAAAAAGAGGGAAAAGCGUACUGAGUAUAGCUCGGAUGGGUAGAUCCUUGUAGUGGAACCAAGUCAUCGGGAUUUAAAUCCUAGAUUUAACACUCGUCCUGUCAUUUUCCUGUAUUUCAUUCAAACAUUUCGAUGAUGUUCAUUCAGUGAAAGAACGUUUCUGUUAACUAAUAGGUGCCUAUGAUGACCACCGCCGGCAUGGAGUCGUAGAAAGUUUUUUUUUUGAAAGAUCGAGCUGAUGGCUGGCAUAUAUUGGGAUAGCAGAUAGGAGGGCGGGAAUACAAAUAGGGGGGGUUGAUCAGUAGAUCAAAAGACAUAACAGGAAAAACUUCCGAAAAAGAGGUGGAAAAAAAGGUAGCCUGGCACAGGCGCCGGACUCCUCACGUAAUUUCCCCAAACGGGUGCUCAAGGAAAACUGCUCCUGCUUGCCUCCAAAACUCAAGUGUUGUUGUGAUGGAGGUGGAUAUGUUUGCUGCCCUUGCUAUUUUGUUUCUAAAAGUGCACUCAUUUCUUUCCUUCCAAAUUUCUGAUAGGAUCAACACGAUCAUUGUUCUGGUUCCUUUUUUGUACUCUGGUCUUGCCUUGCUUAUCAUCUUGGAAAUGAUCUCUCUGAUGGAUCUUUUGUGAGUCCAAAUUGUUGGGCUUAGUGAGGCGCAUCCGAUGCGAGAUGACGCCUCCAUCCAUACUGUUGUUGCCACGUUGCAUUACCAGAAAAGAUGAGCUGCUGAUUCUAGAUUUCUGAGGCAUAGCUGGCAGAAGUAGUUGUUUUGCCAUCCACUCCUCUGCAAUCUGUCGUUGCACCAAAGCCUAUUUUUUGUCAGCAGCCAUAUGAAUAUCUUGAGUCUUUGCGGUGCCCAAGUUUCCCAUAUAAACUUGCUGAUUUCCGAUGCUGUGCGUCCUAGGAAUUGAGCUUUGUAUGCUGAGUUGGCAGUGUAAAUCCCUGAGGCCUCAUGUCUCCAUUUGAUUUGGUCACUUGAGUGCUCUAUGAGCUGGACGUCCGCGUCCUGAAUCCACCUGUGCAGGCAGAGGACAUCCGCCCAAAGGUGCAUUGUAUCUCCGUGCGCGAGGUCGGCUAUCCAUGUGUUGCCUUGUAGCGCCUCUUUUACAGACCUAUUUUUUCUACGUGAGUGCCUGGACAGCGUUGGGUAUGCCGUCUUUAGCGCCCCCGAACCCAUCCAGGGGCAGUUCCAGAAGGAGGCCGUGGCCCCAUCCCCCAGGGUGACUGUCGUGGAGGCGUUGAAAAGAGCUCUAUCAUCGUCAUCGCAUGGCAGCUGCAUGCCGUUCCAUGGCCUUUGCGGACUUGUCCAUGACAGCCAUAGCCAUCUUAGACGGAGCGCUCUGGAGAAGCGAUGUAUAUCCAACACCCCUAGCCCACCGCUCUCCGUUGGAGAGCAUACUAUUGGCCAGCUAACUUUGCAUUUCCCUCCGCUGAUAUCUUUUUCGUGUGCCCAUAGGAAGCGGCGCCUAACCUUGUCUAUCUCGUCGAGGAAUUUUUUGGGCGCUCGCAGGACAGCUAGGGCGAAAGUUGGCAGCGCGGUGAGUAUGCUGCGAACCAGGACCCAUUUCCCUGCGAUGUUCAUUAGCUUCCCUUUCCAUCCUGCUAGAUUAGCCCUAAUCCUAUCUAGGAUGAAUUGAAUGUGUACCAAUCUGAUCCUGUUAAGGGUGAGUGGUAGUCCUAGAUACUUUAUUGGGAAACCUACCCUCUCCCCUCCGAAGGCUGCAAGCACAGCGUCUAGGUCUAGGUCUUCACAGCGUAUUGCCGAGACAGUAGACUUGGCAGGGUUGAUAUGCAGACCCGUGGCAUUUCCGAAGUCUCUUAGGAUGCCCAUAAUCAAGUCGAUUUCUUCCUGUAUGGGGUUUGCGAAAAUGACGGCAUCAUCCGCAUAGGGGCUAAGCCGUAGCGAGAUAUCUCUGCCCGAAAGUGGCUGGAACAUGUUCAUCUCAGUGGCUCUACACAGGAGCCUGUGCAUGGUGUCGAUGGCUAGGAUGAAUAAGAGGGGGGACAGCGGGUCUCCCUGUCGCAGGCCCCUUUUGUGCCAGAUAGGUCUGCUCGCGGAGCCAUUUAGCAUUACUGCAGACGAUGCAGAGCUAAGGAGUAGUGCUAUCCAAUCCCGCCAUCUUGCUGGAAACCCUAGAUGCUGCAGUAGUUAUAAGAGGUAUUCCCAGGAGACGUUGUCAAAGGCUCUUGCGAUGUCUAGCUUUAGCAGUAGCGCGGGGGUCUUCUUUCGAUGGAGAGAUCUAACGGCAUUUUGUACGUAGAGGAAGUUGUCUUGCGUUGACUUGGCACACAAGAAAGCUGAUUGUGCUGGCGAGAUUAUGCUGUCGAUGACCGUAGCUAGUCUUCUCGAGAGGACCUUAGCUAUAAGCUUGGAGAUCGAAUGAAUUAGACUUAUCGGUCUGUAGUCCUGCACCUCGGAGGCUCCUUCCUUUUUUGGCAGAAGGACUAUCAUGGCGGAGUUAAACUUGGAGAAGUCUCCUCUAGUCAGGUGAUAGAAACUAUGAAAAGCCUGCAUCACAUCGUCCUUAAUUAGAGGCGAGCACGUUUUGAAGAAAAUCCCCGUGAAACCAUCCGGUCCCGGCGCCUUCUCCAAAGGUGAUGCCUUGACCGCAUCCCACACUUCCCCUUCUCUGAAUGGGUUGUCCAAACCUCUCCCCUGAACUAAUGGUAGAUCUAAUGAAGCCCAGUCUAUUGUGAUGGUGCGGGUAGCUUUUUUCCCUAACCCUUCGUUGAAAUGCCUAUAGAUGACUUCUUCUUUGUGCUGGUGUGUCGUAGCUAUGCCGUCGCCAACCUUUAAGGUGUGGAUGAAGUUUUUUCACCUCCUUGCUCUCAUCUUGAUGUGGAAGAAUUUUGUUCCCGCAUCGCCUAGCCGCAGCCAUGUGAGUCUAGAUGCCUGUCGCCGUCGUGCACGCUCGACCGCGGCGAGGCCGAGCAUACAUAACUUGAGUAGCUUUCGAAGGUCAAACUCUGCGUCUGAAAGACGCCUGUUCUCUUGCGCGACGUCAAACCUCAAGACUAAUUCUGCCGCCAUGUGGAAUUGUAGUUUUGCAUCACUGAAAAAGGCUUUGCUCCAAAUCUUUAGGUCCCGUGCAGUGCGCGUCAUUUUUGUAAGGAGAUGACGGAAAGCGCAGGUAGACUGCACUGGAACUGCGGGAACCUAGGCCAGAAAUUUUCGAAUUUGAACUUGGCUGGGCGUGGAGUUGCUGUUGUGUCAGUGAGAACUAGCGGGCAAUGAUCGGAGGUGGCCGUGGAUGCCGCAUGUAGUGACGCCGAGGGGAAUCGGCAUUCCCAUGGAAGGUUGCAGAAGAACUUGUUGAUGCCUACUAGCGUCGGGUUUUGUUGCUCGUUGCUCCACGUGUAGCGGCGGUUUGUACAUCUAAUUUCCUUCAAACCGGCAGUGUCGAUGGCCUGCGUGAAUUUUCCCAUGAGCCUCCGGUUGAGGUUUAGGUUAUUUUUAUCCCUAGCCUCGUAAAAAAGGUUGAAAUCGCCGUUUAUAAGCCACGGCUCCGCAGGCGGUGGCGUAGAGAAUGAUAGCUCGCGGAGGAACGCCUCCUUCCUGGCGUCGUCCGCUGGUCCAUAGACCGAGGAUAGCCAGAAAGGCUGGCUCUGUCCUAGCAAGGUGACCUUGGCAGUGAUAGCAAAAAUUCCUACCGCAUGCGAAACUAUUGUAGCGAGCUCUCUAUUCCAUAGGAUUGUCGCCCCGCCGCUCGUGCCGAUCGCCGGUAGGGCGAUGCAUUCUGUGAGUUGGGUUCCUCCUAUCUCCUGCACUAGUUGUGAAGUCCAUGCGUCUAUCUUCGUCUCCUGGAGGCACAAAAUUGCAGCUCGCAAUGAUUUUGCCAUCUCACACACUGAUGCCCUCUUUGCUGGUUGGUUCAGUCCUCUUACGUUCCAGCACAUGAUCGGUAGUAGCUUAUCACUCAUGGGGGAAACUAACAAAUCUUCGGUGACUACAUCUAUUUGGCCUUGGGCCCAGAACAAACACCUCCAACAUAACCGGGGAUCGCCGUCGCCCACCAAUAGGCCCCAAGCUACGACGGCGAUAGGAUACGGCCUCGCUAACCUUACACAAAGAAAUGAAACCUAGCUCUAACCGGCUAUCUGCCGGUCACCACCGAAAUAGUACAAAGAUAACUCUUAACAUAACUAGACUACGGCCUUCUCGGCCAUUCCGUCGGGGCCAGCCAUGCGAGCCAUGACCGUCAGGGCCGGCCAUGCGAGCCAUGACCGUCAGGGCCUCCCCGUCGAGGCGGGUGAGCUUGGCGAUGACCGCAAUGUCACUGUCUGAGAGAGGCUCAUCGAAGCGUCGAAUAUUGGCCUUUGCUACGUCUUAUGUCAUCUUCUCCUUCGGUCCUAGCAGCCCUAGCUCCUUCACGAGAUGGAGGGAGGCACGCUGCGCGACCGGGACGGUAGACGUGUUCGCUGCCUGCCGCACGCUGUGCCUGGUCGGAGUAGCCUGCGCCCUGCUCUUCGGCGGAGGCACGGACCGCCUAGUGGGUGGCACGGCCAGUAGAGGAGGCCUGCAUUCGCGGAAGAGGCGAGGCUCCUUGCUGCCGCUUGCCUCCACGAGCUCGAGCUGGCUCACACGGCUCGUCACUGCUCCCAGCUGAACCUCCAUCGUGUGCGCGGAGGAGGGAGUUGCCCUGUUGAAGUGGUCGUAGUCCGACAGCGUGGGGCUGAAAGUGUCUAGUUGCAGCGCCUCCCCUGCUGCCUCGGGUAGGGAUCCCUCGUCGAACUGCAGCGGCUCGGCCAGUACUGCGUCUGCGGCCGCCUGCACGUCGGCCGCCAUGCCGUCGACGACGGGGGAGGUCAUCGGCGGUUUGUUUGCCGUUUUGAAGAACUCGUCCACCGGGUCCUUGCCCGUGGUCUCGUCGUGAGCCUCUCGCGCCUGUGCUGGCCUGACAGUGGGUGGUGGCGGAGGCCUAGACCUGCCCCGCUGCGCGUGGUGACGCCUCCCCACCGAAGCCCUCCUCUCGCCGCGGCGUCGGCCGAAGGAGUCCCGCGACCGGCGUCUUGGCGCGGGAGAGCGGCUGCGCUGCCGUGGAGCCGGUGGUUGUGGGGGGACGACCAAAGUGCGGCUACGGCGGAGAAGAACGUCCUUCCAGGAGCGCUGCUCUCCCCCCUCGGGUCACCAUCCCCGUCACCGUCUUGCUCCCGGCCGCCGCGAGCCAUACCCCGGCAGCCGACGCUGGCCAUCGGCGCGCGGGCCUGUGUCUUCUUCCUUCCCCCACGCUGGCCGUCCUCGGUCCCCAUUGUCGAGGACGCGGGCGCGACCGCCGGGAAGGGAGCGGCCUCGCUAUCCGAGUCGGAGGACGGGAUUCCGCUCUGCUCGGAGUGGGAAGAACGGGGGGACGGCGGAGUCGAGUCUUCUACCCGAUCGACGUGGAUGAGCAUGGAGUACUCGGCCGUGGCAGGGGGCGGAACUACUCUUCUGUCUGGUGGGGAGAACCCCACCAUCUCCUCGACGCGGCCUGCUCCCCUCGGUAGGAUCCCUAGGCAGUGCUUCAUGGGAAUGUUUCCGACAUCGUCGGUCCAAACCCAGCACGCAAACGUCUUGGUGUGGCCGCGCUCGAGCGUCCUGCUGUCGAGGCGAUCAACUCUUACCCGCCUCCCGAGGAUCUCCUCCGCCCCCUCAACUGACCAGUAGUGCAUGGGGACGCCCUCGAUGACGACCCGGACAUGGAGCAGCAGCGAGCCGAAAGAGGCGUGGUCGUGCUCGUGCCAGGAGGCGACGUUGAAAACGGUUUCGUCGACCCGGAUGGAGGCCCGACGCAGUGCAUUCACCUGGUGUGCCGGCUGGGUGAAGAUCACCAAGUAGUGCUCCGGGUGGUGCGCCGUGACGCGCAGCGAGUGCUCGGGCACUGCGAGCUGCACCUCCAGGGCCCUUCCCACCGCCAUGGGGGACGAGGCGUUGACGCCGUCGGCUGCAGACAGGGUGACAGCGUGGCUUCUAAGCAAGAAAAUGGCCUGGUCUACUUCCGGCGAGGGGACGGCCACCGAGCGGCUCUCCCUAGGCCGCCUCGCAGGGUCGAUGUGGUGCAGCAUCGCAGGCUUCAGCGACGGCAUGGGUGAAGCGACCGGAGGCGGUGGGAAACAGACGCGCGCUUGCAGCGGUUGGCCAGGAGCGGGUGGGCCGAGCCGGCUGCGAGCCGAGACGGGCGCCCCCGGAGGGAGGUGGCGCUGUGGGCAGCUCCUAGCUAUGUGGCCAGCUCUUCUGCAGAGAACACAAUGUAUCGGGUCUCUGCACUCUGCCCUGCGGUGCUUUCUACUGAGGCACCGAAAGCACCUGCCCCUGAACUGGCGUAAGAAGGCGGACGGCGCUGCAGCUAGGCCCGAGGGGCGGUUGGGCCUAUUACCCGCACUGUGCUGCCCGGCGACCAUCGGGUCUGACGAGGCGCCGCGUCCCCUCCGGCGAACGACCUCUGACCACUUCCCAACCUUCCCAGAAAUGGCAAGCGGAGGGGCGACGACUAUGGACCUGAGGCGACGGGACGGCAGAGGUGCCGCAGCGACCGCGGGGUCCGAGCACGGCGCAGAAACGGCGGGCCCUGGGGAGUGCGCCAUCGGCCGGACCGGCGGNGGGGGGGCGCGCUAGGACCGGGGUGGAAUGGGGGUGAGCUUGUCUGCACCGACAAGGAGCAUUCACCCCUCAGCAGGAUUCGCGGCGGUGUGGGUGGAUAUCGCGAAGACUCGGAAGUCGAAGAAGCCGGAGGAGACGCGGCCCGACCCGCGGAUCCCGCCCCGCACGAGACGACCGCGCCUGCAGGCGAGCGACCGGGGGAUCCCGACGAGCACCUCGGGGCCAUAAAGGCUGGUGGUUGGCCGCCGCGGCCGGAGUCGUCGAGUCGUACAAAGUCAUCCCACACUGAACUACGUUACAGCGAGGAGUUGGCAUUCCGUGCCUAUGAUGACCUACUUGCAACCACAACCAUCCAACCAGCCGUGGACCCGUAGCGCCGAUGGCCGGCCACCGCAGGCACGGAAUGCCAACUCCUCGCUGCCACGUUCCACAUCCAGCAGAGAGCCUGACGCACACCGAGCACCCAAAGCCAAAUCCGAUAGGAUAUGCCCGGAGACCAACCUGCAUAUGGAGCUGCUUUUUUUUUAGAGUGUUGAUAUGGAGCUGCUACCACAAUCAGGCAUGCAUCCCUAGCCAUGGCGCUCUACAUAGCAUGGGCAAAAUUAACAAAUUUAAUCCAGCAGCCAAAGGAUUUCAUAAACUGAGCUACGUUCGAAAAAAUUUCAUCCAACUGACAUUUUUGUGUGACGUCUUUGUCUUAGGCUCCACACUACACUGUGCGACGUCCGACACUACGUUGUGUGACAUCUGAAACCUAGUGUGACGCCUAAGGUAUAGGCGUCACACUACCACAUCGUCUAAGACAAAGACGUCACACAAUAUACUGUGGCGCCUGACUGUCGCACGCCACACAAAAUGGGUCAGCUGGAUGAAUUUUUUUUAAACAUAGUUCAGUUUAUGAAAUUCUUUGACUCAUGGAUCAAAUUUGUCAAUUUUGCCCAUAGCAUAUCCCACUCCCGCGUGAAAAACUGGGCGUGCUCCAGGUUGCUGCAGUUCGGGACGUAGGGGUCCCAUGGCGUCCCUAUGACGUAGGUAGUUUUAAAAUCAAGUGGAGCUUGUCAUUGGCUCGUGUCAAACCUUUUGGUUCUCUGGUUUUGAGUACGGCUUGUCCUGUCUAAAAUGUUACUUGUGCUAUGAUUUGAACCAGGGAGUCAAAACUCUAAUGAUCGAGAAAAAAAAUCGUUUUUAUAUAUCCUUAGUCGUUUUUUAAUGGGUAUACAUGCAACUAAUUUGCUCUUUUACUAAGAAAAUGUAUUUUCCAAAAUGGGUAUACAUGCAACUAAUUGCUCUUUUACUAAGAAAAAACAACAGGGACCACAUCCAUCCAUUUCAUUUCUUAAGUCCGUCCUUCUUUAUUCUUUUCCCAACAGUGUUGCCCGCUGGAUCCAGAUUCUCCAUCGCAACCACCAUACCGGGGCCGUUCGAGCUGUGCUCGAGCCCACUCUUCAGCGCCAUUAGUCUUUCCUUCUUUAGCAAAAUUACGCCCACCUCUGCAUGCAUACACACCGCAGAAGCAAGACAAUAAGAGAUGGCUUAAAAAAGGUAUGAGCAUCAAACGGAACAGGAGUCUGGUGACGAAGGGAAACAAAGAUUAAAUAUAUCACCGAUCGGCAGUACACGUUUAUAUUUAUCUGGAUAUCCAAAGCAGUAAUUGAUCUCGGCGUUGAAUCAGGGAAGAGUAGGGAUGUGUGCAUGUUUGCAUGCGCAUGUGUACAUACCGGUGGGGUGAACGGGGGUGGUGGAGAGCGACCAGAGGAGAAGCCCGGAGAGGAGGACCACGAUGGGGACGAGGUGGACGAGUGUGUGGGCAAGGUUGGCGCGGCAGGCGUCGAGGGCCUCUUUCUUGGCUGUGUCCGAGUGCGGGUCGUACGUCGGCAGAUGGUCAGCGUCCAGCCCUGCAUUCCCGCUUGGGCCACCGGUCACCGACGCCGCCCCCAUCGAUGACGACGAAGAUGAAGAGGAUGACAGGUAGUAGCUCGACGAACGAUGCAUCUCGGUCGAUCUCUGACCGGCCGGCCUCUCCUCCUCGUUAGCUCUCGUGCAUGGCUUGGCUGCCGACGAAGAUUGAGAGAUGCGCCAUUAGCAAUUGGCUUUAUGUGGUGGGAGUGGUUUUGCGCUUUGUGCAUGCAGUCGGAAGUUUCUUGAUGGACAGCGCACGGUUGUAGCCCGCGUCAUGCGCUGCGGCUGAUAUAUCUAUUUCUUUUACUUUUCCAUAUAUAGAGAUAUUAGAAAAAACAUAUUUUUAACACAACACCAUCGCAGAUGCACACAUACAUACAUUCCUAUGAACGUAAGCAUGCACGCGCUAUACCUAUGCACACCUUUGAGAUACAGAAACUACACAAUAUCUUAAAAUUGAUGAAAUUAUUAUAGUCGCAAUCAACCAAAGUGUCUUCUUCUACUGAACGUACAUCAUUAAAAGGACUAAAAUAAAUACAGAAAAAUGUAUUUUUUAACAAAGACCAACAUACGUGAGUAUGUUGGACUGAAUUCACCACAAACAACCUAACCAUCUGAGCUAUACUUAAUUCACAAAACAAACACGCUUUUAGGAUACAUGUCUGAUGGAAGUAUUUAUUAAUAUUAAAUAUAGACAAUAAAAAACACAUAACAAACAAUCAAUAUCACAGUUGCCUUCGUGUCCUCCACAAACAGAUGGCCAUACACCCUCCAAUUCAUGUUUAUCUCCUUUUCAAAUACUCUCUCCGCUCGGGCUAAUAGGAUGGGUGGCAUUUGUUUUUCCUCAAUUUGACUUAUAUGAUAAAAAAAUAUGCCAUUCGAUUAUAGUCGAAUAAAGUUUGUAAAUAUACCAUUUUGGCGGCAUAUAACACAUAUAUUGUCAACUCAAAUCGAAAUUACAAACCCCUCUUUUGUUCCUCUCGUUUAGCCAUGUCAAUUAUUUGCCCUCUUUCUCUCAUUAUAUUAGGUGGCACUACAGAAAUCAGGAAAUUUGCCAUCAGACAUUAACACACGACAAAGGCCUAUAUACAGAUGUUAAAAAAUUUAUCAUCAGCCAACAGACGACAAAGCUUGACGACAUACUGUGAAUAGGCAAAGAGGUACUUUGCCGUGAGCUUUCCACCGGGCACACGACAAAGAUUUUGCUGUUAGUAUAACCUCUUUGCCGUCUGCAAAUAAGUAAAGACGGCAAAAAAAAAGUAACUCACGCAACUGACCAAACAGACGAAGUUAGUGCCUUUACCGUCAGCCUUCAUGUGCACCAAACGACAAAGAAGAAACCUUUGCCAUCUGCCACUAGACGACAAAGUCAGGUUUAGGGGUUUCUGUUAGCAGGCGGCCCCACGUCACUUUGUUGUCAUCCUAUUAGUCAAAAGACGACAAUGACUAUUUAGAUAAUUAAAAAAAAUACGGCCGUGUGUGGUCGCCGUCCAUGGCAACCAAGAUCUCGCCAGAGCUGCCUCGCUGGAGCGGUCCGCCCCUCCCUACAUCCAUGCAUCCAGCCAUCGUCUCCCCAUCUUCGCGAAGCUCGGCCUCAAGUAUCGUUGCCGCUAUCCUCAUCUUCUCCGCCUUCGGCAUUGGCUACCUCAGAGAGGACAUAAUGCGAGGGAGGAAAGAGAGGUCCUGAGGAGACCAGUAGCAGGGUUGUGGCCGCACGUGAUGGGUCGAUGGCGGCCGUGGUGGGGUGGUCGGCGGAGGCCACGAGCGUGGCGGGGCGGCGAUGUUGUGGUCGUAGGUGAUGGGAUGACGACUCAUGUGAUGGGCCGGCGGCGUACAUGGCGGGGUGGCCAGCGACCGUGGCGAGGGUGGCGGGGUGGCCGACAGGGGCCACAAGUGUGGAGGGAUGGCCGACGGCGGCCAUGAGGUUUUCGCACAGGUGAUUGGACGGCAGUUUGUGUGACGGGCCGACGGCGGACGUGUCGGGGUGGCCGGCCGCUAGGAGGGCGGGGCGGGGAGGCCGGAGGUGGGCACAGAGAGGCACGAGAGAGAGAGAGAGAAAGAGAGAGAGAGAGAGAGAUAGAGAGAGAGAGAGAUGUACGAGAAAGAGAGGAACAAGGGAAGAUACAGAUCGUGAGUCCGCGUGGGCUCGUGCGUGGGGUCGUGGGAUAAGGGAGAGAAAGUGGUGAAAUGGACAAUCGAUCAUGGGGCUAAUGAUGUGUGGAGCAGAUUAUGCCAUGUCAUCGAUCCGUGGGAUCGAUCCGCGUGGUGUGUUUCUUCUUUGCCAUGUGUCUUUUCUUUUACAGAUGGCAAAGAGCCUACUUUGCCGUAUAUAGAUAAAAACUCAGACGACAAAGACUUUGUCGUCAUCGUUUUUAUCUACAAACGACAAACUAAGCUCUUUGUUGUGUGUAAAUAAGAACACAGAUGGCAAAGUAUUUUUGCCGUCUGCAUUUUUAUUUAUAGAUGAAAAAGUGAGCUCUUUGCCAUAUGUAGAAAGAAAUGUAGACGACAAAGUAUUUUUGCGUCAUCCAUUCUUCUUCGUUAGCACCUGUCGUCAAAAUUGCUCUCCGCCAUGUGCCCCCAAAAAAUGUUGACGGCAAAUUUCAUGUUUCCCGUAGUAUGGUAUUAUUUACUUUAGAUAUAUGAAUCGUUUUGGCAUUUGGUAGCAACAUUUUGAUCACAAGGCGUGCGUCUGUCGUUCGUCCUAUCAUCAGAACUAUCGAUGCUAAAAUUAGUGGAUCUCGGGUAGGGGUCCCAAACUGGUGAUCUAGGAACAAAGGUAACGGGAGACAAGGGGGACAAUGUUUUACCCAGGCUCGGUCCCCCUUAAAGAGGUAAAACCCUAUGUCCUGCUUUCAUUGAAUUUAUUGGAGGGGGUACAAAGUACAAGAUGAUCUAUCUCAAGAUCGUAUGAUUGCGUUCUAUACCAUAAGGCUUGUGUUCUUGUCCUUAAAGACUAAAAUCUCUCAGCUUAUAUAUGCAUCGGGGGUACCAAGGUUACACGUAUGGUCUGUUACCAUCUAGGGAUAAACAUGUCGACUACUCAAACACUCCUUGAUGCGCGUGCCAAGUCUUCGGAAGUUUCCAUCUCGCCUACGCCGAGGAUCUGGUAGUCCUUCUUUCUAGUGGUCGAUGGGUCAUAUGUGUGACCCAUAGACGAUAGGUCAUUAGGGUUACCCUCCCCCCUAGUCCAGUGCACUUUCAAUAGCCCAUGAACUUGUCUUGAAAGCCAAAGACUAUGUCCCCUUCCUCGGAACGACUUCUUCUUCAAUAUCUUUGGCUCAGCAGGCUACUUCUUUCUUCGUUAGCUUGUAUUCUGAUGUAUGGUCUUGCUUAUCAACAAGACUUUGAUUCUAACAUAUGAUUCUUAGAAACCCGUUUUGAGGAAUCAUGGUUCAGGCCCACCAACAGUAAUCCUAACCAUACCUUUAAGGUGUUUCUUGAUUUGCGUACCUUAAGAAUUUGGGAAACAAGCGGAUUGAUGGUUGAAUGCCUAAAUGUCCCUUCUUCACUUGUUUUACAAGGGUAUUUAAUUGUCCAUGGGUGCAACAACUUUCCAACCCACACCUUCUUUCAUUCUAUACCGACACAACCCCCCCCCCCUUGCCAACUCAAGAGUUCUUAGCAAUGGCGAUUGCCCCAAGUUCAUUGAAGUGCCCCCAUGGGUCUCUCCAAGGUGAAUCGAAAAGCUGCUCAAUCACCCGCGCACAAUUGAGUCGGCUUGCAACUCAAGGCUAUUGAUACGUCUCCAACGUAUCAAUAAUUUAUGAAGUAUUCAUGCCAUAUUCACCUAUGUUUACAAUACAUUUAUAUGGUUUUGAUGCACUUUAUAUGAUUUAUUUAGAACUAACCCGGACUGACGUUGUUUUCAACAGAAUUACAAUGGUGAUGUUUUUUGUGGAGAAAAUGAAAGUUCUCGGAAUCGCCCGAAACUUUUUAAUGUUUUUUUAUGGAACAUAUGAGUAAUAUUGGAGGGAAGAACCACCGGAGGGGACCCACCUGUGGGCCACAAGACAACACUGUGCGGCCAACCCCCUGGUCACACCCUCAUGGCUCGUGGGGCCCACGUGACUCCAUUUAGCGUGAUUCCAAUGCCAAAAAAAUCCUAUAUAUACACAAACCCUCAGAAAUAAACAGAGAACUUCCGCUUCGUUGUCAUAACUCUUUGUAUCAACGAAAAACCCAUGUGGAGCCUUUCUAGUACCCUGCCGUAGGGGGUAAAUCAUCUCUGGUGGCCCUCUUCAUCAUCCCGGCGGAGGCCAUGACGAGGAGGGAGUAGUUCACCCUCGGGGCUGAGGGUAUGCACUAGUAGCUAUGUGUUAAUCUCUCCUUUUCUCUCUCUUAAUGUAUCACGGGCGUUGUUAAUCUAGUUGGAUCAUAUGAUGUUAUUCCCUUGCUACUUUGUUGUGAUGAAUUGAAUCUUUCCCUUUGAGAUCUCAUUAUGUUGGAUUGAAUAUUGGAUUUGAGAGCACUUGAUGUAUGUCAUGCAUGCUGUCGGGACCCCGAUCCUAAGCCAUACGAAUCUAGCAUGCAACACAUCAUAUCACUUUAUAGCCUCACACACGGUAAUCCCCAUGGGUGCCACCUUACCUUGGCCAGGACCGUUUGCGCCUUUUGGUUCACAUAUAUGAUUAUGUCGCUAGCAGUCAUAUGAGAGAGAACCCGGGUCAACAUGAGUUGUUAUAAGCCCAAGUCGCACAACCGUAUAGAAACAUGCAUAGAUAACCCAGCUGAAAGGGUCGAUAUGGUUGACUAGAGCGGGGGGGGUGAAUAGGCAACUACUAAUUUUUAGCUCUUCUUAACAAAUUAGGGUUAGCAACAAAAGGUUUUCUAGAUAAACAGCUAGCUGAGCAACCUAUAUGAUGCUAACAACAACAACAACUAAUGCAAGCGAGGAAUACACCACAACAAAUAAGGACAAGGUAAAGGUAAGAGAUAACCACAAGUGGAACCGGUGGAGACGAGGAUGUGUUACCGAAGUUCCUUCCCUUUGACAGGAAGUACAUCUCCGUUGGAGAGGUGUGGAGGCACAAUGCUCCCCAAGAAGCCCCUAGGGCCACCAUAUUCUCCACACACCCUCACACAAUGCGAGAUGCCGUGAUUCCACUAGUGGUGCCCUUGAAGGCGGCGACCAGACUUUUACAAACAAGGUUGGGGCAAACUCCACACUAAGCUUGGAGGCUCACAAAAAGACCACAGACCUUCAUCACAAUGGAAUGUGGCUCCGAGGUGACCUCAACCGUUUAUGGUUCUCAAACACCCAAGAGUAACAAGAUCCGCAAGGGAUUAGUGGUGGAAUCAAAUAUCUCUUGGUGGAAGUGUAGAUCAGGGCCUUCUCAACCAAUCCCUAGAAAAUCAACAAGUUUGAUUGGCUAGGGAUAGAGAUCGGGCAAAAAUGAGCUUUGGAGCAACAAUGGAGCUUGGGGAGGUAAGAGGUAACCUUCUUGAGGAAGAAGACCCCUUUAUAUAGUGGGGCAAAGAAUCCAACCGUUACCCCCACUCACAGCCCGAGCAAAGCGGUAUUACUGCUGCCAGGAGCGGUACUACCGCACAGUAGAUCCACCAACCACGGAAGUAAAAAAUUACUUCCGUGCCUACCAUCGCUGAGGCUGCGGUUGUGCAAAAGUCGAAGAGAGCGGUAGUAAAAAACUACUACCGCCCAUAGAGCGGUACUACCGCUGGCACGUGCGGUACUACCACUGCCAGCAGCGGUACUAUUUCUAGCACCCGCGGUACGACCGCUGGCACUUUGCACGGACAGGGGGGAAUGACGGGGGGAUAACCCCGGGGUAGGUGUUGGGUGACGUAGCAUAAAUUCAAAAAAAUUCCUACGCAUAUUCAGAUCUUCCUAUGGAGAGACCAGCAACGAGAGAGGGGUGAGUGCAUCUUCAUACCUUUGAAGAUCGCUAAGCGGAAGCGUUACUAGAACGCGGUUGAUGGAGUCGUACUCGCGGCGAUUCAGAUCGUGGUGUGAUUCCGAUCUAGUGCCGAACUACGACACCUCCGCGUUCAACACACGUGCAGCCCGGUGACGUCUCCCGCACCUUGAUCCAGCAAGGAGGAGGGAGAGGUUGGGGAAGAACUCCAGCAGCACGACGGCGUGGUGUCGAUGGAGAGACGAGGUCUCCCGGCAGGGUUUCGCCAAGCACCGGCAGAGAGGAGGAGGAAGAAGGGCAGAGCUGCGCCGAGAGAGAGAGAAAAUCGUGUGUAAAACAGCCCCGAAACCUCAACUAUAUAUAGGGGGAGAGGGAGGGGCGCAGCCCUUAGGGUUCCCACCCCAAGGGGUGCGGCAGCCCCAUCUGCGCCAGGAGGUGGCGGCCACGAGGGAAGGAGGGGUGUGGCGCACCCCUGGUGGGCCUUAGGCCCACCUGACUUAGGGUUUGCCCCCCUUUCCNCCCCACUUGUCCCAUCUAGCCUCCCGGGGUCGUUGCCCCCUUUCGGUGGAUCCCCGGGGCCACCUCCGGUGGUCCCGGUGGUCCCGGUACGUUACCGGUGAUGCCCGAAACACUUCCGAUGUCCGAAACCAUCCGUCCUAUAUAUCAAUCUUUACCUCCGGACCAUUCCGGAGCUCCUCCUGACGUCCGGGAUCUCAUCCGGGACUCCGAACAACUUUCGAUAACCUCGUAUAACAAUUCCCUAUAAUCCUAGCGUCAUCGAACCUUAAGUGUGUAGACCCUACGGGUUCGGGAGACAGGCAGACAUGACCGAGACACCUCUCCGGCCAAUAACCAUUAGUGGGGUCUGGAUACCCAUGGUGGCUCCCACUUUCUCCAUGAUGAUCUCAUCGAAUGAACCACGAUGUCAAGGAUUCAAUCAAUCCCGUAUACAAUUCCCUUUGCCUGUCGGUAUAGAACUUGCCCGAGAUUCGAUCAUCGGUAUACCUAUACCUUGUUCAAUCUCGUUACUGAUAAGUCUCUUUACUCGUUCUGUAGCACGUCAUCGUGUGACUAACUCCUUAGUCACAUUGAGCUCAUGUUGAUGUUCUACGGAGUGGGCCCAGAGAUACCUCUCCGUCACACGGAGUGACAAAUCCCGAUCUCGAUUCGUACCAACCCAACAGACACUUUCAGAGGUACCCGUAGUGCACCUUUAUAGUCACCCAGUUACGUUGUGACGUUUGAUACACCCAUAGCACUCCUACGGUAUCCGGGAGUUCCACAAUCUCACGGUCGAAGGAAAAGACACUUGACAUUAGAAAAGCUUUAGCAUACGAACAAUACGAUCUAGUGCUAUGCUUAGGAUUGGGUCUUGUCCAUGACAUCAUUCUCCUAAUGAUGUGAUCCUGUUAUCAAUGACAUCUAAUGCCCAUGAUCAGGAAACCAUGAUCAUCUAUUGACUAACGAGCUAGCCAACUAGAGGCUUGCUAGGGACACAUUGUGAUCUAUUUAUUCACACAUGUAUUACUGUUUCCUGUUAAUACAAUUAUAGCAUGAACAAUAUGCGAUUAUCAUGAACAAGGAAAUAUGAUUAUAACCAUUUUAUUAUUGCCUCUAGGGCAUAUUUCCAACAGUCUCCCACUUGCACUAGAGUCAAUAAUCUAGUUACAUUGUGAUGUAUGGAACACCCAUAACAUUAUGGUGUUUAUCAUGUUUGGCUCGUGGAAGAGGUUUAGUCAACGGGUCUAGAAUAGUCAGAUCCGUGUGUACUUUACAAAUAUGUAUUACUCCACUCUGGACAUGGUCCUGGAUGGAGUUGUAGCGGCGUUUGAUGUGCUUGGUCUUCCGGUGAAACCUGGGCUCCUUAGCAAUGGCAAUGGCCCCAGUGUUAUCACAGAAGAGUGUCAUUGGACCCGACGCGCUUGGAACCACUCCAAGGUCGGUGAUGAGCUCCUUCAUCCAAAUUCCUUCAUGAGCCGCUUCUGAAGCAGCUAUGUACUACGCUUCACAUGUAGAUGCCGCCACGACUUCUUUCUUGCUGCUGCACCAGCUCACUGCCCCACCAUUCAAAACAUAUACGUAUCCGGUCUGUGACUUAGAGUCAUCCGAAUCAGUGUCGAAGCUAGCGUCGGCGUAACCCUUUACGACGAGCUCUUCGUCACCUCCAUAAACGAGAAACAUUUCCUUAGUCCUUUUCAGGUACUUAAGGAUAUUCUUGACCGCUGUCCAGUGUUCGAUACCGGGAUCACUUUGGUACCUCCCUACCAAACUUAUGGCAAGGUUUAUAUCAGGUCUGGUACACAGCAUGGCAUACAUAAGAGAGCCUACGGCUGAAGCGUAGGGGACAUAACUCAUCUUCUCUCUAUCUGCAGCCGUGGUCGGUGACUGAGUCUUACUCAAUCUCAUACCUUGAAAAACUGGUAAGAACCCUUUCUUUGAGUUUUCCAUAUUGAACUUCUUCAAUAUCUUGUCAAGGUAUGUACUUUGCGAAAGACCUAUGAGGCGUCUCGAUCUAUCUCUAUAGAUCUUGAUGCCUAAUAUGUAUGCAGCUUCUCCAAGGUCCUUCAUUGAAAAACUCUUGUUCAAAUAGGCCUUUAUGCUCUCCUACAUUUCUGUAUUGUUCCCCGUCAAUAAUAUGUCAUCCACAUACAGUAUGAGGAAAGCUACAUAGCUCCCACUCACUUUCUUGUACAGACAGGCUUCGCCGUAAACCUGUAUGAACCCAAACGCUUUAAUCACCUCAUUAAAGCGAAUGUUCCAACUCUGAGAUGCUUGCACCAGCCCAUAGAUGGAGCGCUGGAGCUUUCACACUUUGUUAGCACCCUUAGGGUCGACAAAUCCUUCUGGUUGCAUCAUAUACAACUCUUCCUUAAGGUUCCCGUUAAGGAACGUUGUUUUGACGUCCAUUUGCCAAAUUUCAGAAUCAUAAAAGGCGGCAAUCGCUAACAUGAUUCGGACUGAUUUCAGCUUCACUACGGGAGAGAAAGUCUCUUCGUAGUCAACUCCUUGAAUUUGUCGAAAACCCUUUGCGACAAGUCGAGCUUUAUAAACGGUUACAUUACCGUUUGCAUCAGUCUUCUUCUUGAAGAUCCAUUUAUUUUCUAUGGCUCGCCGGUCAUAGGGCAAGUCCACCAAAGUCCAUACUUUGUUCUCAUACAUGGAUCCUAUCUCGGAUUUCAUAGCUUCAAGCCAUUUGUUGGAAUCCGGGCCCGCCAUCGCUUCUUCAUAGUUCAAAGGUUCACCGUUGUCUAACAACAUGAUUUCCAUCAUUGUGUUGCCGUACCACUCUGCCGCGGAGUGUGCCCUCGUGGACCUUCGUGGUUCAGUAGUAACUUGAUCCGAAGCUUCAUAAUCAUUAUCAUUAACUUCCUCUUCAGUUGGUGUAGGCGCCACAGGAACAAUUUCCCGCGCUGCGCUACUAUCCUGUUCGAGAGGGGGUGUAAUUACCUCAUCAAGUUCUACCUUCCUCCCACUUACUUCUUUCGAGAGAAACUCUUUCUCUAGAAAGGAUCCGUUCUUGGCAACAAAGGUUUUACCUUCGGAUCUAAGAUAGAAGGUAUACCCAAUAGUUUCCUUAGGGUAUCCUAUGAAUACGCAUUUCUCCGCUUUGGGUUCGAGCUUUUCUGGUUCAAGUUUCUUCACAUAAGCAUCGCAGCCCCAAACUUUAAGAAACGACAACUUAGGUUUCUUGCGAAACCAUAGUUCAUACGGUGUUGUCUCAACGGAUUUAGACGGUGCCCUAUUUAAAGUGAAUGCUGCAGUUUCUAAUGCGUAUCCCCAAAAUGAUAGCGGUAAGUCGGUAAGAGACAUCAUAUAUCGUACCAUAUCUAAUAAAGUGCGAUUAUGACGUUCAGACACUUCGUUGCGUUGCGGUGUGCCAGGCGGCGUCAGUUGUGAAACGAUUCCACACUUCCUUAGGUGUGUGUGCCAAACUCGUGACUCAAAUAUUCUCCUCCACGAUCAGAUCGUAGACACUUAAUUUUUCUGUCACGUUGAUUCUCGACCUCACUCUGAAAUUCCUUGAACUUUUCAAAUGUCUCAGAUUUGUGCUUCAUCAAGUAGAUAUACCCAUACCUACUCAAAUCAUCGGUGAGAGUGAGAACAUAACGAUAGCCACCGUGAGCUUCAACGUUCAUUGGACCACACACAUCAGUAUGUAUUAUUUCCAAUAAGUCGGUUGCUCUCUCCAUUAUUCCUGAGAAUGGAGUCUUAGUCAUCUUGCCCAUGAGGCACGGUUCGCAUGUGUCAAAUGAUUCAAAAUCAAGAGACUCUAAUAGUCCAUCAGUAUGGAGCUUCUUCAUGCGCUUAACACCGAUAUGACCAUGGCGGCAGUGCCACAAGUAUGUGGGACUAUCAUUAUCAACUUUACAUCUUUUGGUACUCACACUAUGAAUAUGCGUAACAUCACGAUCGAGAUUCAUCAAGAAUAAACCAUUCACCACCGGAGCAUGACCAUAAAACAUAUCACUCAUAUAAAUAGAACAACCAUUAUUCUCUGACUUAAAUGAGUAGCCGUCUCGCAUUAAGCAAGACCCUGAUACAAUGUUCAUGCUUAAAGCUGGUACUAAAUAACAAUUAUUAAGGUUUAAAACUAAUCCCGACGGUAGAUGUAGAGGUAACGUGCCGACGGCGAUCACAUCGACCUUGGAGCCAUUGCCGACGCGCAUCGUUACCUCGUCCUUUGCCAGUCUCCGCGUAUUCCGCAGUUCCUGCUUUGAGUUGCAAAUGUGAGCAACAACACCGGUAUCAAAUACCCAGGAGCUACUACGAGCGCUGGUAAGGUACACAUCAAUAACAUGUAUAUCACAUAUACCUUUAACGUUGCCGACCUUCUUGUCCGCUAAGUAUUUGGGGCAGUUCCGCUUCAUGUGACCUUUUCCCUUGCAAUGGAAACACUCAGUCUCAGAUUUGGGUCCAUUGUUUUUCUUCUUCCCGACAUCUGGCUUAUCGGGCACGGCAAUAGCUUUGCCGUCUUUCUUGAAGUUCUUCUUACCCUUGCCCUUCUUGAAACUAGUGGUCUUGUUGACCAGCAACACUUGAUGCUCUUUCUUGAUUUCUACUUCUGAGACUUGAGCAUCGAGUACAACUCGGGAAUGGUCUUCUCCAUCCCUUGCAUGUUGUAGUUAAGCACAAAGCCUUUGUAGCUUGGUGGGAGAGACUGGAGGAUUCUGUCAAUUAUCGCAUCAUCUGGAAGUUCGACUCCAAGUGAAGUCAGACGACCGUGUAACCCAGACAUUUUGAGUAUGUGCUCACUGACAUAACUGUUCUCCUCCAUCUUACAGCUAAAGAACUUGUCAGAGACUUCAUAUCUCUCGACACGGGCAUGAGCUUAAAAAACUAGCUUCAGCUCUUGGAACAUCUCAUAUGCACCGUGUUGCUCAAAACGCCUUUUGGAGCCCCGUUUCUAAACUGUAUAACAUGCCACACCUAACUAGAGAGUAGUCAGCACUCCGCGUUUGCCAGACGUUCAGAAUGUCCUGGGCUGCUGCGGGAGCAGGAGGGUCACCUAGCGGGGCAUCAAGGACAUAAGCCUUUUUAGCUGCUUCAAGGAUGAGCUUAAAGUUGCGAACCCAGUCCACAUAGUUGCUACCAUCAUCUUUCAGCUUGUUUUUCUCUAGGAAUGCGUUGAAAUUGAGGUUGACGUUGGCCAUCUACAAUAUUUAUAACGACAACUUUUAGACUAAGUUCAUGACAAUUAAGUUUAUUUAAUCAAAUUAAGUAUGAACUCCCACUUAAAUAGACAUCCCUCUAGUCAUCUAAGUGAUACAUGAUCCAUGUUGAAUAACCCGUGUCCGAUCAUCACAUGAGAUGGACUAGUCAUCAUGGUGAGCAACUUCAUGCUGAUCGUAUUCAACCAUACGACUCAUGUUCGACCUUUCGGUCUCUUGUAUCCGAGGUCAUGUCUGUACAUGCUAAGCUCGUCGAGUCAACCUAGGUGUUUCGCGUGUGUAAAUCUAGCUUACACCCGUUGUAUGCGAAUGUUAGAAUCUAUCACACCCGAUCAUCACGUGGUGCUUCGAGACAACGAUCCUUCGCAACGGUGCACACUUAGGGGAAUACGUUCUCGAAAUUUUAAGAGGGAUCAUCUUAUUAUGCUACCAUCGUUCUAAGCAAUAAGAUGAAAAACAUGAUAAACAUCACAAUGCAAUCAUAUAGUAACAUGAUAUGGCCGUUAUCAUCUUUGCUCUUUUGAUCUCCAUCUUCAGGCAUCGCAUGAUCAUCAUUGUCACCGGCGUGACACCAUGAUCUCCAUCAUCGUGUCUCCGUGAAGUCGUCACGCCAACUACUACUAUCAGUACUACUAUGGCUAACCGUUAGCAAUGAAGUAAAAGUAGUAAGCACAUGGCGUUGCAUCUCAUACCAUAAAUUAAGACAACUCCUAUGGCUCCUGCCGGUUGUCAUACUCAUCGACAUGCAAGUCGUGAAACCUAUUACAAUAACAUGAUCAUCUCAUACAUCAAACAUGCAACAUCACAACUUUGGCCAUAUCACAUCACAUGUCAAACCCUCCAAAAACAAGUUAGACGUCCUCUAAUUGUUGUUGCAAGUUUUACGUGGCUGAUUUGGGUUUCUAGCAAGAACGCCUUCUUGCCUACGUGACAGCCACAACGAUGAUAUGCCAAAGCUAUUUACCCUUCGUAAGGAUCCUUUUCUCCAAAUCCAAUCCGACUAGAGUGGGAGAGACAGACACCCGCUAGCCACCUUUAUGCACGGUGUGCAUGACUGUCGGUGGAACCUGUCUCACGUAAGCGUACGUGUAAGGUCGGUCCGGGCCGCUUCAUCCCACAAUACCGCCGGAAAAGAAUAAGACUAGUAGCGGAAUAAGACUAGUAGCGGCAAGAAAUUGACAAAUCAUCGCCCACAACCUUUUGUGUUCUACUCGUGCAUAGAAUCUACACAUAGAAAACGUGGCUCGGAUGCCACUGUUGGGUAACGUAGCAUAAAUUCAAAAAAAUUCCUACGCAUAUUCAGAUCUUCCUAUGGAGAGACCAACAAAGAGAUAGGGGUGAGUGCAUCUUCAUACCUUUGAAGAUCGCUAAGCGGAAGCGUUACUAGAACGCGGUUGAUGGAGUCGUACUCGCGGCGAUUCAGAUCGCGGUGUGAUUCCGAUCUAGUGCCGAACUACGGCACCUCCGCGUUCAACACACGUGCAGCCCGGUGACGUCUCCCGCACCUUGAUCCAGCAAGGAGGAGGGAGAGGUUGGCGAAGAACUCCAGCAGCACGACGGCGUGGUGUCGAUGGAGAGACGAGGUCUCCCGACAGGGCUACGCCAAGCACCGGCAGAGAGGAGGAGGAAGAGGGGCAGGGCUGCGCCGAGAGAGAGAGAAAACCGUGUGUAAAACAGCCCCAAAACCUCAACUAUAUAUAGGGGGAGAGGGAGGGGCGCAGCCCUUAGGGUUCCCACCCCCAAGGGGUGCGGCAGGCCCAUCUGCGCCAGGAGGUGGCAGCCANCUUAGGCCCACCUGCCUUAGGGUUUGCCCCCUUCCUCUCCCUUGCGCCUUGGGCUGAGUGGGGGGGGGAGCACCAGCCCACCUAGGGGUUGGUUCCCUCCCCACUUGUCCCAUCUAGCCUCCCGGGGUCGUUGCCCCCUUUCGGUGGACCCCCGGGGCCACCUCCGAUGGUCUCGGUGGUCCCGGUACGUUACUGAUGAUGCCCGAAACACUUCCGGUGUCCGAAACCAUCCGUCCUAUAUAUCAAUCUUUACCUCCGGACCAUUCCGGAGCUCCUCGUGUCGUCCGGGAUCUCAUCCGGGACUCCGAACAACUUUCGAUAACCUCGUAUAAGAAUUCCCUAUAACCCUAGCGUCAUCGAACCUUAAGUGUGUAGAUCCUACGGGUUCGGGAGACAGGCAGACAUGACCGAGAAACCUCUCCGACCAAUAACCAUCAACGGGGUCUAGAUACCCAUGGUGGCUCACACUUGCUCCAAGAUGAUCUCAUCGAAUGAACCACGAUGUCAAGGAUUCAAUCAAUCCCGUAUAAAAUUCCCUUUGUCUGUCGGUAUAGAACUUGCCCGAGAUUCGAUCGUUGGUAUACCUAUACCUUGUUCAAUCUUGUUAGCGGUAAGUCUCUUUACUCGUUCUGUAGCACGUCAUCGUGUGACUAACUCCUUAGUCACAUUGAGCUCAUGAUGAUGUUCUACGGAGUGGGCCCAGAGAUACCUCUCCAUCACACGGAGUGACAAAUCCCGAUCUCAAUUCGUACCAACCCAACAGACACUUUUAGAGGUACCCGUAGUGCACCUUUAUAGUCACCCAGUUACGUUGUGACGUUUGAUACACCCAAAGCACUCCUACGGUAUCCGGGAGUUGCACAAUCUCAUGGUCAAAGGAAAAGACACUUGACGUUAGAAAAGCUUUAGCAUACGAACAAUAUGAUCUAGUGCUAUGCUUAGGAUUGGAUCUUGUCCAUCACAUCAUUCUCCUAAUGAUGUGAUCCCGUUAUCAAUGACAUCUAAUGCCCAUGAUCAGGAAACCAUGAUCAUCUAUUGACUAACGAGCUAGCCAACUAGAGGCUUGCUAGGGACACAUUGUGAUCUAUUUAUUCACACAUGUAUUACUGUUUCUUGUUAAUACAAUUAUAGCAUGAACAAUAGACGAUUAUCAUGAACAAGGAAAUAUGAUAAUAACCAUUUUAUUAUUGCCUCUAGGGCAUAUUUCCAACAGUAGGCUCAUCAAGCCUACUCCCCCACACUUCAACGCAGAGAGGGGCGAAAGCUUCCUCAACUGCCGGCUCCUCCUAGCCGGCUCUGUGGUCCAUGCUGUCUGGAAGGCACCUAACGCAUCGACCCCCACGAUGUGAUGGGGGCCUUCGAUUGAAGGAGAAAGUACCUCAGCACGGGUACAAUGGAGAAGUAUACGCGUGGCUACAGUGGUGGCGGCCGUACCGCUGACUCGUGCCGGCUACGACCCGUCAACCGUGUACAGUACCUGCACGCCACCACCCACUCCAUUACCCAGACCGGCGUGGCUACACUUGAGAUAGCCGUACCGCUGACCGGCGCCGGAUCCCACAAGAGGACGGCCUUCGUACGGCUCGUGCCCUACGUGGGAAGCACGCACUAAUCCCGCAGGUCAGUCGGCGGGUCCCAUGGCCAGAUGGGACUUUGCAGCCAGCGGGCCCCUCCAGCGACAAGACAAAUCAUAUGUGGGCCCUGUGGCCAGCCGGGCCCCUCAUAUUGUACCUAUUAUCCAUUUUGUAGGACGAGGGUUCGUCUAUUAAACCCCCUGGACCCCUCCAUGCAGAGGGUCGGUCAUUCUCACACCCACACACCUGUACAGGAGAGGCAGAUAGCGAGCCGAAUGGUCCAUCUUCCUCCUGCAUUGAACAGCUCAAGGAGCAUCUUGUAAUCCUUUGGGUUCAUCAACCACUCCGGAAGGACUAGGGGCAUUAUCUCCCACGGAGAGCCCCGAACCUUGGUACAUCGUGCGGCUUGCGUUGCUAGUUGCCAAUCUCGUUCCCGGAGCCCGCCGGCGUCCCUUCGGUCCCAACCACUCUCGAUAAGCCUACCCAUGGCAUCUGUCGUGAGAAAACAACGACAGUUGGCGCCCACCAUGGGGCCGUCCGCGGCACCGGUCGGAGUUACACUCCAGACAGGACCCUUCGCCAACCCCACCAGAUGCCUCGUGUCUGGACUAAUCAGCACGCCCGUGGAGCCUGUCCAUGUGGAGGUUUCCACGAUGUUGAUCGAUGGCUCAUCUUGCCCCACAGGCUCCGCCGUCGAGCUCACUAGUGAGCUGCUAGGCAACGGCGUUGCUCUUGACGUCAUUCGCCUCUAUGUCCUCUUUGAAAACCCGCGCCUUGAUGACGAGCCUUGCCACCUUGGCGUGGACGUCGACAUCGAUGCUGUGUGCACACACUUCAGCAGACUUAGUCUUGAAGAUGCGCCUACACCCAAUGAGUACCCCAGCGAUGUACUCGACUGCAGCCCGCUAGCGUUUGCGGGUUCUCUCGCCCCGCAAGAUGUCGACAUUUCCUCCGAUCUCAUGGAUGUGAUGGUUGCAGGCUCGAACACCAGUUCGGAUCGUGGCAAGGCCACGAUGGACGCAGCUGCGCUCCAUCCGGACCCUUCUGACCCGCUUCAUGUCACCCUUGCCGGGCUCACUGCUCCUAUCGCUCCGAUGGAUAACCCAGCGUCGGCUAGGGCCGAGCUGGAAGAGGCUCGCAAGCAGCUACUGAUGGAGGGCACCACCCUCUCCACCACCAAGCACCGGAUGGAGGCUGCGCAACGCGAGUACAACUCUGCCUAAUGCUUCACCCGACCGCUGACGGACCCAGCCGGCGUGGCGAUGUCCGCGGUCGCGGUCGGGUUGUUGCCAAAAUCCUAGGCGGCAAGCUACCCAUGUACGACACUCAUGCGGCCAACAUGCUGGCCGCCCAGGCGGCCCUUGGAGAGAUGGAUGCCCUGGNCUGGAGGGCGAGGAGCGUGUGCGCCAAGAAAAGCGCGUCAAUGACCUCCUCGCUGCCGCCAACGAGCAACAAGAUCGCCUCGAUCCUGCCCGUGCUUUCUUCGUGUCUCCGAGUUUCGACCAACGAGCAACAAGGUUACCAUGUCUCCAGCGGCCGUCAGCAAGCUCAACAUUCUUCCUCCCUACGCGGUUGUGGCCGGAAGGCCGAGGGAAGCCACGAACGACGUUCCUAGCACCGAAGCAAGCAUUAGACAGUAUCUAGCCGGCUCCACGAAGCGGCUGGAAAUGAAGGAGGCUCGGUUCAUGAAGUUCCCUCGCGUGAGCGGCGGGAAAAGGCUAGCACACCCGUGCCCCCAAUCUGGCCCGAGCUCUCGGAUAGGCCCUCGUGUCCUUCGCAGCGAGAAUGAUGCUCACACCCGCAUCGACCUUCUGGCUUAGUCGGCCCUCCUGGAGGAGGAGGGUCCCACCGGUUUGGCGUGCUUCAGCCCCCGGAUCUGUGGGGAGCCAUUCCCGUCGGGCUUCACCCUUCCCCGUGAUACUCCAAAUUACAACGGCUCCGCCAAGACGGAAGACUGGCUGAUCGACUACACCACUGUAGUCGGCAUCGCCCGAGGCAACAAGCGGGUAGCCGUACGCUACGUGCCACUCAUGCUGACCGACUCGACAAGAACUUAGCUUAACAGCCUGCCAGCCGGCAGCGUCAACAACUGGGUUGACUUUGAAGAGGCUUUCGUCCGCAACUUCACCGGCACCUACAAACGCCUUCGCCGCCCCCGUGAGCUGCACGGUAGCCGUUCAGAAGCGUCAAUAGCUGUUAGUUGUUCAGAAGCCCGACGAGGCCCUUUGCAACAACGUCACGCGCUAGACAGAGUUGCGCAACUCCUGCGGAGGAGUGCAUGAAGUACAAGAAAUUCAGUACUUCAUCAAAGGCUGCCGAGACGGAACCCUUCUCAAGCACAAACUCAUGUGAUCCGAGCCCACCUCUUUGGCGGCACUCAUGGCCAAGGCGGACAAGUACGCCACUGCUGACUUUGCAAUGCGUAUCAAGGUCAGCGCGACGGACAAAUCCGUCCAACCGCCGGCUACAACUAGGCCGAAUGGCCACAACCGAGGCAGGCAAAACAACAAGCGCAAGGCGGAUCAGGAAGAACCGCGACCUGGGAGCAAGUAGGUGGCCAACGUGGAGGAAGAGCAACCGGCUGCGCAAGCCGGCGCUCAGCGACAACGAACUGGCAAGAAUUCCUGGCAGCCCAAGCUCACCUUCGAGCAGAUGCUCGACGCGCCCUGCAAGAUGCAUUUCGGGGCAAAGCCGGCCACCAACACGCUCCGGCAGUGCACCUUCUCAAAGCGCGUGGUCCGGGGCGAGGGUCUAUCGGCUCCCCCGGGGGCGACUCCUCGAGGUCUGGACCCUGGGCCGAGUUCGUCUCCAGCUCCACCACCACCCAAUGAUGGCCAUCUCCACGACCAAUUCCCCGAGCAGGACGGGGCCUACGUCGUCUUCACCAACGAGGGCGAUGGCAAGCACAACCAGUAUCAGCGCCGGCAUGAGGUGAAUGCCUUGGUCCCCUCGGUUCCUUAGUACAUGCAUUGGUUCAAAAAGCCAAUUACAUGGAGCUAGGCGGACCAUCCCUCGGUGAUGCCGAACCCUCGCACAUACGCACUCGUCCUCGACCGCACCAUCGCCUCCAAGAGACUCACUUGCCGGUUCUCGCGGGUGCUAGUCGAUGGCGGUAGCAGCAUCAACAUCAUUUACCGCAACAUCUAGCUCAAGCUCGGGAUGAAGGAGAAGGACCUGCAGCCGACCCGGACUGUUUUCCAUGGCAUUGUGUCGGGGUAGUCAUGCUCGCCUAUCGGCAAAAUCCAGUUGGACGUCCUCUUUGGCAACAAGUCGCACUUCUGUCGCGGGCCGGUGUGGUUCGAGGUGGUGGACCUCAACAGCCCAUACCAUGCGCCGCUGGGAAGGUCGGCGCUGGCCAAAUUCAUGGCGAUCCCCCAUUACGCCUACCUCAAGGUAAAGAUGUUGGCUCCUAAGGGCAUUAUCACUGUUGCCGGCGACUAAAAGAAGUCGAUCGAGUGCACACGCGACAACAGCCUGGCUGGCCGAGGCGCUGGUGAUUGCAGAGGAGAAAAGGAAGCUCGACCGGUUCGUGGCUCAUGCCACCAAGCAGACGGCCCUGUCCACUCCUCCAUCCCAGUCGGCCAGCGACGCCUCAUUCGAGCCGUACAAGGAAACCAAGCAAGUGCCACUCGACCCGGCCAACCCCAAGCAGCGUGUCACCAUCGGCACCAACCUCAGCCCCAAAUCGAAAGGCGAGCUCGUCGACUUCCUCCGUGAGAAUCGAGAUAUCUUUGCAUGGUCCCCCAUGCUAGGAGUCCCAAGGAAGUACGCCGAGCACAAGCUUCAUGUGCAGCCGGAUGCAAAGCCGAUCAAACAACCUUUGUACCGCUUCGCUGAGGGGAAGCGACGCACAAUCGGAGAAGAGAUCGCCUAGCUGCUUGCAGCCGGCUUCAUCAUGGAAGUUUUCCACCUGGACUGGCUGGCCAACCUAGUCCUGGUGUUGAAGAAAAACAAAACCUGGUGCAUGUGUAUCGACUACACAAGUCUGAAUAAGGCAUGUCCGAAGGACCCUUUCGCCCUGCCACGGGUAGAUCAAGUGAUUGAGUCCACGACCGGUUGCGAUUUGCUGUCCUUUUUGGACGCCUAUUCCGGCUACCACCAGAUCAAGCUGGACCCGACCGACCGGCUCAAGACCACCUUUAUCACCCCUUUGAGACCCUACUUCUACACGACGAUGACGUUUGGCCUGAAAAACAGAGGCACCACCUUCUUGCGCUGCAUGCAACGAUGCCUCCUGCCGUAAAUCGGCAAGAACAUAUACAUGUCUACAUCGACGACUGAUACGUUCCAAACGUAUCUAUAAUUUCUGCUUGUUCCAUGAUCUUUUGGGUCACAAUGUUAUACAUUUUUCUACACUUUUAUAUCAUUUUACACAUAUUUGGACUAACCUACUAACUCAGUGCACCCAGUGCCAGUUCCUGUCUAAUGAUGUCUUUUUUGCAGGGGCUUUUACCCAAUUUUCCGAAGCCCGAAAAAUCCCGAGAAAAUAUAUAAAAAUCAGCGUACCGCAAGCUUCCAGAUCACCGAAGAUGGGCUAGAGGGGGGUCACGGGCCGCCCAGGCGACCUGUGGGCGCGGCCUACCCCCUGGCUGCUCCAAGAGGCCGCCUGGGUGGGUCCCACGUCCUCUGGUGCCCUCCCUUGGCCUAUAUUUACUCCUCCACAAGAAAACACUUCCAUCACAUCCAGAAUAGCGAAUUUCUCCAUCGUUUCGCCGCCGUAGUGCUUCCGAGAUCUGGAGCGCCAGGAGACCUCUUCUCGGCACCCUGCUGGAGGGAGGAUUGACCUCCGGGAGCUUCUCCACCGCCAUGGACGCUUCCCGGACCUGUCAUGAGUAUUCCUCCUUGGACCACGAGUCCAUGACCAAUAGCUAUGUGAUGUCCUCUCUCCAAUCUUGUGCUUCAAUGGUUAGUCCUUGUGAGCUGCCUACAUGAUCAAGGCAUCUAUGCAAUUCUCUUGCUAUUGCUAUGCUCGGUUUGUUGGGAUCCGAUGGAUUAUGAGAUUAUGUUUAGAUUGUCAUGAGUUAUAUAUUUUAAUAUCCUUUUAUAUUAUGUUCCUUAGUGAUUCAUGCAUGUUCUCUGUUGCUAUUUAUUGCUUUGGCCGAGUAGUAGAUUGUAACCCCAAGAGGGAUCGUUAUGCAUGAUUGUGGGUUCAUGCCCCUCGAUGUCUAGCUUGAGUGACAAAAACAUGAGACUAGGGGUUGUCCUGUUGCCACCAGGGAGAAAACAAGGGUGCUUGUGACCACGGUUGCAAGGAUUGUUUACCUUACGCAUAGUUCGUUAAUGCAGUUGCCCGUUGCUUUGAGUUUACACUUUGGGUGGGGCUCGCAACUUAAUACCGGUGAGAUGUUCUGGAUAGAUAUCUUAAGGUGGAUGAUUAGUAAGUAGAUGCUGAUGAAUAAACGGUCUACUUGUCUUGGCAUGCUUCCCAUUACCAUUGAACCUCUAACUGUCAAGUAGCAUAAUUAGCAUUGCGACACGUUCAUAAUUCUGUCAAUUGCCUAACUAUAAUUUGUUUACCCAAGCAUAGUUGUUUAUCGUCUUUUGGGAGAGAGACAUCACUAGUGAACAUCAUGUGACUCCGGUCCAUAUCACCAUUAUUGUUUACACCUCCAUCAUUUACUGCUUUCAUUUACUUUUCCGUUGCAACCACUAUCACUUUUCCCGCUUGUGUUUUUAUCCUUUGCAAACUACAAGGCCUGAGAGAUUGACAACCUCUCUGUACUCGUUCGGAGCAAAGUUAUUUGUUGUGUGUGUAGGUCCACAUUUUCUGCUAGCGCCAGUGUGGAAGACACUGUUGGAAAUAUGCCCUACAGGCAAUGAUAAAUAGUUAUUAUUAUAUUUCCUGUUACAAGAUAAUCGUUUAUUAUCCAUGUUAUAAUUCUAUUGAAUGUAAACAUAGAUACAUGUGUGGAUAUAUAGACAAAAAAAUGUCCCUAGCAAGCCUCUAGUUGGCUAGCCAGUUGAUCAAGGAUAGUCAAGGUUUUCUGGCUAUGUGCAAGUGUUGUCACUUGAUAACUGGAUCACAUCAUUAGGAGAAUCAUGUGAUGGACUAGACCCAAACUAUGAAUGUAGCAUAUUGGUCGUGCCAUUUUAUUCCUAUAACUCACUGGCACCGAAGGAAUACCUUGUGUGUAUCAAACGUCGCAACGUAAUUGGGUGACUAUAAAGGUGCUCUACAGGUAUCUCAGAAGGUGUCGGUUGAGUUAGUAUGGAUCAAGACUGGGAUUUGUCACUCCGUGUGAUGGAGAGGUAUCUCGGGGCCCACUCGGAAAUACAACAUCACACACAAGCCUUGCAAGCAAUGUGACUAAGUGUAAGUCACGGGAUCUUGUAUUACGGAACGAGUAAAGAGACUUGCCAGUAACGAGAUUGAAAUAGGUAUGUGGAUACCGAUGAUCAAAUCUCGAGCAAGUAACAUACCGAAGGACAAAGGGAAUGACAUACGGGAUUAUAAGAAUCCUUGGCACUGAGGUUCAACUGAUAAGAUCUUCAAAGAAUAUGUAGGAUCCAAUAUUGGCAUCCAGGUCCUGCUAUUGUAUAUUGACCGAGGAGUGUCUCGGGUCAUGUCUACAUAGUUCUCGAACCCGCAGGGUGUGCACACUUAAGGUUCGAUGAUGUUUUAGUAUAGUUGAGUUAUAUGUGUGGUUACCGAAUGUUGUUUGGAGUCCCAGAUGAGAUCACAGACGUCACGAGGAUUUCCGGAAUGGUCCAGAAACGAAGAUUGAUAUAUAGGAUGGUUUCAUUUGGUCACCGGAAAGUUUUGGGCAAUUCCGGCAAUGUACCGGGAGUGAGGAAUGGGUUUCGGGUGUUUACCGGGAGGGGCCCACCCACCCGGGAGUGAGACCAAGGCCCUAGGGUGGCGCACCAAGUCCUUAGUGGGCUGGUAGAGUCAUCCCAAGAGGGUAUGGCGCCACAUGUAAAAAUACGAAAGGAAAAGUAAAAAAGGAAAGAGGGAGGUGGGAAGGAAGAGGAGGACUCCUCCUUCCCAAACCGAAUUGGAGGAGGAGUCCUCCUCCUCCCUGGCGGCCAACGCACCCUUGGGGCCCUUGUGCCCCAAGGCUAGCCCCUCCCCUCCUCCUAUAUAUAUUGGUGGUUUAGGGCUUUUUGAGACACAACUUUGCCACGUGCAACUCUAGCCUAUUCCACAUAGUUUUACCUCUAGAUCGGAUUCUGCGGAGCUCGGGCGGAGCCCUGCAGGAGUAGAUCAUCACCACCACCGGAGCAUCGUCACGCUGCCGUAGAACUCAUCUAAUUCUCCACCUUGCUUACUAGAUCAAGAAGGCCGAGAUCGUCAUCGAGCUGUACGUGUGCUGAACGCGGAGGUGCCGUCCGUUCGGCGCUUGAUCGGAACCGUUCGUGGGACAGAUCAUGGGACGACGGUGAUUUGAAUCACGAAGCUAUACCACUACAUAAACCGUGUUUCUUAACGCUUCCCGUUGUGCAAUCUACAAGGGUAUGUAGAUCUAAUAUCCUCUCAAAUAUGGACAUCACCAUGAUAGGUCUUCAUGUGUGUAGGAAAUUUUUUGUUUCUCAUGCAACGUUCCCUAACAGUGGUAUCAGAGCUAGGUUCAUGCGUAGAUGUUAUCUCGAGUAGAACACAAAAGGUUUUGUGGACGGUGAUAUUUGAUUUGUUGCCCUCCUUAGUGUUUUCUCGAUUCGGCGGUAUUGUUGGAUUGAAGCGGCCAAGACCGACAUAACUCGUACGCUUACGAGAGACUGGUUUCAUCGAUUGACAUGCAACCUCGUUGCAUAAAUAUGACUGGCGGGUGUCGGUUUCUUCAACUUUAGUUGAAUUGGUUUUGACCGAGGCGGUCCUUGGAGAGGUUAAAUAGCAAUCUUCACAACUCCGUUGUGGUUUUUGCGUAAGUUAGAUGCAAUCAUACUAGAUACCUAUAGCAGCCACGUAAAACAUGCAACAACAAAUUAGAGGACGUCUAACUUGUUUUUGCAGUGACGUGAUUUUAUAUAUUGGAUGUAUGAGAUGAUCAUGUUGUAAUAGUUAAUUCGACUUGCACGUCGAUGCUACGACAACCGGCAUGAGCCAUAGGGUUGUCUUUAAACUAACAUUUGUGUUUGCAGAUGUGUUUACUAUAUUGCUAGGUCGUAGAUUUAGUGGUAAUAGCAUAGAUAGCACGACAACCUUGAUGGUGACACGUUGAUGGAGAUCAUGGUGUGGCACCGGUGACAAGAAGAUCAUGCCGGUGCUUAAGUGAUGGAGAUCAAGAAGCACAAGAUGAUGGCCAUAUCAUGUCACUUAUGAAUUGCAUGUGAUGUUAAUCCUUUUAUGCACCUUAUUUUGCUUAGAACGACGGAAGCAUUAUAAGGUGAUCUCUCACUUAAAUUUCAAGAUGAAAUUAUGUUCUCCCCAACUGUGCACCGUUGCGACAGUUCGUCGUUUCGAGACACCACGUGAUGAUCGGGUGUGAUAGACUCAACGUUCACAUACAACGGGUGGAAAAUAGUUGCACACGCGAAACACUCUGGUUAAACUUGACGAGCCUAGCAUGUGCAGACAUGGCCUCGGAACACAUGAGACCGAAAGGUCGAGCAUGAAUCAUAUAGUUGAUAUGAUUACCAUAGAGAUGCUUACCACUGAAACUAUUCUCAACUCACGUGAUGAUCGGACUUGAGUUAGUGAAUUUGGAUCAUGUACCACUCAAAUGACUAGAGAGAUGUACUUUUUGAGUGGGAGUUUAUUAGUAAUUUGAUUAAUUAAACUCUAAUUAUCUUAAACAUAGUCUAAGUCCACUUUGCAGUAUUUGUGUGAUGGAGAGGUAUCUCGGGGCCCACUCGGAAAUACAACAUCACACACAAGCCUUGCAAGCAAUGCGACUAAGUGUAAGUCACGGGAUCUUGUAUUACGGAAUGAGUAAAGAGACUUGCCGGUAACGAGAUUGAAAUAGGUAUUCGGAUACCGACGAUCGAAUCUCGGGCAAGUAACAUACUGAAGGACAAAGGGAAUGACAUACGGGAUUAUAUGAAUCCUUGGCACUGAGGUUCAACCGAUAAGAUCUUCGGAGAAUAUGUAGGAUCCAAUAUGGGCAUCCAUGUCCCGCUAUUGGAUAUUGAUCGAGGAGUGUCUCGGGUCAUGUCUACAUAGUUCUCGAACCCGCAGGGUGUGCACACUUAAGGUUCGAUGAUGUUUUAGUAUAGUUGAGUUAUAUGUGUGGUUACCGAAUGUUGUUCAGAGUCCCGGAUGAAAUCACGGACGUCACGAGGGUUUCCAUAAUGGUCCGGAAAUGAAGAUUGAUAUAUAGGAUGGUUUCAUUUGGUCGCCGAAAAGUUUCGGGCAAUUCCGGCAAUGUACCGGGAGUGACGAAUGGGUUCCGCGUGUUUACCGGGAGGGGCCCAGACACCCGGGAGUGAUCCCAAGGCCCUAGGGUGGCGCACCAAGUCCUUAGUGGGCUGGUGGAGUCAUCGCAAGAGGGCUAUGGCGCCACAUGUAAAAAUACCAAAGGAAAAGAAGAAGAAUAAAGGAAAGAGGGAGGUGGGAAGGAAGAGGAGGACUCCUCCUUCCCAAACUGAAUUGAAGGAGGAGUCCUCCUCCUCCCUGGCGGCCGGCACACCCUUGGGGCCCUUGUGCCCCAAGGCUAGCCCCUCCCCUCCUCCUAUAUAUAUUGGUGGUUUAGGGCUUUUUGAGACACAACUUUGCCACGUGCAACUCUAGCCUAUUCCACAUAGUUUUACCUCUAGAUCGGAUUUCUGCGGAGCUCGGGCGGAGCCCUGCAGGAGUAGAUCAUCACCACCUCCGGAGCGCCGUCACGCUGCCGGAGAACUCAUCUACUUCUCCGUCUUUCUUGCUGGAUCAAGAAGGCCGAGAUCAUCAUCGAGCUAUACAUGUGCUGAACACGGAGGUGUCGUCUGUUCGGCGCUAGAUCAGAACCGUUCGUGGGACGGAUCGUGGGAUGAUGGUGAUUUGAAUAACGAAGCUGUACCACUACAUCAAUUGCGUUUCUUAAUGCUUUCUUCUGAGCGAUCUACAAGGGUAGGUAGAUCUAAUCUCCACUCGUAGAUGGACAUCACCAUGAUAGGUCUUCGUGUGCGUAGGAAUUUUUUUCCCAUGCAACGUUCCCCAACAGACACCUACUUGUUUUUCCUAGGAGUCCUCCUGGUUCGAUAAACCUUAUAGUCUUCGUGUGAGGGAAAACUUGCUGCUAACUACAUCUCAACCUUCCACUUGGGGUAGCCAACGAGGAGCAAGAGGAGGAGCUAAAGUGUGGCUUCAAUCUUUGCCUAGGAAUAGCAUAGAUUCUUGGGUUAAGUGCAAAGAUGCUUUUAUUGGGAAGUACUACCCUCCUGCUAAGAUUAUCCAAUUAAGAAGUAACAUUAUGAAUUUUAGACAAUUGGAUAAUGAACAUGUUGCUCAAGCUUGGGAACGCAUGAAAUCUCUUGUUAUGAAUUGCCCUACACAUGGUUUGACUACUUGGAUGGUUAUCCAAACUUUCAAUGCGGGAUUGAACUUUACCUCGCGGAAUCUGUUAGACUCGACAGCGGGAGGAACCUUUUUCUCAACUAAACUUGGUUCUUCCACAAAGCUAUUGAAAGAGAUGAUGGUAAAUUAUUCUCAAUGGCACACCGAGAGAACUCCAACAGGUAGGAAGCUAAUAUGAGGAGAUCUCCUCCUUAAUGAUAAGGUUGACAUGAUCAUGACUCUACUUACUAAGCAAGCUCCUAUUGAUCCUCAUGAUGUUCCUUUAAAUUCUUUGGUUUCUCAACAAAGAGAGCAAGUUGACGUUAAUUUUACAUCUAGGAACAACUUCAAUAAUAGUGCCUAUAGGAGUAAUUUUGGUAGCAAUCCUAGACCGUUUCCAUCCAACAACUAUGGGAACAACAACAAUUAUCCUAGCACCAAAAACUCCACUCCUGAAUUAGAGAGCAUGCAUAGAGACUUUUUCACUUCUCAAAAAGCCUUCAACAAGAGUUCAGAAGAGAAACUAGAAAAAUUAGAUAGUCUCUCUUUGACGGUGGCCAACAUAGCUCAUGAUGUAGAGAUGCUUAAAAUUAGAAUCCCCCCCGAGGACAGAAACACCACAUCCAUGAAUACUAUCCAAGUCCAAAUUAAUGAGAACAUAAGAAUGUUAGCCAAACUUAAGGAUAGAUGGUGAUACGUCCCAAACGUAUCUAUAAUUUCUGCUUGUUCCAUGAUCUUUAGGGUGACAUAGUUAUAUGUUUUGCUACACUUUUAUAUCAUUUAACACAUAUUUGGACUAACUCAGUGCACCCAGUGCCAGUUCCUGUCUGGUGAUGUCUUUUUUGCAGGGGCUUUUAUCCAAAUUUCCGAAGCCCAAAAAAUCCCGAGAAAAAUAUAUCAAAAAUCAGCGUACCGAAAGUUUCCAGAUCACUGAAGAUGGCCAGAGGGGGGCUAGGGGCCGCCCAGGUGACCUGUGGGCGCGGCCUACCCCCUGGCCGCGCCAAGAGGCUGCCUGGGUGGGUCCCACCUCCUCCAGUGUCCUCCUUUGGCCAAUAUUUACUCCUCCGCAAGAAAACCCUUCGAUCACAUCCAGAAUCGCGAAUUUCUCCAUCAUUCCUCCGCUGCAGCGCUACCGAGAACGGGAGUGUGUGGAGACCUCUUCCCAGCACCCUGCCGGAGGGAGGAUGGACCUCCGAAAGAUUCUCCACCGCCAUGGACGCUUCCCGGACCUGCCGUGAGUAGUCCUCCUUGGACCAUGGGUCCAUGACCAGUAGCUAUGUGAUGUCUUCUCUCCAAUCUUGUGCUACAAUGGUUAGUCCUUGUGAGCUGCCCUACAUGAUCAAGGCAUCUAUGUAAUUCUCUUGCUAUUCCUAUGCUCGGUUUGUUGGGAUCUGAUGGAUUAUGAGAUUAUGUUUAGAUUGUUAUGAGUUAUAUAUUUGAUUAUCCUUUUAUAUUAUGUUCCUUAGUGAUUCAUGCAUGUUCUCCAUUGCUAUUUAUUGCUUUGGCUGAGUAAUAGAUUGUAACUCCAAGAGGGAGAGUUAUGCAUGAUUGUGGGUUCAUGCCCCUCGAUGUCUAGCUUGAGUGACAGAAACAUGAGACUAGGGGAUGUGUUGUUGCCACCAGGGAGAAAACAACGGUGCUUGUGACCACGGUUGCAAGGAUUGUUUACCUUACACAUAGUUCGUUAAUGCAGUUGCCCGUUGCUUUGAGUUUACACUUUGGGUUGGGCUCGCAAUUUAAUGUCGGCGAGAUGUUGUGGAUAGAUAUCUCAAGGUGGAUGAUUAGUAAGUAGAUGCUGAUGAAUAAACGGUCUACUUGUCUUGGCGUACUGCCCAUUACUAUUGAACCUCUAACUAUCAAGUAUCAUAAUUAGCAUUGCGGUGCGUUCAUAAUUCUGUCAAUUGCCCAACUCUGAUUUGUUUACCCAAGCAUAGUUGUUUAUUGUCUUUUGGGAGAGAGACAUCACUAGUGAACAUAAUGUGACUCCGUUCCAUAUCACCAUCAUUGUUUACACCUCCAUCAUUUACUGCUUUCAUUUACUUUUCCGUUGCAAUGACUAUCACUUUUCCUGCUUGUGUUUUGAUCCUUUGCAAACUACAAGGCCAGAGAGAUUGACAACCUCUCCGUACUCGUUGGGAGCAAAGUUAUUUGUUGUGUGUGCAGGUCCACGUCUUCUGCUAGGGCCAGGGUGGGAGACACACACUUGUUGGUCCUAGGAGUCCUCCUGGUUUGAUAAACCUUACAGUCUCCGUGUGAGGGAAAAUUUGCUGCUGACUACAUCUCAACCUUCCACUUGGGGUAACUAUGAGGAGCGAGAAGUAUAUACAUCAUCUCGUUAUCAAGCAAAGUUUUGUGGUGCCGUUGCCGGGGACUCCAAUCUUCAAGAUAGGGGAGUUGCACGCUAUCCUUUACCUUUGCGUUUUAGUCUUGUUAGUUUGCUUUCUAGAUUUUGCUUUAGAGGCUUAUACCAAAAACCACAAAAAAUUAGUUACUUUGCUUUUAGUUGUCAAGCAUGUUAGGAUUUGGUAAUUUGAGGGAAUCUGAGGUCCUAGAUUUCCAUAAAAGGGUUGGAGAAGAUGUGAAGAAAUCUUGGGAUAGAUUUUCUGAAGCACAUAAAAGAAUUAUGCCUUGGAUCCCUAUGAAAAUUUUGCUUAGAAAUUUUUAUCAUGGUCUUUUUAGGUGGUGUCAACACUCUGUUGAUAAUAAAGUUGAAGGAAAUUUUUUAGAGUGUGAUGAGGCUAGAGCUUUUUAUAUUAUACAUGGUCUACUGAAUUACUUUGUUUAUGAUCAUGGAUUUGACACUAUUAUUGAUAAACUUGCUAUCAUUGAAAGAAGAAUAGAUGCUCUAGACUUAAGAGAAAGAUAGAAACCCAUGGUUGAUAAGGGAAUAAUUUUGAAAAUAGAUGAUGACUGGGAGCGUUUUGUUAGAAUUAACAUCUCUAACCAAGACUUCCUUGCUUAUUGUGAUAUUGGAUCCAUGGUUUCUACAAUGCGAUCAGUUGUUUAUGAUUCUCUCUGGUUAGACAUGGACACUUUUUCAUAUUAUCAUGAACACGCUAAUGGGGAUAUUACUGAAAUCCAGGGAAAGGUAAAAGAUGUCCAGGUUACAUUCUCUAAAAUGAAUGCAAUGGUUGAUUUCUUCAUCAUGAAUCCAAGCCAAGGAAACAUGGUGCUUGGAAGGGACUUCCUCCGAGCCAUGAGAGGCUUCAUUGAUAUAUGUAAAGGACACAUACACUUACGUGGGAAAGCGAAAGGUACGUAUCCGUUCCCUAGGAAAAAUAAGGAUGAACUUGUUGAGGAUCCGUUUGAAGGCUUUUAUAAUUCCAAUGACCUCGGAGAAUCUUGAUCCUACUUCUUGCAUUAUGCCUAGCUCAAAGGCAUAAAAGAAAGAGCUUGUUGGGAGGCAACCCAAUUUGUUUUUCUUUUAGUUUUAGUGGUCUUGAUGCUUGUUACUACUGUAGCAACAUCAUUGUAUCUUUAUUUUUAAGCUUUGUGCCAAGUUAUAGCCUCUGAUCACUAGUGAACAUCAUGUGACUCCGGUUCAUAUCACCAUCAUUGCUUACACCUCCAUCAUUUACUGCUUUCAUUUACUUUUCCGUUGCAAUCACUAUCACUUUUCCCUCUUGUAUUUUUAUCCUUUGCAAACUACAAGGCUGGAGAGGUUGACAACCUCUCUGUACUUGUUGGGAGCAAAGUUAUUUGUUGUGUGUGUAGGUCCACGUCUUCUGCUAGCUCCAGGGUGGGAGACACACACUUGUUGGUCCUAGGAGUCCUCCUGGUUCGAUAAACCUUACAAUCUCUGUGUGAGGGAAAACUUGAUGCUAACUACAUCUCAACCUUCCACUUGGGGUAACCAACGAGGAGCGAGAAGUAUAUACAUCAUCUCGUCAUCAGAUGGGCUAGAGAAAAGGAAAAGGAAGAGAGAAUUAAGAUCCUUCCUACACACACUACCAUUGCUACUAUACCAGUUGUUGAGGAUCUCAAAACUUUUAGCACCCAUCGCACUCCUAGUCCCAAUGGACCUAUUAAUGGAGAUGCUAAUACCUCAACUGUAGGACAAGAAGGUCCUUUGAAUUUAGAGACUACUAAAAGAAUGAGCUUAGAUGACAUUACUAUCACUUUAGUUAAUGGUAGUAAUCUUGAUUUUGACAAUUGUAGUCUUUCCGAAGUGAUCACUUUUUUUGCAAAGAAUGGCUAGAGACCCCCACACUAGUACACUUAAUAUUGCCUUCACCGAGCAUAUUACCAAUGCUCUUAUCAAAGCUAGGGCGGAGAAGCUCAAGCUAGAGACUUAUAUUCCUAGGAAACUAGAGGAUGGUUGGGAUCCCAUGGUCAAAAUUAAAUUGAAUAAUAUCUCUUGCUUUGCGUUGUGUGAUGUUUGAGCUAGUGCCUCCGUUAUGCCCAAAAGAAUGUAUGAUAUGCUUGACUGGAAACCUUAUGAUCCAUGCUCUUUUGGUGUUCAUCUUGUUGAUUCUUCCAUAAAGAAACCUUUAGGGAGAAUUUAUGAUGUGCUUAUUAUUGUCAAUGAUAAUUAUGUGCCCGUUGAUCUUCUUAUUAUGGACAUUGAAUGCGAUCCUUCAUGUCCAAUUAUUUUGGGACUACCUUUUCUCCGCACCGUUGGUGCUAUCAUAGACAUGAACGAGGGAAUCAUUAAAUUCCAAUACCCCCUUAAAAAGGGAAUGGAACACUUCCCUAGAAAGAAUAUUAAGUUACCUUAUGAGUUCGUUACUCAGGCCAGUUAUUCUUUAGGAGUUGAUAACACUUGAUCUUCUUGCAUUAUGCCUAGCUCAAAGGCAUAAAAGAAAGCGCUUGUUGGGAGGCAACCCAAUUGGUUUUUACUUUCAGUUUUUAGUGGUCUUGAUGCUUGUCACUGCUGUAGCAAAAUCAUUGUAUCUUUAUUUUUAAGCUUUGUGCCAAGUUAUAGCCUCCGAUUGCAAGAAAGUUUAAAAAUUGUGACAUGCUGUCCAGAAACAGAUUAUGUGUGCUUGACGGAAAACUUCGCCAAACAUCAUCACAUCAUCUCUUUGAUCUGAAUAUUUUUGACGACAUGCUCUAUAUAAUUGCAUUUCUGGAAUCUGUUCUGAGUUUUUUGAUUUGAGUUGCACAAGUGCCCCGAAUAAAUUAUUUACUACCUGAUGUUCUGUUUUUCACACAUUCUGCAAUGUUUUCCGUUUUCAUUGUUUUGCAAAUCCUAAGCUUACUUUUUAUUUGCAAAAACCUUUUGGAAAUCAUGAGAAACAGUAGCAUUUCAUGAAAAUCUUUAUUUCCAGUACGUAAUGAAUUAUUUUAUUAAGGGUACUAACCACUCUAAUCAGCUUAUGAUGAGUUUCUUAUGAAGGGAGUUUUCAAGUAUGCGAUGGGAGAUGAUGAAAGAAGAUAGAGGAGUUAAGCGCUCAAGUUUGGGGAUGCCCCCAUGAACCCCAAAAAAUAUUCAAGGAGGCUCAAGCGUCUAAGCUUGGGGAUGCCCCCGUUGUUAGAGCAUAUAUCUCCAUAUGUUGUUUUGGUAAUUGAUGACUAUUCCUAUGGACUAAUGGUUGCCUUAAGUUAUAUUUAUAGGAUUUGUCCAUAGGCACUUCUUGAAGUCCAUCUGUUGAGUUCAAGGAGUUUAUAUGAUGACCAAGAUGGUAUUCAAGGUAUUAUCCAAAGAAUGGUCAUAGAGACACAAGGUUGAUCAAGAUCUCAGACAAAGAGUAAAUCAAGAUGAUCAACACACAAAGCGCACAAGAUGUACCGAGAGGGAUCAAGUGAUCCCAUGGUAAGGUAAGAAUUGUCCAUUACGUGUUUGUGUACUAACCCAUGGUCUUUGUGAGAGUUCUAUGUGGGGGUUAGGUGUGCUUCCAUGGGCUUGCGUCAAAAGGAACAUCUCAUACAACCCAUGAAGGAUGACGUCAAUUGGUGAUCGUCAUCAAGAUUAGGGUGUGCAAGUUCAAGUGGAUCAACACAAAUAUAUCAUGCUUGAUGCUUGCCGUCCAUUGUGGUGGCAAUGGACUUGUGAAGAUAUUCUGAAGAGCGGCUCACCCAUAGUGUGUAUGGGAGAGCAAUCAACUAGUCUUCAUCAAGCCAACACAAUCAAGAAAGGUGGUCCAUCUUGAGGAAGCCAAGAUCAUCGUCAUCUAGCUCAAUAGAACGAGGUGCAAGGUAUAGGUUUGCCCUUGAUAGGUUUUCUAUUUUAGAAUAGAUUGUCGUACUAUCAUGGGGGGCUCUCAAGUGAGUAGCUUGAUCGUAUCGUUCAUUGAGAGCUCAAACCAUUUGCAUCCUUGCAUCAUACUUCUUGGUUCUUGUUUGGUGUUUUCUCUUUGUGAGUUUUAGAUCUUAUGUUCAUCUUCAUGACAAGCUCGAGUUUAUCGAAAACGGAGUCCAUAUGCAUCUUCUAUGAUGUUUUCGAUGUUGCGAGUUUUUACCGGUCUUAUUCGAAUAAGGGUUCUCACCAUUUUCUUAUGGGACUUUUCUCACUUGCUUCUUAUUGAUAUUUAUAUCAAGAUUGUGUUAGCCCAUGUCGUUAGCUUUCCAACAAACUUGGUUUCGUUGAAUUCGGAGUCCGUAUGCGAAAGUUACAGCAGUUUCAGUAUCCAGCGGUAGUACCACCCCCGGAGAGGUAGUACCGCCCCCGGAACGGUAGUAAUUUUUUACUACCGCUCCCUAGCGGUAGUACCGCUCCGUCGGACCAUUUUUGCAUACUUUUUGGCCUCAGCAUGGUUGGUGAACCUACCGAGCGGUAGUACCGGUCCAUGAGCGGUAGUACCGCUGUGUGUGGGCUGUGAAGCAUAACGGUUGGAUUUUUCCCCACCUAUAAAUGGGGGUCUUCUUCCCCAUUGAACCUAAUCUCUUUAGCUCGUGUUCUUCCCCCAUUGUUGACCUUCUUCGAGCUUGCUAACUCUCAAUCCCUCCAAUGAUUCUUCCUAGUUCUUGAGGGAAAAGAGAGAGGAGAUCUAGAUCCACAUUUCCACCAAUCACUUUCUCCUCUAAGUGAGGGGAACCCCUUGGGUCUAGUUCUUGGAGUUCUUCAUGUUCUUCUUCGUUCUUGCAUCGUUUGAGUUCUCCACGGUGAUACGUGGAAGUGAAGUUUGAGAAUCUUAUUAGCUUUGGUACUUAGUACCCUAGAUAUUGUUCUUCAUGGAUGCUUUGGCGUCCUAGAAGCUUGGUGGUGUCUCGGAGCUCAAUCAUUGUGGUGUAAAGCUCCGGGCAAGCGUCGGGGUCUCCAAUUAGGUUGUGGAGAUUGCCGCGAGCAAUUUGUACGGGUAUCGGUGACCGCCCCCAAGGUUUUCCAUUUGUACGGGUUCGGUGACCGCCCUCAAGGGUCCCUUAGUGGAAUCACGACAUCUUGCAUUCUGCGAGAGCGUGAGGAGAUUACGGUGGCCUUAGUGGCAUCUUGGGGAGCAUUGUGCCUCCACACCGCUCCAACGGAGAUUAGCAUCCGCAAGGGUGUGAACUUCAGGAUACAUCAUCGUCUCCGCGUGCCUCGGUUAUCUCUUACCCGAACCCUUUACUUAUGCACUUUACUUUGUGAUAGCCAUAUUGUUUAUUGUCAUAUAUCUUGCUAUCACUUAGUUGUUUAUCUUGCUUAGCAUAAGUUGUUGGUGCACAUAGGUGAGCCUAGUUGUUGUAGGUUUUGUGCUUGACAAAUUAAACGUUAGUUUUAUUCCGCAUUUGUUCAAGCCUAAACCGUAAUUAUUUUAAAGCACCUAUUCACCCCCCUCUAUGCGACAUCCACGUCCUUUCAAUUGGUAUCAGAGCUAGGUAUUUAUUUAUUAGGUUUAACCAUCUAGAGAGUAAGGAUGUCGACUAGGGGUUUAGGAUUCACUGACACUCUUAGUUUCGAUGGCACAAAUUUUGAUGUUUGGUUAAUUCGCAUGCUUAAUCACUUUAGGGUCAUGGACCCAAAUUUAGAGCGAAUUGUAGAUAUGGGUUUUCUCCUGCAAAGGAUUCUCAAAAUAUAUCUUUUGAGGAUGAGAAAAACUCUUAUCUCAAUGCUCAAGCUUCUAAUGUGCUUUUUGAUGCUUUGAGCAAUGUAGUUAUAUUUGAACUCAUGCCAUUCCGGGAUGCUCAUGAGUUGUGGACAAAGCUUCAAGAUAAAUAUGGUAUGUCCAAGAUUUGUGGGAAUAAUUGUUCUCCCUCCACCUCCGGUCUUGUGGUCUUCUCAACUUCACCUACAUAUGGAUUUCCACAAGGUAAUGAUAUGGUGAGUAGUGGAGAUCAUUGCAAUGAUGAUAGUGGGCUUAUUGUUGAUGAUCCUUCAUCACUAUAUUAUUGUAAUGCUUCAUCUUUGGGCAUUAACACUUCGAGCACUCUAAGUGUUUUGCAUGCUUGUGUUGAUAGUCCUUGCAUAUCAUGUAAAAACUGCUUGACUAAAUCUCAUGAUGAUAUGCUUCCUAUAUCUUGUUGCCAUGAUAAAAAUGUAUAUAUUUCCUCGAAUUGUUGUGCUAACAAUGUAUAGGAAAUUCAUCACUCCAUGGAACAAGAUGUGGCCUUGAAUGAUGCUUCAAGGGAUCCUACAUCAUCACUUAUUGUGACUCACUUUUGCCUUAUGGCUAAGGCUUCAAAGGUAUCUCCUACUUUGAAUCCCAGUAUAUCUCAUGAUGAUGAUGUUGAUGAUAAUGGGGAUGAGGAUAAUGAUGAAGAGAGUGAUAAUAUUGCAUCCUUCAAAAUUAAGGGUGAAAUCAUUUUUAAAUCUCUUUAUAAGAAUAAACUUGCUUGUUCCAACUUCUUGUAAAUCAUGUAUAUUUCCACUGAGGGCAAGAAAUACAUUGAGGAGUUGGAAGCUCAUCUUUAGGAGCAUGAGGCCACCAUUGAGACAAUGGAAGGUCAUGAGCGUGAUUACGCUAAUGAGAUCGCACAGCUAUCUCAAGCUCUUGAAAAUGAACAAACCACCAAGGAAUCUCUUGAGGAAACCUUUGCUCUAGAAUUAUCUAGAUUAAAGGGAUCCCAUGAUAGAGCUCUCAAGGUGGCUAAUGAUUUUAGAACUAAAAAUGAUAAGCUUAAAGUUGCACAUGCUAAACUCCUUGAGGACUAUGAGCACCUCGAAAAUGGCUCAAGGGCUAUUAAGAGUUCGCUCAUCAAACUCACCGAGUCUCAUGCUCAACUUGAAGCUUCAUAUGCUAAAGAGCUUGCCAAGGUGCCUUCUCCUCUUAUUGCUAAUGAUGAUGCUUGUGCUACUAACUCUACUUCUUGUGAAGCAUCCAUUUUAAAGGAGAAUGUUGAGCUAAGGGCUCAACUUGAGUUGCUAUCUAGCAAUUAUGGGAAAUUGGAAGAAAGUCAUGUAAUGCUCACAAGCUCUCAUGAUGAUCUUUUAGCAUCCCAUAAUGCGCUAAAAUUAGCUCAUGAGGCUAUUACUACCAAGGUAACAUCAAGUGAGCCUCAUGUGGACAAUGGCACUACUUCUAGUCAAAAUGCUAUAUUGCCAUGUGCUAGUCCUCGUAAUUCUUCUACUCAUAAUGUUGCUACCUCUUGUGAUGAAUUACUUUCCUUGCCUUUUUGCUCUAACAAUGAAGCUUAUACUUCCUCUAGUACUUGUGUUGAUACUAACCAUGUAGAGGAAAUCGAAGAGCUCAAGGCCCAAGUCACUUCUUUGAAGAAAGACUUGGAAAAUAGUCAUGAAGGGAUGUCCACACUCGACAAUGUCUUGUGUGGGCAAAAAUCCCUGAAUGACAAAGAUGGGCUUGGAUUCAACUCCAACAAGAAGAAGAUGUCCAAAAACAUAAAGAAGAAGGGCCAAGAACAAGUCAAGAAUUUGGCCAAGAUUAUUUGCUUCAAGUGCAAAAUUGAAGGGCACCAUGUUAGAUCUUGCCCACUAAAGAAGAAGCCCCAAAGUCACAAGCAACAAGGGAAGCGGCCACAAGUUCAAUCACAUACUCAACUACAAGUUGAAGAAAGACCCCUUCCCAAGAAGACCCAAGCCAACACUCCUCAUGUUGAGAAAUCAAUAGGGAAGAAAUUAAAGGGUAGAUGUUGCUACUUAUGUCGUGAGAAGGGUCACUUUGCUUCUUCUUGCACGAGAGGUAAUUUAUCCAACUCAAUCAUUAUUGUUGAUAUCUAUUCUCUUGGGAAGGAUAAGGUUGGCAAUGUGUUUGCCAAGUUUGUUGGUACUCAAAGUGGUGUCAAGAAAAGUACUAUUUGGGUUGCCAAGCCUAUUGUGACUAACCUCUUAGGAUCCAACGUGGCUGGGGACCAACAAGCUCAAACUUGAUCAAUAGGUGAAUGUGUAGGACAUUAGAGACUUGGAUACAUAAUGAAGAAUUAAGGGGUCUUCAUCAUUCAUAUUAUCUCAAGCCAAUUCAUUUGGAUUAUUGAGUUUCUAUCUUACAUCCAAUGUGCCUCCUUAUGGUAACUUGUACUUAAACUAUUUACAUUGUUAGUUGCUUGCCCCUUUGCAUGUUGUGGUUUUGUAACUUGCAUGUGUUUGUAUAUGUUGUGCUUCUAACUUGCUUAUCUUGAGUAAUCGAGUAUGUGUAUGUUGGUUUGCAUAUCAUGUACAUGUGAGUCUUGUAUUGAGCCUUUUUGCAUCUUGUUUGUAUCUUUGUUGGCUGUUGUGAGAGAUGAAUGGAUUAUCCCAUUGUGGGGGAGUGAUGUGCUUUGCACACGUCACAAUCCUAUAAAUAUGUAUACAUGGGGAAUACCACUUAGUAUUGUUAUUUCAAGAUUAUCUAGUUUCUAUGUGGUAUGUCUUACUCAUGAGAAAUUCAAAUUCUAUAUGGUCCAUUAGUUAUCUCUUGUUGGUUUUAAUUUGCCACUUGUUAAUAUUGUUGGGUUAUCACAUUAUGGGGGAGUAAUAUGCUAUGUGCAUAUUACAAGCCUAGAAAAUGUGUACAUUUGAGGUAUUGCCACUUAGUGUUGAUAUUGUAAAUUAUCUUGUUCCUAGGUGGCAUGUUAGCUCUACAAGUGUCAUUUGCUUGCGUUUUAUGGGUAAAGAUGAUCUUGGAUAUAUUUGCGAUCUACCAAUGAGUAUCAUUUCCAAAAUACUUCUUGUCCUUGACAAUUGGUAUUCCCAUCAUGUGGUAGGAAUUGCUAAUCGUCUUUACAUUGGAUUUUGUGUUUUGUUUGUCUUCCUUGCCUCUUGUAGAUCUUUUUUAACAUGUCUAGUGUUUAUAUAGAUAUAGACAAAGUGAUGAUCCCAUCUUGUGCAUUUUGUAUUUAAAUGCAAAUUCUAUAUAAUGCACGUCCUUUGGGGGAGCUAUCCUAUUUUCCUUAGAACACUCUCUUUAUUCACCCAUCAUAAAAUCUUUUGAUCCCCAUCAAGUGUGUGUUGAUGGGAGGCAAGUCUUGCUCUUUAUGAUGCUUUGUUCCAUCAUGAAAAUUUGUCGAGGGUUUGGUUUGUUGGAACCUAGCUCUCUUUUGGAAAUUAGAUACCUCGUGUUUGUUUUCCUUCAAUUGGUAUCUUGUUUCCUUUUAUUUCGCAUGUGUCAAUGGAUAUCUCGUUCCUUGAGGUAUCUUUUAAUUGAUAUCCUUCAAGUGAUUGUUUUUUUUGUUUGGGAUCUUAUUAUCACUUGAUACCUUCUCUUUUGGUGACUUAUCAACUUUGUGUUGAGUUGAUUCUUGUGAGUCUCGAGCAUGCAUAUCUACUAUAUACACCUCCUUUUGCUUGCUUGCUUUCUUUAACCCAAUAUAUAGGGGAAACUCCACCUUGUCAUAAAUUGGCUAAAGUGUGCAUGAAAUUCAAAUUCAUAUCUAUAUGCACAUAUGUAUGUGGAGUUUGUCCUAUGUAUUGUUGGUUUUCUAACUCUUUGGUCCCAAUGAGUUUGGGCACCAUUUUGUUUGUUUUGAUGUUCCAGGAACAACUGGAGAUGCAUUGGAUGCUCGGCUCACCUAUAAGGAAGGUGUUGAGACCAUGUGAUUAUUGGAGCCAAGUUAGGAUGAUCACAGAACAACUAUCUACUACAUCAAUCCAAUGUUGUCUCGGUAACAAGUAUCCACUUCAUGCAUCCUUUUCUUGCAAAGGCCCCAACCUAUCUUUUCUUUUCCAGGUUGCAUCAUGGCAUGAAUCUCAUUAUUCGUUCUUGUAGUACUUGUUUCCUUUCUCAAAGCAUCCGAACAAUGAUGUCUUACUACUAUUUGGGAUGUCUUUGAUGUUCGUAUGUUGGAAGUUCAUAUUGUACAAUAAGAAAAUAUUAGGCCAUGUGCUAUGCUUCCAAGCAAAAGACCUUAUUGAUAUAUUUAUGACUUCCUUUUGGAUAUCUAGUUUGUUCCUUCUUGUAACCAUUUCGUGUGUACAUCCUGCUUUGUGGAUAUAUAUCAUCAUGAUUGUCUUCUACUUAGAAUCUUUUACACAUGACAGAAGUUCUUAUUGAUAUGUUUUCUUUUCUUAUUGAACUUCGGCGUCAAGAUCAAACACAUCAGGAGUGAUAAUGGAACAUAAUUCAAAAACACUGGUCUUGAUGAUUAUCUUGAUGAACUUGGUAUUACUCACGAAUUGUCUGCUCCUUAUACUCCUCAGCAGAAUGGCAUCGUCGAAAGAAAGAACAGGACUCUGGUUGAAAUGGCAUGGACCAUGCUCUAAGAAUAUCAAACUCCUCGUCGUUUCUGGCCUGAAGCAAUCAACAUUGCUUGCCAUAUCAUCAACAGGGUAUAUCGUCACAAAUUCCUCAAGAAAACCUCAUAUGAACUCCUCACUGACAAGAAACCCAUGUAAGUUAUUUCAAAGUCUUCGGUGCAAAAUGCUGGAUUAGAGAUCCUCACCAUAGCUCAAAGGUUGAACCUAAGGCACAUGCGGGUUUUAUGCUUGGUUAUGGAAAGGACUCGCACACCUACAGAGUCUUCAACACCUAUCACAACAAGGUUGUUGAAACUGUAGAUGUGCGGUUCGAUGAAACUAAUGGCUCGCAAAGAGAGCAAUUGCCUCAUGAUCCAGAUCAAUUAUCUCCUCACGAAGCAAUCAAGCACAAAGCUACUGAAGACAUUGUUCCUACUGAGGAAAUUACUGAAGAAAUCACUCCCAAUACUUAUGAAAAUCAAGAAGAUGCUCCUGAGGAAAUUGCUCCAGAACAAAUUCCUCAGCCAAGACGAAAUCCUCAACCAGCUCAUCCGAGGAUUGCAAAUGAAAUAGAACUUGACAAAGUUCUCAAUGACAUCAAUGCGCCAGGUCCUCUCACUCGCUCAAAAGCUUCACACUUAGUUAACUUUUGUGGGCAUUCUUCUUUUGUGUCAACCACAGAACGUUCAAAAGUUGUUGAGGCUUUCAUGGAACCUAAGUGGAUUCAAGCCAUGAAAUAUUAACGUCUUCGAUUCAAGCUAAAUGGCGUGUGGGAGCUCGUCAAACGACCAGAUCCUCGCAAGCACAAUAUCAUCGGUACCAACUGGAUUUUCCGAAACAAGCAAGAUGAGGAUGGUCAAGUGGUGAGGAAUAUGGCACGACUUGUAGCCCAAGGCUACACACAUGUUGAAGGAAUUGGUUUCGAUGAAACUUUUGCACCUGUUGCUAGACUUGAAGCUAUUUGAAUACUACUUGCUUAUGCUAAUCAUCAUAACAUUACCUUCUAUCAAAUGGAUGUGAAAAGUGCAUUCCUUAAUGGUAAGCUUGAGGAAGAAGUAUAUGUUGCUCAACCCCCAGGUUUUGAGGAUCCAAAGAAUCCAGACAAAGUCUUCAGACUCAAAAAGGCACUCUGUGGUCUCAAGCAAGCCCCUCGGGCGUGGUACGAUACAUUGAAGGAAUUCCUCAUGAAGAACGGCUUCAAACCUGGUUCACUCGAUCCAACUCUUUUCACAAAAUCCUAUGACAAUGAACUAUUUGUGUGCCAAAUAUAUGUCGAUGACAUCAUAUUUGGCCGUACUGACAAACGUUACAGUGAUGAAUUUGCUUACAUGAUGAGUGAAGAACAUCAGAUGUUUAUGAUGGGGGAGCUGAAAUUCUUCUUAGGUCUUCAAACUCGUCAACAACGCAAUGGCAUCUUCAUAUCACAUGAGAAAUACCUCAAGGAUGUUCUGAGGAACUUCGACAUGAAUCAAUGCAAAGGCGCCAAGACUCCCAUGCCUACCAACGGCCACCUCUGCACUGACGAAAAUGGUAAAGAACAAGAUCAAUAGGUAUAUCGCUCAAUGAUUGGCUCUUUACUGCAUUUAUGUGCAUCUAGGCCAGAUAUAAUGCUUAGUGUUUGCGUGUGUGCACAUUUUCAAGAAAAACCAAAGGAAUCACACUAUAAGGCUGUGAAGCAUAUUCUUUGGUACUUAGCUCACACACCAACACUAGGAUUAUGGUACCCCAAGGGCUCAAAUCUUCAUCUUGUGGGAUAUUCUGAUUCUGACUAUGCUGGUGACCGUGUGGAUCGCAAGUCAACUUCUGGCACUUGUCAUUUCCUCGGAAGAUCAUUAGUCUGAUGGUCCUCAAAGAAGGAGAAUUGUGUUUCUCUCUCUACUGCCGAAGCUGAGUACAUUGUUGUUGGAUCAUGUUGUGCUCAAUUGCUAUGGAUGAAGCAAACCUUCAAGGACUAUGGCAUCAACGUGAAGAAUGUGCCUCUCUACUGCGACAAUGAGAGUGCAAUCAAGAUUGCAUACAACCCAGUACAACACUCGAAGACUAAGGAAGACUAAGCACAUCCAGAUUCAUCAUCAUUUUCUUCGGGAGCAUGUCCUAAAGGGCAAUAUCAUCAUCGACCAUGUGAAGACUGACGAUCAACUAGUUGAUAUCUUCACUAAGCACUUGGAUGAGAAAAGGUUUUGCAAGUUGCGGUGAGAGCCAAAUAUCUUAGAAUCUUCAAAUGGUUUGUAAAAACAUGCACACCUCCUAACACUUAUGCAAAAUUGAUGACUUAGAUGUGAAACACACGAAGAAUCUAUUUUCUUCAACCAAUGAAGAAUAUCACUCUUAGUGUGAGGAAAUUAAUGAAGAAUUUGGUUCUCAGGGCCCUACGACAAUUGUACGCGGCGCCUGAAAUCAUCAUUCUUAUACGGUGGGUCACGCCACCACCCAACUUUGAAAUUCCUCAAGUUGAUUUUCUUCAAAGUUGUUUUUCCUCAAGUUAAUUUUCUUCAAAGUUGUUGUUCUUCAAAGUUGUUUUUACUCAAGUUGAUUUUCUUCAAAGUUGUUUUUCUUCAAAGUUGAAAUUCAUCAACCUGACGCUUUGUCACAAAAUCCUCAAGUUAAUCAAAAUCUUCAAAACACUUGAUGAUUUUCAUUUGCCUAGAUAUAUAUAUAUAUAUAGACUGUGUAUUUACAAAGUCCUCAACAGCAUUCACUUAUAUCUAUUUCUUCAAUUUGAUAUUUCAUCUAAGUGAAUGUGAUCGGACCCUACUCCCCCCUAUGCUUUACUCACCUAGUCUAUUCAAAUAUUCAUAUGCGUUCUACUUGAAACUUUGUUCAAAAUCCUCACUGUCUCCUUGUCAACUGAUCAUUUUGCAACGAAAUCCUCAAAUCCUACAAAAAUAAUUUUUAUAUUGUUACAGAGUAACAGAACCCCACUUCCCACAAUCAGAUAAGCACGAUCUCCACCGCUUUAAACUCUGGCUACAUGUGUCGUGCGGAGACGAAUAGGCAAGGGCAGUUCGGUCCGAAAGUAUCGGCCGGACAGUUUUCACCUGAGCUAUAAAUACGCCCUUACCCCUUCUGUCCAAACUCUUCGUUCUCUCUCGACCUUCUCUCCGCCACAAGCAAAACCUAGCGCCACUGCUAGAAAUCUCGUCACCGGUGAGGAACAGCUUCAUUGCAUCGACCUCUCCAUCGCCGAGCUCACGCCAGAAGAGAAACAUCUUCAUCCACCGCCGCCGUAGCCGUCUUCUGCCGCCAAGUUAGGGCGCAACGGACUCGAACCGAAGAGCAUCCACUAUUGCUGCCUCUGUUCUUCGUGCUUGCCAUAUAGGGUAAAUAAAAUCCUAUUUUUACUAUCCCUUUCGAUCUACUCUUUUACCUUAGAUACGAUAAAUCUGUUUUUCCUCAGUGUCUAUCAGCUUCGCACACUCUAUUCCUCAAACACUUGAUGAAUUUCACUAAGCCACAAAAAUUCUUCACGUGAUUCCUCAAUUGUACAAAUUUUCGAAUCUGUACAACUCUGGAACCAAGAUCAGAGUGCUUAGACAAGUUCCUCAACCCACUGGUCAAAUUCCUCAACUUUUAAAAUUUCAAUUUCUUCAAAUCUGAGAACGCAUAUGACCUCUCCAAAUUCUUCGCACCUAUACUCUGUUCACACGUACAAAAUGUCAGCUGAUGAAUCUCUAGGUUCUCAUCAACUUAACUCAUUUACAGCAUUCCUCAAAGAAACUUUGCUAGUAUCAUCAGAAUCCGCAAGAGUGCAAAUUCCUCAGCAAAAGCCUCAGCUGAAAAAAAUGGAAGAUGACAGAAAGCAAAAGGGUGGCACGAAACUUGAACAGAACACUGUAAUUGAUAUCUGAAAGUGUGUUAUAUCGACUAGAGGGGGGGUGAAUAGGCGAUUUUUAGAAUUUCAUCACUGAGCAAAUUCCUUUUGAGGAAAUUCCUCACUGAUGACUAACUUACAGCGGAAACAGUAAAGGAUCAGACGUGCAAACGUUCACAACAGCAGUAUUUCAGAGUGAAGAAUGUGAAAACAGAUUGCACAGUAAGCACGCACGCAGAAUACAGAUGAUGAUUAACUACUGUGAAGAAUUUGGGGUUGAGGAAAUUCAGAGAAAGUCUUCAGCAAAUUCUUCAAACAGUCACAGUGAAAGUCAUCAACACAUAAUAUAGAGAAGGUAAAGAGUUGAGGAAUUAGAACCCGAUUCUUAGUGAAGACUGUUGUUGAUGAUCCAGUUCCAACUACUGUGACAGUUGUACAUCUGGUUUGGAGCGGCUUGGUAUUGAAACCAAAGGACACCCAGUCACGGGACACACAGUCCCUACCGUAUUCUCCUUGAGCUAAGGACACACAGUCCUCGCCCAACACUCAUGGUAAGUCUUCAGGGCAGACUUCCAAACCCUCACAAACUUGGUCAUCCGGCGAUCCACAAUUGACUGCUGGAUUGCUCUAGACCAUGACACCUAACCGUCUGGAGGAUGCACAGUCCUCAAAGGUAAAAGGCUUCAGUCCCACACAGGAACAACUUCUUCAGUGAUGCUCAAUCACUAGGUUUGGUUUGUGGUUUCGGUGUAUGGGGUAUUUCCUCACUUAUGAAUUGCUCUCGAAGGCUCUGAGGAAUUUGGGUUGCUCUUAUGACAAGUGUCAGUUUCUAACGGAGCAGCCAACCAGCUAGUAGUUGUGGGGGUGGUUAUUUAUAGCCUGGGAGCAUCCCGACAUGAUUUGACACUAAUGCCCUUAAAUAAUAUGACCGUUGGAAUGGAUAAGACCAGUGACUUGGCGUGUCUAUCGAAACGGUCGGAACCCUCAACUGUGAGAGUUCUCAUGUCACUCAUAUUCCUCACUUGAGGCUUUUGGUAGGAUUAGGCUUGGGUUGAGCAUCAUGAGAAAAUUCAUUCCAUAGUGUUACUUUGACCCCCUUUAACAGUACGGUGUUCCUAUUCAUCAAAUGCGAAGAAAGUAAAACAGAAAACGUAAAUCUUCACACUUCAAUUUCUUCAGAACAAUUUUCUUCAGGAACCACCGAUCUUCUUAAUAUCAAAAUCUUCAUGAGGAAUAUCAAUUUCAUCGCAGAUUCCUCGCGAUUCAUUUCUUCAGCUUCAGAACAAUUUCUUCAACUGAAGACAUAUAUUUUUAGGGGUCGAUAUUCUUCAAAUAUCUCAAACUCCUCAAUGACUUAUAGAUCCUGUGUACACUCACAAACACAUUAGAUACUUAACCUAUAAGUCUUCAAACCACCAAAAUCACUAAGGGGCACUAGAUGCACUUACAAUCUCCCCCUUUUUGGUGGUUGAUGACAAUUAGGUUAAGUCUUCAACAGGGAUCAAAAUGUGAAGUGUAAAUACUCAUUUGAGGAAUCUGAAAACAAGAUUCAGAGAGACUCCCCCUGAAGAUGUGCAUACCUUGAUGAUUUUGCUUUUAUAGCAAAUGCACAUUGAUGAUUUAUAUCAUGGAGAUCUCCCCCUGAGUCUUGUAAAUCGUGCAUACAUAUAACAUAUCAUACGAAGAAAAUGAAGAUGCAUGAUGGCAAAUGGUAUCUGACGAAUUCCAGCAUGCGUGCAUUAAAACAUGAGGAAUAAGCAUGCGAAGAAAAGCGUUCAAAAGUGUCAGAGUACCAUCGGGCUUAAGUUACAACUCAUUACAUAAAAACUUCAGAAGAGCCAAGAGUUUGUAACUUAAUAUAGUUUGUAAGCCCCAAAAAUUUCCCGCUUGAAGACUAACUCUCGAGUUUCUCCCCCUUUGUCAUCAAGUGACAAAAAGGGACAAACUGAGGACUAACGCCCAUGAAGACUUCAUUUCUUGGCGGUCGAGGAAGAGUCGUGAUGCUUCUUGGGAGUAGUCUUCUUCCUGGGGCCGGUUGCAGUGUCGAGUUGUUCCUCAUCAGAUUCAGUAGUGCGGAAUGAAGAAAAGGAGUUGUCUUCAAGGUAUGGCACUGGAAUGGGCCUGAACUUUCUCUUGGGAGGACACGACCACUCAAAGUCCUACUCAAAGUUCAUUUCUUCAAGCUCAGUCUGGGUCUUCAGAUGUGCAAGUGUAGCCCAGGUGCAAUCGAAAACCUCAUGCAGAUAGUGAUGAUUAAGCUUCACGGAGUUCAGUGUCUCGGUGAGGGUUUUCACAAUGGCACCAAACUGGCGUUUGACCCAUUUGUGGUUGCGAUCCACCUUCUGGUGAAGACUGAGGAGGAGCUCUCUGGUAUUCAGCACGCGAGGAGGAACUGGGCUUGUUGGACGAGUCUCAGUAUCGUCCCAUGAGGAAUAAGCUUCUGGUUCUUUAAACUGGCCACCAAGGGGCCUGCUGCCUUCUUCAAUCACAGAUUUUCCUUUUCCCUCAAUGGGCUCAAAAUUCUUCUUGUUGACCCGGAUAGGAGGCAUAUAACCAACAUGGUUUUGGAAAUCAGCGUGGAAGUUGAUGCCUGUCCUUGUCCUGAUGAAUCUCAUGAUCCACGGGGCAUAUAUCUUGUGAUCAUAGGGGCACAUGGCAUUGUCAGCCAAAGUCCUCAAGAAGAAAUCAUGAAUAUUGAUAGGAAUACCGUGAAUGAUGUUGAAGAGGAUAUUCUUUAUGAGGCCGACAACAUCUUCUUCAUCGUCAUGCCCUUUGAUUGGCGCGAGCACACUGCAGAGAAUUCUGUAGACAGACCGGGGUGUGUACUUGAGCUCAUGGACGAGGAAUGUGGUUCUUGAGGGUUUUCCUGCAGCCAAAGGCUUCAUGAGGACUUCCAUCAUUCCAUUUGGCAGCUCACGCUCACCAUAAAGCUUCACUACCCCAUCUGAGGGGAUUGGUACGGGCAGUUCUCUGAGGAGUUCAGAAGCCGGAGCUUUGUAGUGAGUAUUUUGGGACAUCCAGUCGAACACCCAAGUGUUGAUGUCAUCAGCGUUGCCAGAGAUGUGAAGAGUUGCAUAGAACUGAAGAAUAAGCUCACUAUUCCAGUCUGAUAUGUCGGAGCACAUAGGAAGCAAACCUGCAUCAUGGAGUACACUGAGGACUGGUUCCAUGCAAGGGAUUGCUUCAAGCUCAACAUGAGGAAUGUGCCUGUGCUGGAAUAUCUUGUUACGGCCACAGAGCACUGAGGAAUAGUAGUUCAUCUGAGUCCUUGUCCAAAAUUUUAGAUGCCUCAUUUGAGGCUUUUCAUAUGGAUUCUCUCCGAUGAAAUACAUGUGUUCUUCAAAGAAAUCUUCUUUCUGAAACUUUGGACGCUUGGAGAAUGGCUGGCGCUGAACUGGCUUAAGAUUCUGCUGAGGAAUGAGAGGGGAGACAACCAUGGCAGUCUCUGGGUUGAGCACAAUGAAUUCAUUGUCUUUGGCAGGUACAUUUUCUUCAGCUUUUUCCUCAAGUUGAGGAAUUUCAUCAGCUGGUACUUCUUGCUGGGGAGAUGAUGCUUGUUCUGGCUGAGCUUCAGGCUGAGGAAUUUCUGCUUCUUUCUCAGCUUGAGGAGUUGGGUCAGCCUGUUCCUCAUCUUGAGGAGUCUGCUCAGAAUGUACAUUUUCCUCAGCUUGUUUUUCUUCAGCUGGCUUUGUGGCAGAAGGAGUCUCAUCAGCUGCUGCAGCUGAUGCUUGAGUGGUCUCUGUCUGAGGAAUGAGGGGUUGAGGACUGUCAUCAAUCUGGAUUUCCUCAUCAGUGUGUUCCUCCGAGGCGACAUCCUUCAUUUCCUCAUCAGCCCUUGUAGCUGGGUCAUCAAUGACGACCAUCUCAUAUGAGGGGGCGACAUUUAGAGGUACUGGAUCUAGAGGAGCAGUUUCUUCAGUUUCUUUGAGGCGCUUUGCCUCUGUCAUUUCUACUGCUGAGAAGGCUUUUCUCUUCUUUGCUUCCUUUUCAGCAGCCCUUGUCUUCUUCGCGUCUGAUGCAGACGGGAUUAUCUUCUUCACCUUUGAAGCUUUUGGUGAAGGUGUUCUUUCUGUAGAUUCUUCAGCUGGUAGUGAGGAACCAGCUGGAACAGAGUCAUCAGCCUGCUUUGAUGAAGCAGCUGGAUCAAGAGCAGUCUCAUCAGUGGUUGCAAUUUCAUCAGUUGCAGUCUCCGUGUUGAUUUCUUCAAUGGCCGGUUCAUCAGCACGGCGCUCCUGGUGUUCUUCCUCAGCUUGAGGAGUUUCCUCCUCAUCAGGAGAUGCAUCUGCUAGCUGUUCAACCAGGGGCUGAGGAGUUGGUGCUGGUGGUGCGGUUCUCUUGUUGUAGUCAUCCACAACACUAGUGGCUAGCUUGAUGAAAUUGCGUUUGAUGCUUUUUCGAUCUGACAGCUUGUCAUACUUGUCAGUCAAUAUUUGCAGCUCUGCCUGGGUUGACACCAGUGCAUCAGGAGUCAGCUUGAGGAGAUUCUGCCUGAGGAAUUUCUCCUUUUUGUCCUUUGCAACCUUUGCCUGCCGGGCCUGCUGUUCUUUCCACUUGGCUUCAUUUAUGAAGGUGGCCACCAUGUGGCUGGUGCCAGGAGGAAGUUUCAAAUCAUCAAUGGGUGUGUUUGGGUCCUCAUACCAUAUAUUGAUGUAGUUGAGGAGGACCUUGGGGUCCAUGGCCAGAGGAAUACCACUGCCUGAUGCUUGUGCUACCCGUUCUUGCUUGUUUGUGAUGAUGGCUUGCAGGGUUUCAUCAUCAUACUCAUCACUUCCGUCUGAUGCAGUCGGGACUGCGAUGAUUUUGCUGGGGCUGGGCAGAGGUGCACGUUCAGCAGUUGCCAAAGUCUUCACAAGUGGUGUUGAAGACUUUGUCUCCGAGCUAGUUGCAGCUGGGAGUGAGGAGCUGGAGCUGGCGGUCGUAGGCUUCACGACAUGCUUCUGUACUGGUUUUUCUUGAGGCUUUGGAGCUGGAGCUGAGGAUUUUGAUACUGAGGAGAUUGGUGCUGAGGGCUUUGGCGCUGAUGGUUUUGGUGUUGAAGGUUUUGGUAAUGAGGGUUUUGGUGCUGAGGGUUUUGUGACAGAAGUCUGAGCAGAAUUCUUUUGAGGCUUUGGAGCCUUUGGCUUUGAUGGCGCAGACUGCAUUUGAGGAAUCUCUGAGCCUGAGGUUUCUGCAGCUGAGGAAUGAGCAGCACCGGAGGCAGCAGCUGAGGAUUCAUUGAAUUUCUUCACUGCAGCUUCUGCUUGCCUCUUGAGCUUGGCCAGAUGCUUUUCUUUUUCAUCUGGAUAGUCAUCAAUGGUUUUGAGGCUUGAUGGAUGUGCUACUUGAUGAUCCUCAAGUGGGGCCCUUCUGCCAGGAGGCUUCAAAGCGAAUUUCUUCGCAUAUUUGGGAGUCACAAACCUGUACUCCUUCCAUUCCUUCGCCCAUCGGCGUUCAAUCUUCUGUAGCCUUAUCUUUCUUUUCGACAUUGUCUCAUGUUCAUCACGCGUACAAUAGUCCAUGUAUAUGUCCUCAGGAAUAUCAGCAGUUGUGUUCUACUCCAGUUUCUUUCCUCCCUUCUGUUUUCUCUCCUCCUCCAUUUUCUUCAGUUGAGGACUUUGCUGAUGAUUUUGAACUCUUGAGGAUUCUGAAGAGCCUUGAAGAGUUUCUUCCAGAAACGCUGCAAAUGAGUUAAUGUGAUGAGAACCAAGAGAUUCAUCAGCUGACAUGUGUGUACCUGUGAACAGAGUAUAGUUGCGAGGAAUUUGGAGAGGUCAUAUGCGUUCUCAGAUUUGAAUAAAAUGAAAAAGUUUGACAGUUUGAGGAAUAUAACCAGUGGUUGAGGAAUUUGCCUAAGCAUACUGUUCUUGGGUUCCAGAGUUGUACAGAUCCGAAAAUUCGCACAAUUGAGGCAUCUCGUGGUAAUCUUAGAUGCUUAGUAUAGUUCAUCAAUGAUUGUGGUGAUAGGUAGUGUUUGAGGAAUCAAGUGUGCAUCGUAUCUUGAGGAGAAACAGAUUUCGCAUAGAGGAUGUAAAAUUUUAGAUCUACUCUGCUGUAAAAAUGGGAUAUAUUUACCGGGGAAGGUGCGUACGAAGAACACAGAAAGUAGUGUUGGAGAGGCUCUUCGUUCGAGUGUCCAAUGCACCCUAACUUGGCGGCAGAGGACGUCUACGGCGGCAGCGGACGAAGAUGGUACGACUCCGACGUGAUUCUGGCGACGAAAAGGUCGAGGCAGUGAAGCUCUUCCUCACCGGCGACAAGACUACCAGCGGUGGCGCUAGGGUUCGGUGGAGUGUGUUGUGGCAGGAGAGCGAUGAGGCGAAGAAGAGAAUACCGAGGGGGAUAAGGACAUAUUUAUAGCCCAAAAGUUACUAUUUGGCACGAAAGUUUCGGACCGAAUAGCCCCUCCCUCUACGUCUCCGCAGGACACGUGUAGCUCCCGUAUGAUGCGGUGGAGAUAGUGGUGAUCGUGGUUAUCCGAUCAUGGGAAGUGGGGGUUCAGUUACUGUGCCUUAAAAGAAAACAAUUUUUGAAGAUUUGAGGAUUUUCGUUACAAAAUCAUCAGCUGACAAGGAUGCAGUGAGGAUUUUGAACAAAGUUUCAAAUAGAACGCAUAUGAAGAAUUGAAUACACUAGAUAAGUAUAGCAUAGAGGGAAAGUAGGGUCCGAUCACAUUCACUUAGCAGAAACAUCAACUUGAAGAAAUAGCAAUAAGUGAAUGCUGUUGAGGACUAGAAAUCACAGUCUACCUAGGCAAAUGAAAGUCAUCAAGUGUUUUUGAAGAUUUUGUAAUAGAUCAUCACAAUGAAGAACAGCUGUUUUGAAGAAAAAUGCAUUGUGAGGAAAUUUAUCAUUUGAAGAAAAUCAACUUGAGGAAUUUCACAUUGGGCGGUGGCGUUACCCACCAUAUAAGAAUGUUGAUUACAGGCGCCGCGUACAAUUGUCGUAGAGCCCUGAGAAUCAAUUUCUUCGUUAAUUUCUUCACAUUCAGAGUGACAUUCUUCAUCAGUUGAAGAAAAUCAUUUCAUCAUGUGUUGCACAUCUAAGUCAUCAACUUUGCAUAAGUGUUAGGAUGUGUGCAUGUUUUUACAAAACAUUUGAAGACUCUAAGAUAUUUAGCUCACACCGCAACUUGCAAAACCUUUUCUCAUCCAAGGGCUUAGUGAAGAUAUCUGCCAGUUGAUCAUCAGUCUUCACAUGGUUGAUGAGGAUAUUGCCCUUGAGGACAUGGUCCCGAAGAAAAUGAUGACGAAUCUGGAUGUGCUUGGUCUUCAAGUGCUGUACUAGGUUGUAUGCAAUCUUGAUAGCACUCUCAUUGUCACAGUAGAGAGGUACAUUCUUCAUGUUGAUGCCGUAGUCUUUGAGGGUUUGCUUCAUCCAUAGCAAUUGAGCGCAGCAAUGUAUUCAGCUUCGGCAGUGGAGAGUGAUACGCAGUUCUGCUUCUUUGAGGACCAGCAAACUAGUGAUCUUCCGAGGAAAUGGCAUGUGCCAGAAGUUGACUUGCGAUCCACACGGUCACCAGCAUAGUCUGAAUCAGAAUACCCUACCAUAUGAAGAUUGGAGCCCUUGGGAUACCAUAAACCUAGUGUUGGUGUGUGAGCUAAGUAUCGAAGAAUAUGUUUCACAGCCUUAUGGUGUGAUUCCUUCGGUUUUGCUUGAAAACGUGCACACAUGCAAACACUAAGCAUUAUAUCUGGCCUAGAUGCACAUAAAUACAAUAAAGAGCCAAUCAUAGAACGGUAUACCUGCUGAUAGAAAUCUUUACCAUUUUCAUCAGUGCCGAGGUGGCCGUUGGUAGGCAUUGGAGUCUUGGCACCUUUGCAUUCGUGCAUGUCGAAUUUCCUCAGAACAUCCUUGAGGUAUUUCUCCUGUGAUAUGAAGAUUCCAUUGCUUUGUUGACGAAUUUGAAGACCUAAGAAGAAUUUCAGCUCCCCCAUCAUGGACAUCUAAUAUUCCUCACUCAUCAUGUAGGCAAAUUCAUCACUAUAUGUUUUGUCAGUACAGCCAAAUAUAAUAUCAUCGACAUAUAUUUGACACACAAAUAUCUCAUUAUUAUAGGAUUUAGUGAAAAGAGUUGGAUCGAGUGAACCAGGUUUUAAGCCUUUCUUCAUGAGGAAUUCCUUCAAUGUAUCAUACCAUGCCCGAGGGGCUUGCUUGAGGCCAUACAGAGCCUUUUUGAGUCUGAAGACUUUGUCUGGAUUCUUUGGAUCCUCAAAACCUGGGGGCUGAGCAACAUAUACUUCUUCCUCAAGCUUACCGUUGAGGAAUGCACUUUUCACAUCCAUUUGAUACAAGGUGAUGUUAUGAUGAUUAGCAUAAGCAAGUAGUAUUCAAAUAGCUUCAAGUCUAGCAACAGGUGCAAAAGUUUCAUCGAAAUCUAUUCCUUCAACCUGGGUGUAGCCUUGGGCUACAAGUCGUGCCUUGCUCCUCACCACUUGACCGUCAUUAUCUUGCUUGUUUUGGAAUAUCCACUUGGUGCCGAUGAUGUUUUGCUUGCAAGGAUCUGGUCGUUUGACGAGCUCCCAUACGUCAUUCAGCUUGAAUUGAAGAAGUUUGUCUUGCAUAGCUUGGAUCCACUCUGGUUCCAGAAAAGCCUCAGCAACUUUUGAGGGUUCUGUGAUGGAUACAAAGGAGAAAUGCCCACAAAAGUUAACUAAGUGUGAAGCUUUUGAGCGAGUGAGAGGACCUGGCGCGUUGAUGUCGUUGAGGAUUUUGUCAAUUUCAACUUCGUUUGCAAUCCUCGGAUGAGUUGGUUGAGGAUUUUGUCUGGGUUGAGGAAGUGGUGCUGAUGCAAUUUCCUCAGGAACAUCUUCUUGAUUUUUAUCAGCGAUCGGGAUCGUUUCUUCAUCAAUUUCCUCAGAUGGAACAAUGUCUUCAGUAGGCUUGAGCUUUAUUGCUUCCUCAGGAGACAGCUUAUCUGGAUCAGAAGGCAAUUUCUCUCUUUGCGAGCCAUUAGUUUCAUCGAACCGCACAUCUACAGUCUCAACAACUUUGUUGUGAUAGUUGUUGAAGACUCUGUAAGUGUGCGAGUCCUUUCCAUAACCGAGCAUAAAACCUUCAUGUGCCUUAGGUGCAAAUUUUGAGCUGUGGUGAGGAUCUCUAAUCCAGCAUUUUGCACCGAAGACUUUGAAAUAACUUACAUUGGGUUUCUUGUCAGUGAGGAGUUCAUAUGAGGUUUUCUUGAGGAAUUUGUGAAGAUAUACCCUGUUGAUGAUAUGGCAUGCAAUGUUGAUUGCUUCAGGCCAAAAGCGACGAGGAGUCUGAUAUUCUUCAAGCAUGGUUCUCGCCAUUUCAACCAGAGUCCUGUUCUUCCUUUCGACAACACCAUUCUGCUGAGGAGUAUAAGGAGCAGACAAUUCGUGAGUAAUACCAAGUUCAUCAAGAUAAUCAUCAAGACCAGUGUUUUUGAACUCGGUUCCAUUGUCACUCCUGAUGUGUUUGAUCUUGAUGCCAAAGUUCGUCGAGGCCCUUGAAGAAAAUCGUUUGAAGAUUUCCUGCACUUCAGUUUUAUACACUAUGAUAUGCACCCAAGUAUAUCUGGAAUAAUCAUCAACUAUGACGAAGCCAUAUAAAGGUGCUGCAUUGGUUAGUGUGGCAUAGUGAGUAGGUCCAAAUAAAUCCAUAUGAAGCAAUUCGAAUGGUCGUGUAGUGGUCAUGAUGGUUUUGGAGGGAUGCUUGGAUCUGGUCAUUUUCCCAGAUUCACAAGCACCGCCGAGAUGAUUCUUGAGGAAUUUGACUGAUUCGAUGCCGAUGACAUGCUUCUUCUUUGCAAGCGUGUGCAAAUUCCUCAAGCCUGCAUGACCUAGUCUUCGGUACCACAGCCAUCCUUCUGAGGUUUUUGCUAGUAAGCAAGUGGCUGGUUGAGGACCUGUAGAGAAAUCAACAAUGUACAAAUCCCCUCUUCUUACACCUUCGAAGACUUUGGAUCUGUCAGAUUCCAUGAUGACUACACAUCUAGAUCUACCAAAGAUAACAGUCAUAUCAAGAUCACAAAGCAUCGAGACUGACAUGAGGUUAAAACCAAGGGAUUCAACAAGCAUCACUUUGUCCAUAUGCCUAUCCUUGGAAAUAGCUACUUUGCCAAGUCCCAAUACCUUGCUUUUACCUUUGUCAGCAUAUGUGAUUUGCUUCAGAGGUGAUGGAGUUAGUGGCAUAUUCAUCAGUAAGCUUUUAUCACCAGUCAUGUGAUGUGUGCAGCCACUAUCAAGAACCCACUCAGUAUUUUUGGGUUUGUCAUCCUUUGAACCUUUUGCCAUGAAGCAAUAGGUUGGAGCGAUGUCAUCAGCAUAGUCAUCAGUAUGGAUGGUGCAAUCAUUUUCUUCAAGAUUGAAGAUUGACUUGCUGACGAAAGUGGUUGCUAGUGCAAGACUAGCCUGUCCUGAUUCUCAGCCUUCAUCAGAACCCUCUUCUUCAUCACAUUCCUCUGAUUCUGCCUCGGAGUCCAUUUCCUUGCCAAUAAGUGCCCGAGAUUUUCAGAAACUGGUCUUCUUGUGCGAUGAGGGCUUUGAAGAUGAGGAUUUUGAAUAUUUCUUCUUCUUCUUCGAGUCAUCAGAACUGUCAUCCUUGUAUUUCUUCUUCUUUGAUUCCUUUCCCCAACGGGGACAAUCAGCAAUGUAAUGACCUGAUUUCUUGCACUUGUGACAGGUUCGUUUCUUGUAUUCCUCAGAUGCAGAUUCUGCUUUCCUCAUGUAUCUUCUUGAAGAUUUACUGAAUUGGCCUCGUCGUGUAAAUCUCUGGAAUUUCCUCAUAAGCAUUGCAAGAUCAUGUCCAAAUUCUUCAGGAUCACAAAUGUUGUCGUCUGUGUCUUCGUCUUCAGAUGAGGAAAUAGCUCUAGCCUUCAGUGCACGUGGUCUGGAAUAGCUUGGUCCAUAUAGAUCUCUCUUUUCUUCUAGCUGGAAUUCAUGAGUAUUUAGCCUUUCUAGUAUAUCAGUUGGAUCAAGCAUCUUGUAAUCUGGUCUUUCUUGAAUCAUCAGAACUAAAGUAUCAAAUGAAGAAUCCAAAGAUCUCAGCAGUUUCUUCACAACUUCGUGAUCAGUGAUGUCUCGAGCUCCUAGUGCUUGCAGUUCAUUUGAUAUGUCAGUGAGGCGAUCAAAGGUGUCUUGGCAGCUUUCAUUGUCAUGUUUCUUGAAGUGAUUGAAGAGAUUGCGAAGAAAAUCAACACGAGAGUCACGUUGGGUUGAUACUCCUUCAUUUACCUUGCACGGUCUCUCCUAGAUUAGUGUUGCAGAGCCCAAGGCACUUACUCUUCCAAACUGGCCAGGGCUCAGAUGACCAUAGAUGAUGUUCUUCGCUUGAGAAUCGAGUUGCUUGAAUUUCUUCACAUCAGCCGCAGUGACACUCGCAGAGAUGAUGGGGACUCCAUUUUCCACAAUAUACCAGAGAUCAUUAUCAAUAGCUUGUAAAUGCAUUUGCAUUUUGUUCUUCCAGAAGGGAAAGUUCUUUCCUUCGUAGGUAGGACAUGUUGCAGUCACCUUAAACAUGCCUGCAGUCGACACAACUAAAACUCCAGGUGGUUAAACCAAAAUCACACAGAACAAGGGAGUACCUUGCUCUGAUACCAAUUGAAAGUGUGUUAUAUCGACUAGAGGGGGGUGAAUAGGAUAUUUUUAGAAUUUCAUCACUGAGAAAAUUCCUCACUGAUGACUAACUUACAGCGGAAACAGUAAAGGAUCAGACGUGCAAACGUUCACAACAGCAGUAUUUCGGAGUGAAGAAAUGUGAAAACAGAUUGCACAGUAAGCAGGCACGCAGAAUACAGAUGAUGAUUAACUAUUGUGAAGAAUUUGGGGUUGAGGAAAUUCAGAGAAAGUCUUCAGAAAAUUCUUCAAACAGUCACAGUGAAAGUCAUCAACACAUAAUACAGAGAAGGUAAAGAGUUGAGGAAUUAGAAGCUGAUUCUUAGUGAAGACUGUUGUUGAUGACCCAGUUCCAACUGUUGUGACAGUUGUACAUCUGGUUUGGAGCGGCUUGGUAUUGAAACCAAAGGACACCCAGUCCCGGGACACACAGUCCCUACCGUAUUCUCCUUGAGCUAAGGACACACAGUCCUCGCCCAACACUCGUGGUAAGUCUUCAGGGCAGACUUCCAAACCCUCACAAACUUGGUCACCCGGCGAUCCACAAUUGAUUGCUGGAUUGCUCUAGACCAUGACGCCUAACCGUUUGGAGGAUGCAUAGUCCUCAAAGGUAAAAGGCUUCAGUCCCACACAGGAACAACUUCUUCAGUGAUGCUCAAUCACUACGUUUGGUUUGUGGUUUCGGUGUAUGGGGUAUUUCCUCACUGAUGAAUUACUCUCGAAGGCUCUGAGGAAUUUGGGUGGCUCUUAUGACAAUGUCAGUUUCUAACGGAGCAGCCAACCAGCUAGUGGUUGUGGGGGUGGCUAUUUAUAGCCUAGGAGCAUCCCGACAUGAUUUGACACUAAUGCCCUUAAAUAAUAUGACCGUUGGAGUGGAUAAGACCGGUGACUUGGCGUGUCUAUCGAAACGGUCGAAACCCUCAACUGUGAGAGUUCUCAUGUCACUCAUAUUCCUCACUUGAGGCUUUUGGUAGGAUUAGGCUUGGGUUGAGCAUCAUGAGGAAAUUCAUUCCAUAGUGUUACUUUGACCCCCUUCAACAGUACAGUGUUCCUAUUCAUCAAAUGCGAAGAAAGUAAAACAGAAAACGUAAAUCUUCACGCUUCAAUUUUUUCAGAACGAUUUUCUUCAAGAACCACCGAUCUUCUUAAUAUCAAAAUCUUCAUGAGGAAUAUCAAUUUCAUCGCAGAUUCCUCGCGAUUCAUUUCUUCAGCUUCAGACCAAUUUCUUCAACUGAAGACAUAUAUUUUUAGGGGUCGAUAUUCUUCAAAUAUCUCAAACUCCUCAAUGACUUAUAGAUCCUGUGUACACUCACAAACACAUUAGAUACUUAACCUAUAAGUCUUCAAACCACCAAAAUCACUAAGGGGCACUAGAUGCACUUACAAUAUCCCUGAGGAUAUAUAUACCUAGACUAUUGUAUGCCAGAUGAGAAAGAACCUAUGGCAAAAAGGAAAAUCAGGAUUCAAAAGAUAGAACGUAGGUGGGCCAAGGAGUGGAAGGAAUAUCGCUUCGUCACUCCAAAGUAUGCGAAGAAAUUCGCCCUCAAGCCACCUGGCAAAAGGCCUCCUCUCGAGGAUCAUCAGGUAGCACAUCCUUCAAGCAUCAAAACUAUUGAUGAUUAUCCUGAGGAGAAAUACAAACACUUGUCUAAGCUCCAGAAGAAAGCAAAAACUGCAGUGAGGAAAUUCAAUGAGGAAUCUGAUGCUGCCAUUGCAGCCACCUAUUCUGCUGCUGAAGCUUCUGGCACAGCUAUUCCUCAAGUGAAGUCUAUGCCACAGAAACCAAAGGCUUCAAAGCCUAAAGAGCAAUUGCUUGAGAAGGCUGAGCCUGCGCCAAAACCCUCAACAUCUACACAGGCUUCAAAGCCUGAACACAAGCAGAUUGUCAAGCAACAGCCUGCUCACUCGAGCUCAUGUGUACCAUCUGCCACGAGCUCAGAGACAAAGUCUUCACCAACACCAUUGAAGACUAAAAUGACUGCUGGAAGAGGCAUCAGACCCAGCCCAAGCAAAGUCAUCAGAGUCCCUUCUGCAUCAGAAGGAAGUGAUGAAUUUGAUGAUGAAACUCUUCAAGCCAUCAUCAGAAACAAGCAGGAACACGUCGCACAAGCUUCAGGCAUCGCUAUUCCUCUUGCCAUGGACCCAAAGGUCAUGUUGGACUACAUCAAUGUAUGGUGUAAUGACCCUAACACACCCAUUGAUGACUUGAAGCUUCCCCCUCGUAUCAGCCAUAUGGUGGCCACAUUCAUCAAUGAGGCCAAAUGGAAAGAGACGCGAGCCAAGCAAGCAAAGGCUGCAAAGCUGAUGAAGGAGAAAUUCCUCAGGCAGAAUCUCCUCAACCUAUCGCCUAAUGAUCUUGUGUCAACCCAGGCUGAAAUGAAGACUUUGACCGACAAGUAUACCAAACUAUCUGAUCGGCAAAGUCUCAAGUCCAAUUUCAUCAAGUUCGCAACUAAUGCAGUUGAUGAAUACAACAAGAAGGCUGCUCCUCCAGCAAAACCAAAGCAGCCUGAGCCCAGCUAUUCUGUUCAGCUCACUUAGGAAGAUGAAGAAGAAGAACCUCCUGCUGAGGAAAUGCCUCAAGAAAGCCGUGUUGAUGAACCGGUAAUUGAGGAAAUACCUAAGGACAUUCCAACGGAUGAAUCUGUGCCAGCUGAUGAAUCUGCUCCAGCUGAAGAAAAUGCUUCAGCUGAGGAAACUGCGAGGACUGAUACUGCACCACCUCCUGAAGAGAAAAUUCCUUCACCUCAAUCCUCAAAGGUGAAGAAAAUAGUUCCGUCUGCAUCAGACGUGAAGAAAACCAAGGCUGCUGAAAAAGAAGCAAAGAAAAGAAAAGCUUCAUUAACCCCAGAAUCAUCAGAGGCCAAGCACCUCAAAACACUUGAUGAAACUGCUCCACUAGAUGAUGUGCCUCUGAAGAUAGCUCCAUCAUACACUAUAAUCCCCUUUGGAAUUGACUAUAUAAUUCCUGAAGAAGAUGAGGAGAUUCUGAUUGAUGAGGAAAUGAAAGACGUUGAUUCUGACGAAACCAUGGAUGAGGAGAUUCAAAUUGAUGAUACUCCUCAGUCCUUCAUUCCUCACAAGACGCCUGAUGAACCUGCUCAAGGAUCAACUGCAACAGUUGAAGAUUUUGCCUCCUCCACCAAGCAAAUUCCUCAACCUGAGGAACAUCCUCAACCCGAGGAAAAUCCUCAACCAGAGCAAAACCCUAAACCUGAGGAAAAUCCUCAACCAGAGGAAAAUCCUCAUCCUGAAGAAAGUCCUCAACCUGAGGAACAUGCUGAAGAAAAUGCUCGUGCACCCAAUACUGAAACUGCUAUUGUAGUGGUCAACACUGAAACAGCAAUGAUAGUAUCUCCCCAACAAAAGCAGCAUAACCUUCAGCUAGUGCAAAAUCAGUCGUUUUCAAAGAGGCCAAAGUUUCAGAAGGAAGCAUUCUAUGAAGAACGAAUGUAUUUCAUUGGCGACAAUCCAUAUGACAAGCUUCGCAUGAGGCAUAGGAAGUUUUGGACAAGGACUCAGCUCAACUACUAUGCCUCUGUGCUCUGUGGAAGGAACAAAAUAAUUCAGCGCAGGCAUAUUCCUCAUGUUGAGUUGGAAGAAAUUCCUUGCUUUGCCCCAGUCCUCAACUUUCUUCAUGAAGCCGGACCACUCCCUCUCUGCACUGAUAUCCGUGAUUGGAACAGUGAUAUCAUUCUUCAAUUCUAUGCAACUUUGCACAUCUAUGGAGACCCGAAGGGUAUCAACACUUGGGUGCUGGACUCGAUGACUCAGCACACACAUUACAAAGUGCCUGCUACUGAGCUGCUGAGAGUCCUUCCGAUUUCAAUUCCCUCAGAACAUGUUGUGAUGAUGUAUGAUGAACGGGAGUUUCCCAACAAACUGAUGGAAGUCCUCAUGAAGCCUUUAGCCAAGGAUCAACCUCCAAGAAUGACUUUUCUGGUUCAAGACUUGAAGUAUAAACCUAUGACUGUCUACAGGUUUUUGUGCAGUGUCAUCGCUCCAAUCAAGGGCCAUGAUGAUGAAGAAGAUGUUGUAGGCAUCAUGAAGAAUAUCCCCUUCAACAUCAUCCAUGGCAUCCCAAUAAACCUUCACGACUUCUUCCUGAGGACUCUUGCUGACAAUGCUAUGUCACCCUUUGAACUGAAGAUUUACGCUCCAUGGAUCAUGAGAUUCAUCAGACGCAGGUCAGGAAUCAACUAUCAUGCUGAUUUCAGCAACCACAUUGGAUAUAUGCCUCCUAUCAGAGUCAACAAGAAGACUUUUGAGCUUGUCGAAGGAAAAGGAAAAUGUGUCAUCGAUGAAGGUAGUCGGCCCCUUGAUGGCCAGUUUUGUGAACCAGAUGCAUAUUCUUCAUGGGAUGAUACUGAAACUCAGGAGCCGCCUAGCCCAGUUGCCCCAACGGUGAUGACUAAUAGAGAACUACUCCUCAGUCUUGAUCAGAAGGUCGAUCGCAAUCACAAAUGGGUCAAACAUCAAUUUCAGUGCCAUUGGGAAAACCCUCAAUGAGACUCAGAAUGCAGUGAAGAAAAAUCGCUACUAUCUUCAUGAGGUUUUUUAUCGCACCUCGGCCACUUUGGCUCAUCUGAAGACUCAAUAAGAACUUCAUAAAUUGGAAUUUACUCAGGACUCCGACUAGUCGUGGCCUCCCAAGAGGAAAUGCAAGCCAAUUCCAGUUCCAGAUCUUGAGGACGGCUCCUUUUCUUCAUUCCGCACUGCGGAAUCUGAUGAAGAACAAGAAGACACUGCCACUGGCCCAAGGAGGAAGCCCGUCACCAAGAAUCCUCACGUGUCUUCUUCAUCAGCCAAGAAGUGAAAGUCUUCAAGGGGCGUUAAUCCUCAGUUCUGUCCCUUCUCAUCACUUGAUGACAAAGGGGGAAAAAUCUGAGAGUUAGUCUUCAUGCGGGAUAUAUUUUGGGGCUUAUGAACUUUAUUAAGUUACAAACUCUUGGUUCUUCUGAAGUGUUUUAUGUAAUGAGUUGUAAAUUAAGCCCGAUGGUGCUCUGACGCUUUUGAACGUUUUUCUUCGCAUUCUUAUUCCUCCAAAUAUUAAUGCACGCAUGCUGAAAUUCGUUAGAUACCAUUUCUCAUCACGCAUUCUCAAAUUCUUCAUGUUAUAUGUCAUAUGUAUGCAUGAUUUACAAGACCCAGGGGGAGAUCUCCAUGAUAUAAAUCAUCAAUGUGCAUUUGUUGUGAAAAGAAAAAUCCUCAGGAUAUGCACAUCUUCACGGGGAGUCUCUCUGUAUCUUGAUUUCAAAUUCCUCAAAUGAGUAUUUACACUUCAUAUUUUUUAUCCCCGUUGAAGACUUAACCUAAUUGUCAUCAACCACCACAAAGGGAGAGAUUGUAAGUGCAUCUAGUACCCCUUAGUGAUUUUGGUGUUUUUAAGACUUAUAUGUUAAGUAUCUAAUGUGUUCAUGAGUGUACACAGAAUCUAUAAGUCGCUGAGGAGUUUGAAAUAUACGAUGAAUAUAGACCCCUAAGAAUGUAUAUCUUCGGCUGAAGAAAUUGCUCUUCUGCUAAAGACUUUGAUCGCGAAGAAAUUCCGAUGAAAUUGAUAUUCCUCAUGAAGAUAUUGAAGAUGAGGAAUUCGGUGUGUCCUCAAGAAAAACGAUCCGAAAACUUUGAAGCGUGAAGAUUUAUUCUUUUUGUUUCAUUUUCUUCACUCUUGAGUCAUAGGAACACCGUACUGUUAAAGGGGGUCGAGGUAGCACUACAGAAUGAAUUUCCUCAUGAUGCUCAACCCAAGCCUAAUCCUACCAAAAGCCUCAAGUGAGGAAUAUGAGAGACAUGAGGACUCUCAUAGUUGAUGGUCUCUACCGUUGCCGCAAUUCGCGCCACAUCACCGAUCUUAUCCACACCAACGGUCACAUUAUUUAAGGGCAUUAAUGUCAAAUCAUGUUGGGAUGCUUCCAGGCUAUAAAUAGCCGCCCACCCACAACCAUUAGCUGGUUGGCUGCUUCGCAAGAAACUGACACUUGUCAUUUAGAGCAACCCAAAUUCCUCAGAGUCUUCGAGAGUAAAUCAUCAGUGAGGAAAUACCCCAAACAACAAACCACAAACCAAAAACCAAGUGAUUGAGCAUCACUGAAGAAUUUGUUCCUGUGUGGAACUGAAGCCUUUUACCUUUGAGGACUGUGCAUCCUCCAGACGGUUAGACGUCAUGGUCUACAGCAAUCCAGCAGUCAAAUUUUGUGAGGGUUUGGAAGUCUGCCUUGAAGACUUACCACGAGUGUUGGCGAGGACUGUGUGUCCUUAGCUCAAGGAGAAUACGGUAGGGACUGUGUGUCCCAGGACUGUGUGUCCUUUGGUUUCAAUACCAAGCCGCUCCAAACUAGACGUACAACUGUCGCAGUAGUUGGAACUGGGUCAUCAACCAUUGUCUUCACUGUGAUACAGGUUCUAUUUCUUCACCUCUUUCAAUUCCUCAAUAUUGUAUGUUGAAGAUUUUCAUUGUCACUGUUUGAAGUUUUUGCUGAAGACUUUCUCUGAAAUUCCUCAACCUCAAAUUCUUCACACGAGUUAAUCCUCACCUGCUUUCUCCGUGCCUGCGUACUGUGCAAACUGUUUUUCAUAUUCCUCAUCUUGAAAACUGUUGUAGUGAUACUUUGCACCCCUGAUCCUUUGCUGUUUCCGCUGCAAGUUAGUCAUGAGUGAGGAAUUUCCUCAAAAGCAAUUUCCUCAGUGAUGAAAUUCUAAAAAUCUCCUAUUCACCCCCCCCCCUCUAGUCGAUAUAAUGCACUUUGAAUUUGUAUCCUAGCAAGGUACUCCCUUGUUUUGUGUGAUUUUGGUUUAACCACCUGCACUCUUAGUUAUGUCGACUGCAGGCAUGAUCAAGGUUACUGGAGGAUGUCCUACUUUCAAAGGAAUGGACUUUCCCUUUUGGAAGACCAAGAUGCAGAUGCAUCUACAAGCUAUUGACAAUGAUCUCUCGUAUAUUGUGGAACAUGGUGUUCCCCUCAUCACUGCUAGUGUCUCUACCGCUGAUGUGAAGAAAUUCAAGAAAAUUGAUUCUCAAGCAAAAAAUAUCAUUUGUGGCCAUCUGAGCAAAGGUCGGUAUGGUAGAGUGAGUGCUUUGGGCUCAGCAAAACUAAUCUGGGAAAGGCUAUCCAAAGUCAAUGAAGGAGUAUCAACUCAGCGUGACUCUCGUGUUGAUGUUCUUCGCAAUCCCUUCAAUCGAUUCAAGAGGCUUGACAAUGAAAGCUACCAAGAUACCUUUGAUCGCCUCACUGACAUAUCAAAUGAACUGCAAGCACUGGGAGCUCGAGACAUUACUGGCCAUAAAGUUGUGAAGAAUCUGCUAAGAUCUUUGGAUUCUUCAUUUGAUACUUUGGUUCUGAUGAUUCAAGAAAGACCAGACUACAAGAUGCUUGAUCUGCUGAUAUACUCGAAAGACUCGAUACUCAUGAAUUCCAACAAGAAGAAAAGAGAUGUCUAUAUGGACCAAGCUAUUCUAGACCUCGUGCACUGAAGGCCAAAGCAAUUUCCUCAUCUGAAGAAGAAGACUCGGAUUGCAGCAUUGGUGAUCCUGAAGAACUUGGACUCGAGCUAGCAAUUCUCGUGAGGAAAUUCCAGAAGUUUACAAGACGUGGCCAGUUUGGUAAAUCUUCAAGAAGAGAUAUGAGGAAAUCAGAAUCUUCAUCUCAGGACUACAAGAAAAGAACAUGUCACAAAUGCAAGAAAUCGGUCACUAUAUUGCUGACUGUCAUCGUUGGGUGAAGGAAUCAAAGAAUAAGAAAUACAAGGAUGAAAGUCCUGAUGACUUGAAGAAAAAGAAGAAAUCUUCAAAAUCCUCAUCCUCAAAGUCCUCAUUGCACAAGAAGACAAGUUUCAGAAAGGCUCGGCACUUAUUGGCAAGGAAAUAGAUUCUGAGGCAGAAUCUGACGAAUGAGAUGAAGAGGAGGGUUUUGGAGAAGACUCAGAAUCUGGACACGCUAGUCUUGCACUAGCAACCACAUUCGUCAGCAAUUCAAUCUUCAACCUUGAAGAAAAUGACAACGCCAUCCACACUGAUGACUAUGCUGAUGACUUCGCUCCAACCUAUUACUUCAUGGCAAAAGGUUCAAAGGUACCGAAUGAUGCUUCCUCCUCUGAUUCAAGUGACUGUGAACCUGAUGAUUAUAAAAAACCCAAUUACAGUAAACUUGCUAUCAUUGCAACUAAACAACAAACUGCCCUUGAAAAGCUUCAGAAACUGCUACACACAAGUGAUGACCUGUUGAAUGAUGAAAUGAAUCGUACCCAAAUCCUCAGUGAAGAUAUGAAAAGUCUUCAGUCUAGAUUUGAUAAUCUUCAAGAUCGUCAUGGCACACUCCUCGCUGAUCAUGAGAAACUUUCCUAUGAAUUCCUUCAAAGGAAACUUGAUAUUGAAAAGCUGAGGUUGUCUCAUGAUGAUCUUCGAAUGGAAAAUGAUUCAUUACUCACUCAACAGAUCAGUGCCGCUCAUGUUGAAUUCAUUCCUCCAUGUCUUAAAUGCAUCGAACGUGAAACUUCCAAUUCUUCACCAGAAUCAUCAAAUGCUUCUAUGGCUACAAAUUCUUCAACUGCUCAUGUGGUAUCAAAUUCCUCACUUGAGGAAACCACAAAUGUUACUGAUGAAAAUGCAAGACGGAAGGAAUUGUAUGUGACAGGCAUGUACAAAAGUCUCAAAGGGCACCAAACCCUUUGCGAUGUGCUCAAAAAGCAGAUUUUGAAUAGGAACCCAAGGAAAGAAGGAAUUGCCUUUGAGAGGAAACUGAAUGUUGAUGGAUCAUACUGGAAACCUGAGCAGUAUCCCAAAACCUCAUGGGUUGCUGCUAAAGGGCCUCCUGUUGAUCCAUCCAAUCUAACAGGAUUUGCAUGUGAAUUAUCCUAUUCCUCGGAUGAGUCAUUUGACUCCAACUAUAAACUGUUCAUAAAUCAAUCUGGUGAAAUAUUUGCUCGAUAUGUUGGAACUAACUGCAGGAAUGGACCACCCCUGAGGAAAAUCUGGGUCCCCAAAAGUUGCCUCGAAAAUCUUCAGGUGAAUGUCCUCAUGACACCACCUAUGAAGAAUCUGAACCCCAGAUCAAAUUCCUCACGAGGACCAAAGUCUUCAAGAGGAUCAAAAUCCUCAACUGGUCAAAACUAUGUUCGUACUCGUGCUAAUGCUACUGAAAUGCAGGGAAAUUACAAGGGAUAUGAAUAUGAGCAUUACUCCUCAAAUCAUUAUGUUCAUAAAUCCUCAAAGAACUUCUCUGCCUAUUCAUUUGAGUACUCUAACCCCCCUAAUUUAAAGAGAAGUGUAUUAGCUUCAAUGCCCCCUUUAUCAUAUGGUGCUCGCGGGAUGAUGAAUUCUUUACCACCCCUUCAGAUGUGGGUGGUGAAGAAAUUGAACUAAUCACUUCUGCAGGACAUGUCUCCAGAUGAAAAUCAUCAUCUGAAGAAUUUUCUCGAGACCUGAGGAAAAUGCUUGAUAGGACGCAAGCUAACAUUGAUGAAAUAAAAAACAUUUCACACGUCCUCACAAUUACUAUUUAUUAUGAAAUUCCUAUCUGAUGAAAUUGAUAUCAUAUUCUUCAAGUCUGAAGCAUAUGAGAUGGUAAGCUGUACUAAUUCAUCUGCAGGAUGACAAACCCAACAGUACUGAGUGGGUUCUUGAUAGUGGCUGCACACACCACAUGACUGGUGAAAAAAGCUUGCUGAUGAAUAUGCCACUGACUCCAUCACCCCUGAAGCAAAUCACUUAUACUGACAAAGGUAAAAGCAAGGUAUUGGGACUUGGCAAAGUGGCUAUUUCCAAGGACAGGCACAUGGACAAAGUGAUGCUUGUUGAAUCCCUUGGGUUUAACCUCAUGUCAGUCUCAAUGCAUUGUGGUCUUGAUAUGGUUGUUAUCGUUGGAAAAUAUAGAUGUCUUGUCAUCAUGGAAUCUGACAGAUCCAAAGUCUUCGAAGGUGCUAGAAGAGGGGAUUUGUACAUUGUUGGUUUCUCUACAGGUCCUCAACCAGCCACAUGCUUACUAGCAAAAACCUCAGAAGGAUGGCUGUGGCUUGUGAGUUAAAUUCCUCAAGGACCACCUUUGCGGGGCUUGUGAGUCUGGAACAAUGACUAGAUCCAAACACCCCUUGAAGACUAUCAUGACCACUACUCGUCCAUUUGAAUUGCUUCACAUGGAUCUAUUUGGACCUAGUCAUUAUGCCACUCUAACAAAUGCAACAUCUUUAUACGACUUUGUAAUAGUUGAUGAUUAUUCCAGAUACACUUGGGUGCACAUCAUUAUGUAUAAAAUUGAAGUGCAAGAAGUCUUCAAACGAUUUUCCUCAAGGGCCUCGACGAACUUCGGCGUCAAGAUCAAACACAUCAGGAGUGAUAAUGGAACAGAAUUCAAAAACACUGGUCUUGAUGAUUAUCUUGAUGAACUUGGUGUUACUCAUGAAUUGUGUGCUCCUUAAACUCCUCAGCAGAAUGGCAUCGUCGAAAGAAAGAACAGGACUCUGGUUGAAAUGGCACGGACCAUGCUUGAAUAAUAUCAAACUCCUCGUCGUUUCUAGCCUGAAGCAAUCAACACUGCUUGCCAUAUCAUCGACAGGGUAUAUCGUCACAAAUUACUCAAGAAAACCUCAUAUGAACUCCUCACUGACAAGAAACCCAAUGUAAGCUAUUUCAAAGUCUUCGGUGCAAAAUGAUGGAUUAGAGAUCCUCGCCAUAGCUCAAAGUUUGCACCUAAGGCACAUGAGGGUUUUAUGCUUGGUUAUGGAAAGGACUCGCACACCUACAGAGUCUUCAACAACUAUCACAACAAGGUUGUUGAAACUGUAGAUGUGCGGUUCGAUGAAACUAUUGGCUCGCAAAGAGAGCAAUUGCCUCCUGAUCCAGAUCAAUUGUCUCUUCACAAACCAAUCAAGCACAAAACUACUGAAGACAUUGUUCCUACUAAGGAAAUUACUGAAGAAAUCACUCCCAAUACUGAUGAAUAUCAAGAAGAUGCUCCUAAGGAAAUUUCUCCAGAACAAAUUCCUCAACCCAGAAGAAAUCCUCAACCAGCUCAUCCGAGGAUUGCAAAUGAAGUAGAACUUGACAAAAUCCUCGAUGACAUUGAAAGGAUCGAUAUGGUUGACUAGAGGGGGGUGAAUAGGCAAUGACCACAUUUUAAUUCAUCUUAGCAAGUUAGGGUUAGCAAUAUAAAGGUUCUCUAAAAUGUCAACAAGGAGGUGAACCUAUAUGAUGCUACCAACAAAAAUAACUAAGACAAGUAAGAGAUAGACAACAACAAAAGUACACACAAUGUAAAGGUUAGAGAUAACCGCAAGUGGAACCAAUGAAGACGAGGAUGUGUUACCGAAGUUCCUUCCCUUUGACAGGAAGUGCGUCUCCAUUGGAGCGGUGUGGAGGCACAAUGCUCCCCAAUAAGCCCCUAGGGCCACCGUAUUCUCCUCACGCCCUCACACGAUGCAAGGUACCGUGAUUCCACUAUAGGUGCCCUUGAAGGCGGCGACCGAACCUUUAAAAACAAGGUUGGGGCAAACUCCACACAAAGCUUGGAGGCUCCCAACAAGACCACAGAGCUUCACCACAAUGGAAUGUGGCUCCGAGGUGACCUCAACCGUCUAGGGUGCUCAAACACCCAAGAGUGACAAGAUCCGCAAGGGAUUAGUGGGGGAAUCAAUUUUCUCUUGGUGGAAGUGUAGAUCUUGGCCUUCUCAAACAAUCCCUAGGAAAUCAACAAGUUUGAUUGGCUAGGGAGAGAGAUCGGGCACUUUUGAGCUUAGGGAGCAACAAUGGAGCUUGGGAGGGUCAAAGGUAGGGUUCUAGAGCAAGAAGAACCCUUUAUAUAGUGGGGGGGAAUCCAACCGUUUUCCCACUCACAGCCCGAGACCGCUGGCUGCAGCGGUACUACCGCUAGCACUCCAGGGGUACUACCGCUGGCUGUAGCGGUACUACCGCUGGCUGUAGCGGUACUACCGCUGGCUGCAACGGUACUACCGCUGAGCCCAUGGUAGUGUAGAAGCACUACCGGGCCAACCACCGCCAAGAAAGUCUUCGCAAAAAGUCCGAUGAAGUACAGCCGCUAGGAAGGCGGUACUAAGUUCCUGGAGCGGUACUACCGCUGACCAGGGGCGGUACUACCGCCAGCACAGGGGUACUACCGCCAGUUCUAGCGGUACUACCGCUAGGGACAACGGUACUACCGCUAGGAGAACUUUUUGCAAGAAGAGAUAAAACAGAGACGGGAACAGCUCCAAAGUUGCAGGGAGAGGGGAAGGAGAUAAAGUGUGUGCGUGCAAAGUUGAUUCCUCCCAAACCUUUCCACUAUGGAUCCCCUCUUAAUAGUACGGCGUUCCUAUGACUCAAAGAAAGAGAAUUAUAGAGGACACCGUGCUUCUGUUCCACGAAGGGUGCAGAAUCGUCUUGUGUCGUUGACAUCUGUUAUCUGAAAGCUUAAUGCACACGAUUAGUCCUUUACGUUAUUGUCAUCAAUCACCAAAAUUACUUAGGCAUAAAUAUGCCCUAACAAUCUCCCCCUUUUUGGUGGAUUGAUGACAAUACCGGAUUUGCACAGUAGAUAGCAUGUGAACAUAAAGAUAAAUAAUUGAGAUAAUUGAAGAGCAUAUGACUCACAACAUAUGAUAAAAAUAGGUCUCACAAUAAAACCAAGUCUCACAUCACACGUAGCAAAGAUAGCAAACACGAUCAAACCAAGUUCAAAGCAAACACAAUAAAGAUAAGCAAAGCUAAAGCAGAACGCAAAUCCAGCUCCUAGACUCUCUCCCUCUUUGUCACAAGACACCAAAAAGGGGCACACCUAACGACACAGGAGGUCAGUCCGCAUCCUCAUCAUCCCCAGACGCGUCUGUGGCAUCCGGAUCCUGCUCGUCCUGCUCCUCCUCAAUGCCUCCUCAGAAGCCUCCUCCUCUGCAUCAGACCCAGUCCACUGAUAACCUUGAGCCCGCAUCCAAUCAAACUAUGCAGUGAUGUCGUCCUCUGAGCCGCUUGAGAUAGCUACAUCAAGGGUCCUUAAGACACGCUUGUGCCUCUGACGGUUCUCCUUCUGGGCCACAUGAGACUUAUAUUGUCCCUUGGCCUGCAUACAAAAGAGAGUCUUCAUUUGAUCCUUCAGUUUCACUACCCAAGAUGGCAUAGCAGAAGAGCGGGUCUGUGAAGCAGGUCCUCCUCCAGCAGCAGUCUCUGUGUCCGUGUCCAUGUGCUGAGAAGAAGUUGAUGGGUUGGCCCAUUUGUCUUUGAUACGGAGCUUGACAGGAUCAUGCACAAAAUAGUUAGCCUGAAUAGGGAAGGGAUCUACCACAUAGACCUCGUGCCACCUCUUCUGAAUAUAGGCAAACAAGUAGGGCCCAUAGAUGGGAACCUUGCGGUUCAUGAUGCAGUUCCAGAGCUCAUUGAACAUCACGUGGGCAAUAUCGAGAGGCGCAGUAUCCUUAGUCCUAGCCUCCUCACAUAGCAGAAGCAUCUCAGCUAGAUGACCAUGCACCUCGACAAAGUUGCCAAUACGAGGGAAGAGAGAGUUGCGGAAGAUCCGAUGCAUGAUAUCCAAAUGCUUGGGGAGCACACCUUUCUUCACGUAAAGUUGUUGCAGCUUGUCCUUGGGGUGGCAAUAGAUGAAGAAGGAGCAUGAGGACGCAUCCCAAGAGCAUUUUCGUCCCCCUGAAAGUCGACUUUGAGAAACUGCAUGAACUCUCACCAGGAACCUGUCAUCUUCUGAGUACCGGUCAUCCAAGUCAUGGUGUGCACGUCAUCAGGUGCAAAGUGAACAAUGACAUAGAACUGGGCCACAACAUCUGGAUCAAAGUCUUGUCUAAAGAUGAUGAUCUCUGUAAGGCCAAGAUUUUCAAUCAAUGAGAGAACCUCACCAAAGUAGUCCGGAUUCCGCCGAAGGUGAGCAAGGUCAAUCCACUCCACUCGGACAAAUAUCUUCUUGAAGGGCUUGAUGAUGUCGUGAUAGAUCAUGAAGUGAUCCCGUGACCAAACAUACUCGAUGUUCUUGAUCUGAGCUUUGUCUUCAAGAUAGUGAUUGCGGGUGCGAAAUACCAGAAAACCCUUAGGGGGCAUAGUGCGAACGUUGAUCCCUUUGUUCUUGGUAGCAGUCUUCUUGAAGGACCUCUUCUUGGGAGUCAAACCGGAAGUGGCGGAACCCUCUGGAGCCUCUGAAGUGCGAUACUACUUCAGUUGGGUGUUACGUGCGAGAUUAGAGCGGCGAGCACCACCUGUGACACACAAGACACACACACCAAAAAGAGCGACAGGAGGAGUCAAGGCAAUGGUGAAAAGAAUCAUAAGAAGAAACACACAUUGCCAAAACACAAAUAAAAAGAAACGAAAAUAAGAAAAAUAUCCUCCUGGCGAUAGUACCGCCACCCCUAGCGGUAGUACCGCCGGGGUCCGGGCGGUAGUACCGCUACCCCUGGCGGUAGUACCGUUGGGGUCCUGGCGGUAGUACCACUAGGGAGUUGACUUUUAGAUCUGAAUAUGAAGAAACUCACAAAAACUGCUAGAUUUGAUUCAAGAGAUCCACAGCUAGUACAUAAACUCACUACAGGAAACACCACAGCCCUAACACAUGGGGACCUCAAGAACAUCUAGAACGAGACACGCCUAGUCAAAAGGAUUCAAGUUUUAAAUCUAAUCCAAGAGAAGUAUGAUAAGAACUACUCGAUCUAAAACAUGAAGAACUAGGGAAUGUCAAAAUAAGUGCAAUGAAUCAUAAACCCUAAACUCCCCUAAUAUAUCUCCUUCGUUCCAUCCAAAAACGAAGCACAAAUCAUGGCCAUGGAUCCAAAUCACCAAGCUCCUAUCCCUAUAAUAAGAAAAUACCAAUCAAGAGAACAAGGAGAGGAGCUUUACCGGCGUCCAUGGCACUUGACGGAGGAAGAAGGAGAGGAGCAAGCUCUCCAACUCAAGGGAGAGAAGGGGCUCCGCAAAGAGAGAUCCAAACAGGGGGAGUUCGGAGUAGAGGAAGGGAGAUCCACGAGGAAGAAGACACACGGCAAAAAAGGGCUCCCCUCCUUUUUAUAGCCAAGGGGUACGGGCCCAGCGGUAGUACCGCUGGGUCCUAGCGGUAGUACCGUUGUCCUAGCGAUAUACCGCUCCCCCUGGCGGUAGUACCGCCAGGGUCCUAGCGGUAGUACCGCUCCCCCUGGCAGUAGUACCGCUCCCCCUGGAGAUAGCCCUAAAAAGCCCUGGUCAAGUCGUGAUAGGCUCGGGUCCUGGCGGUAGUACCGCUACCCCUAGCGCUAGUACCGCUGGGGUCAUGGCGGUAGUACCGCUACCCCUUGCGGUAGUACCGCUCGGAUCCUGGCGGUAGUAUCACUACCCCUGGCGGUAGUACCGCUCAAAAUGACACAACGAGACAUAGGAUUUUGUGGAAAUGACGAGGGCAACGACUAGUCAGUGUAAUAAAAAGAUAACACCAGCAAGGUAUACUGACUAGUCAUUUUGUAUCCUUUCUUCCAUAUGAGAGAAAGGUGGGGGCGGUGGCCGAGGCCACCUAUGUUUGAGGCAAAGGUAUGACACCGCAAAGAAUUAUCCUUGGGUUCAUGACCAACGCUCGUCUUUGAAGCACAAGUGCCAUUUAGUAAUGGCCAACGUGAAAGACUUGAUCGAUUUAUGCAUAAUGGGGGGAGGGAAAGUUCAUUGAGAGAACAACACUCCCCCUAUGUCCAUGCCUACACCUAGAACAAGAUGUAAUGCAUAGUGAGGUGCAAAGUGCCUAGUUUCAAUCCACACUACUUGAAUCAAUGAUAUUUAACUCAUGCCUUAACUCCCGGAACCUUGCUUCAUCUAGGGGCUUAGUGAAAAUGUCUGCAAGUUGCUCUUCAGUGUUGAUGAAGUGAACCUCAAUAUCACCUUGCUUGAUAUGUUCACGAAUGAAGUGAUGGCGAAUAUCAAUAUGCUUGGUCUUGCUAUGUUGCACCGGAUUGAGGGAAAUCUUGAUAGCACUUUGAUUGUCACAUAGAAAAGGCACUUUGUCACAAGUGACACCGUAAUCCUUUAAAGUUUGCCUCAUCCAUAGCAACUGUGCACAACAACUUGCAGCUGCCACAUACUCAGCUUCGGUGGAUGAUAGUGAGAUACAAUUCUGCUUCUUUGAAGACCAACUUACCAGUGAGUGACCAAGGAAUUGGCAUCCUCCAGAAGUUGACUUCCUCUCCACACAAUCUCCUGCCCAAUCUGAGUCAGAAUAGCCCACUAGGUUAAAGUUUGCUCCUUUGGGAUACCAUAGACCAAAGUUUGGGGUAUGAUCCAAAUAUCAAAAGAUUCGCUUAACAGCCAUAAAAUGACUUUCUUUUGGUGUGGAUUGAAACCAUGCACAAAUCCCUACACUCAACAUAAUAUCCGGUCUAGAUGCACAAAGGUAAAGGAGGGAUCCAAUCAUGGAGCGAUAUACCUUUUGAUCCACUGCUUUACCAUUGGGAUCACUGUCAAGCUUGCAUCUUGUUGGCAUGGGGAACUUGACCGGCUUGACAUCCUCUAGCUCGAACCUCUUGAGCAUGUCUUGAGUGUACUUGGCUUGCUUGAUGAAGGUCCCUUCUAAGCCUUGUUUAAUCUCGAAUCCGAGGAAGAACUUCAACUCACCCAUCAUAGACAUCUCAAAUUUCUCAAUCAUUAGUGCAGCAAAUUCUUCAUUGAAAGAAACAUUAGGAGAACCAAAAAUGAUAUCAUCAACAUAUAUUUGGCAUAUGAACAAAUCCCCUUUAACCAUCUUAGUAAAAAGAGUGGGAUCUAUCUUCCCAAUUUCAAACCCACGAUCUUGUAACAGCUCAGUAAGGUACUCAUACCACGCACGUGGGGCUUGUUUAAGGCCAUAGAGUGCCUUAUUAAGUUUGUACACAUGAUUGGGGAGCUUGGGAUGUUCGAAUCCCGGGGGUUGUUUGACAUAGACCAACUCAUUUAAAGGAGCAUUGAGAAAAGCACUUUUCACAUCCAUUUGUUGUAAUCUGAAAUUAUGAUGUGAAGCAAAUGCAAGCAGCAUGCAAAUAGAUUCUAGACGAGCAACAGGGGCAAAGGUUUCACCGUAGUCGAUAUCCUCGACUUGGGGGUAGCCUUGAGCCACCAAUCUUGCCUUGUUUCGAAUCACAAUCCCAUUGGCAUCUUGCUUGUUUUUGAAAAUCCAUUUGGUCCCGAUGACAUUAUGUUCCUCCUUUGGUCUUGGCACUAAAUCUCAUACUUGAUUACGCUCGAAGUUGUUGAGUUCUUCAUGCAUGGCCAAAAGCCAAUCCUCAUCAUCGAGCGCUUCCUGUACCCGUUGAGGUUCACAAUACGAAACAAAUGCGUGAUGCUCACAAUAAUUCCAAAUUUGUUGACGAGUGGAUACUCCCCUUUUCAAACUUCCAAGCACAUUCUUCAUAAGAUGUGACUUGACUCUUAGCUUGUUCCAAUCUUGGCUGCGCGACGCUCCAAGAGUUCUGCACUGGAUAACUGGGGAGCAUCGACUUUAUUACUUUGCUUGCCCUUGCGUUUUGAACCUCCCUUGGCACCAGUAGCCCUUUUUGGCGCAGCAGAAGGGAAUUGAGAGACAAUAUCGUGAUCAACUUGAUUUUCGACUUGAGUAGGUUCAAUGGUUUGUCCUUGUUCUUGUGGUUUCUCUUGAUCUUGAUCUUGUGCUUCUAUUGGGUCUGGAUCUUGUAGUUGCACUUGAUCUUGAUCUUGAGCAGCUUCGGAACCUUGGUUAAGCGCUUGUACAUCAUGGGACACAUCACCAUCUUUGGGAAAUUGAUCUUGUCCUUGAGCUUGUUCAACUGGUUGAGGGUCUUUUCUUUGUUCAUCGGAAGCAUGUGGGGCUUGUGAGGAUGAUGGCUCCACUUGAGUAGAGCAUUGUCCUUCUCCUUUGGCCACAAGGGGUUCCUCAAUGGGGAGUAUUUGACCAAUCCCCAUUCUUCUUAUGGCUUGGGGAGGAAUUUCAUCACCUAUAUCACAAAGACCACUUUGCUCCACUUGGGAGCCAUUAUUUUCAUCAAACUCCACGUUACACGUCUCCUCAAUGAGCCCGGUGGACUUGUUGAGGACACGAUAAGCAUGAGAGUUUGUAGCAUAACCAACAAAGAUGCCCUCUUGUGCUCUAGAAUCAAAUUUAGCUAAACUUGCACCUUUCUUGAGAAUGAAACACUUACAACCUUUCUUGCAGUGUCCAUUAACGUCCGGUUCUUCCUUUCCGCCACACCAUUUUGUUGAGGGGUAUAUGGUGUUGAAUAUUGAUGUUUUAUUCCCUCAUCACCUAGAAACUCAUCCAAGGUGUAGUUCUUGAACUCGGUGCCGUUGUCACUUCUAAUCAUCAAAAUCUUUGCUUCAUGUUGACGUUGAGCUUCAUUAGCAAAGUUGAUGACAUUUUGUUGAGUCUCACUCUUCCACUUGAAGAAAUAUACCCAGGUGUAUCUUGAGUAGUCAUCAAGAAUCACCAAGCAGUACUUUCUACCCCCAAGACUAUCAAAUGAUGGAGGGCCGAAAAGAUCCAUAUGAAGGAGCUCCAACGGCCUCUUAGUGUAAAUGAGAGUCGUUGGACGAUGAGCAGUUUCAUGAAUCUUUCCUUCAAUGCAGGCAUUGCAAGCACGAUCUCUGGCAAAACUCACAUUCGUUAGUCCAUGAAUAUGGUCCCCUUUGAGGAUACUUCGCAAAGAUCUCAUAUUGACAUGAGCUAGUCGGCGAUGCCAAAGCCAGCCCACAUCAACUUUAGCCAUUAGACAAGUCGCAGUCUUAGUGGGUCGCUUUGAAAAGCUUACCACAUAGAGAUCGUUUUCGACAUAUCCAACAUAGGCUACUUUAAGAGUCUUGCUCCACAAAAGGACCGCAGUAUCAAGAUUAAAGAAUGUGGAAAAACCCAUAAUUGCAAGUUGACGAACCGAAAGUAAAUUGUAAGCAAGGGACUCAACAAGCAUGACCUUCUCAAUAGAUAACUCUUGAGAGAUGACCACCUUACCAAAUCCCAAUACCUUUGACGAUGAUGCAUCGGCGAAUUGGACAUGGGUGGGCAUAGAUGGAGAAGGAUGCACAUCCACCACUAAGUCCUUGCUUCCGGUCAUAUGAUUUGUUGCUCCACUAUCGAGCAACCAUGACACCCCACCGGAAGCAAACUCCUGCAAUAGAUCAAGGCUUGGUUUUAGGUACCCAUUUUUGAAUGGGUCCUUUAAUGUUAGAGACAAGGGUCUUAGGAACCCAAAUAGCCCAUUCAAUGGACUCAUAGUAAGAACCAACAAAUCUGGCAUAAACAUACCCAUCACUAGCACGACAUAAAACAUAGGAAGGAUUGAGUUUGCCGGCUGUGUUGGUAGGAAUGGUUUUUCCCUUCUUGACGCUACCAUCAUCCACCUUGUUCCUGCUCACCUCCUGAGUCCCUUCGCCCUCUUUGACAAAGAUGUCCAUGAGGGUAGGGGAUCGUUUGUUCCUGUUCUUCCUUUUUCUUUUUGACUUGGAUGUAAGUCCAAGUCCCUCCUUUCCUACCACACCCUUUUGAUUGCUCAAGAGGUCGUUCAGGCUCUUCUCACCUUGGAUGCAUGACACAAGGCCCUUCUCAAGUUUCUCCUUCAACUUGGCAUUUUCCUCCACAAGAUGUACAUGCUCACAACAAGGGUUAGUUGUACAAGCAUUAUCAAUUAAAAUGAAAGGAGGACACGUAGAGAUUUCCUUGGUAAGCUUUGCUUGGAGUUGAUCAUGAGACUCUUUCAGGGAGAAAUGAGCACCUUUCAAGACCUUGUGAGCCUUGUCAAGUGUGUCAAACUCCACUUUGAGUCUGUCAUGGCCAACGCCAAGAGCAUCCUUUUCAGACUUAAGCAUACGAGUAAGAACAGUAGCAUGAUCUAGUUUCUUUUGCACUUUAGCGCAGUCAUCGUUGUAUGACUCCUCAAGAGCCAAACAAAGAGUGCGCUCCUUUUCUAGUGCAAUAGAUAGUUCACCAAUCUCAUCGGCAUAGUCACAACUAUGUCCUUGAAGCUCGGAGAUGGUCUCCUCAUGAGACUCGAUGAGGUCAUUAGCCUCACCCGGUUGUUCCAAGAGAGCAACAAAGUGCUUCUUGGGUUCUCCGUUGAUCGUGCACAGAAAUUUGUCAAGAUCAUGUUCAUUAAGUUCCACAACAUCACUAUCAUCAACACAAUUCAAUAAUGAAGGAGCAGUAGUGAUGUUGGUCUUAAUGAUCAGGGUUACCUGAUUGAUACCUUUGGCCAUGAGGCACUUGGCGAUGUGGUUCUCGUUGGGGGCGUUGAAGAGAGACACCUUCUUGGGAGAAGGGGUGGCAAUGGUGACAGUUGCAGUUGCCACCAUAUCGUCAUCGUCAUCAUCAUCGGAGGAGUACUCUUCAAGUGCCACCAUACCCUUUGGGUGGGGUUUCUUCACAAAGUUCUUCUUGUUUGGGAAUGACUUGGUUUUGUCUUUGCGAAUGAGCUUGCCCCCGUUGUCUUCCCUCUUCUCAUAGGGGCAUUCUGCCACGAAGUGACUCACAUUACCACAGUUAUAGCAUGUCCUCACUCGUUGCUUGGAUUUGAACCCACUUGAGUUGUUCUUGGUGAAGUUGGGUCUUGAGUUCCUCUUGUUGCCCCAGAAUUGCCUUGACGCAAGAGCCAUGUGCUCGUGAUAAGCAUACUUAGUGUCUUCAGGGCAGCUCUCUUCUUCCUCAUCCUCUUCUUCUUCUUCAGAAGCAGCUCUUGCCUUUAAAGCAAGGUUAGGUGAAGUUGUCUUUGAACGAACUCGAGCAAGUGCAUUGUCGGCUGUCUCGUUCAUGAUUGACAUUGCAAUGAUUUCAUCCAACACCUCACUAGAAGACAAGGAGUGGAAAUCUGGUCGUUGGCGAAUGACUGAUGACAUGGCUUUGUUGAAAGGCAUGAUGGCCUUGAGAAACUUGCGCUUGACCCAUGUAUCAUCCACAUCCUUGCUCCCAUGGUCCUUGAGAGUCACAGCAAUAGUAGUCACUCUUCCAUAGAGAUCACGAGGGUCCUCAUCUUCCUUCAUCACAAACUCAUCAGCCUUAUCAAGUACCACUUCAUAGUUGGACCGUUGAAUGCUUUAGCUUCCCUUGUACAACACCAUAAUGUGCUCCCAACAGUCCUUAGCCAGAGUGAAGGGGCGCAAGUGAGGAAGAUCUUCAGGAGGUACUGCGGACUAGAGAAUAAACAAGGCGGAGUGAUUAUAUUGAUUGUCCGCUUCUUCUCUUGGGGUGAGGUUGCUUGGGUCAUGGGGAUAGUAGCCUUGCUCAAUGAUUCUCCAUAAAUUUUUUGAGCUGUGAUUCAAAUGAGACUUAAUAGAAAAUACCCAGUUAGCAAAAUCACCCUUUACAAGCUUGGGAGGAGGGCCAACAGGGUCAAGACGCGGUGUGGGAACCGGUCCUCCAUAGACCAUGGGUGGUGGAACUGAGGCAUAAGUUCCAGUCCCAUCAUUUUCGAGAGGAGGAGAAGGUUGCAUACCUUUAGCUGUUUCCUUAGAGGAAUUGGCCUCCGAAUCUGUGUUGGCGGGUUUAACCACCAACGCCGGUUCGGGAGAACCUUUAAUCCCCUCAAUUAACUCUUUAAGCAUGGUCCUGACUUCGUUCGUCAAGGACGUCUUGAGUGCGGCCAUAGCCGUAUUCAAGUCGUCCCUUGUGAUCGAAGUCAAGUCCAUGGCCUCGGGUUGCACACGGGGAACUCCCUCAUCAUCUUCCAUACUCUUCGGGUGGUGAAACCCUAAAUAAAGAGACGUGGCUCUGAUACCAAUUGAAAGGAUCGAUAUGGUUGACUAGAGGGGGGUAAAUAGGCAACGACCACUUUUUAAUUAAUCUUAGCAAGUUAGGGUUAGCAACAUAAAGGUUCUCUAAAAUGUCAACAAGGAGGUGAACCUAUAUGAUGCUACCAACAAAAAUAACUAAGACAAGUAAGAGAUAGACAACAACAAAAGCAUGCAUAAUGUAAAGGUUAGAGAUAACCGCAAGUGGAACCAAUGAAGAUGAGGAUGUGUUACCGAAGUUCUAAAAGUGCGUUAUAUCGACUAGAGGGGGUGAAUAGGAGAUUUUUAGAAUUUCAUCACUGAGGAAAUUCCUUUUGAGGAAAUUCCUCACUGGUGACUAACUUACAGCGGAAACAGUAAAGGAUGAGAAGUGCAAAGUUUCACAACAACAGUUUUUCAGUAUGAGGAAUGUGAAAACAGAUUGCACAGUGAGCAGGUACACAGAAAACAGAUGAGGAUUAACUAGUGUGAAGAAUUUGGGGUUGAGGAAUUUCAGAGAAAGUCUUCAGCAAAUUCUUCAAACAGUAACAGUGAAAGUCAUCAACACAUAAUCUCAGGAAUGUAAGGAGUUGAGGAACUAGAACCCGUUUCACAGCGAAGACAGUAGUUGAUGACCGAGUUCCAACUGUUGUGACAGUUGUACAUCUGGUUUGGAGCGGCUUGGUAUUGAAAUCAAAAGACACACAGUCCCUACCGUAUUCUCCUUGGGCUAAGAACACACAGUCCUCGCCCAACCCUCGUGGUAAGUCUUCAGGGCAGACUUCCAAACCCUUACAAACUCUGACAUCUGUUGGUUUCGUUGUUAAUGAAGCUGACAAAUGUGUAUACUAUCGCCAUGGUGGGGGCGAAGGAGUUAUAUUGUGCUUGGAUGUUGAUGACAUACUGAUUUUUGGAACCAACCUCAAAGUAAUUGAGGAGGUUAAAUCUUUUCUGUCUCAAAACUUUGAGAUGAAGGACCUUGGGGUGGCUGAUGUUAUCUUGAACAUCAAGCUGUUGAGAGAUGAUGAGGGUGGGAUUACACUUCUGCAAUCCCACUAUGUUGAGAAGAUUUUGAGUCGCUUUGGAUAUUCAGACUGCAAAAUUUCUCAAACACCAUAUGAUCCUAGUGUGCUUAUUCGAAAGUUUAAAGGCACAGCUAUAGAUCAAUUGAGAUUCUCUCAAAUUAUCGGUUUGCUUAUGUACCUAGCUAGCGCAACAAGGCCUGACAUCGCGUUUGCUGUGAGCAAACUUAGCCGGUUUGUUGCAAACCCGGGCGAUGUUCAUUGGCAUGAUGUUGAAAGAACUAUGCGCUACUUGAAAGGUACUGUCAACCACGGGCUUCACUAUACGGGAUACCCAUCGGUACUUGAAGGGUAUAGUGAUGCGAAUUGGAUCUCUGAUGCUGAUGAGAUGAAGGACACUACUGGGUAUAUGUUUACUCUUGGGGGUGGUGCAGUUUCCUGGAAGUCUUGCAAGCAAACGAUCUUAACGAGAUCGACAAUGGAAGCAGAAUUAACAGCAUUAGACACAUUUGGUGUCGAAGCAGAAUUUCUUCGAGAUAUUUUGAUGGACCUACCUGUGGUUGAGAAGCCGGUUCCGGCUAUCCUUAUGAACUGCGAUAAUCAGACGGUUAUUGUCAAAGUGAAGAGUUCAAAGGACAAUAUGAAGUCCAACAAACAUAUAAGAAUGAGAUUGAAGUCUGACAGACGUUUGAGAAACUACGGAGUGAUAGCGUUGGAUUACAUCCAAACGGCUAAGAAUCUGGUAGAUCCCUUUACUAAAGGGCUAUCACGUGUUGUGAUAGAUAGUGCUUCGAGGGAGAUGGGUAUGGGAACCACGUGAGUUGCCAUGGUAGUAACCCAACCUAUAUGAUCGGAGAUCCCGUGAAGUAGGACCUGGGAAAACAAGCCAGUGGUGAACUGAGGAGAGUAACUUUACUAACCCACUCCAAGAUGCAAUGCUCUCAGAUCCCUAUAUGAUCGGAGAUCCCGUGAGCAUUGGUCGGAGAUCCCGUGAAGUAGGAUGACUACUGUCUUAAUGUGUUCUAAAUCUUAUGUGUAAGCAAGAUGCUGUCCUACAGAGCGAUCUUUGGAGGAACACACCUAUAUGAGCUUGACUGCUGGUCACAGUCUAUGAGAUUUGGGUGAUCUCUAGUCAACUCAUGAAUAGGCGAGGAGUGUGACUAAUAUGCUCCACCCGAGGGGUCACCUUCGGCAGUCUAGUACUAGUAAGACUUGUGGUGAAGCUCCUUUACGCCAAACUGACAAUUCAAGGCAUAGUCCAUUGUUCAGUUGUAAAGCAGUGUAGCUGCUUGAUCUAGGUGAAGCUCAACCUUAACAGGUCUUCACUGAAAUGCUGGUAUAUUAAAACAGUGAUUGGAACGAAGGAACACGAUGUGCCCUUGAGAUCUGGUGGGGGAUUGCUGAAAUUAGUGAUGGGCCUUAGGCCCAUAAGACAAUUUCAGAAAAAUCUCCAAGGGCCCAUGUAGGUGGUGGCAUGACAAGGUGGUGGGAAGUUUAGUCCCACCCCGCUAGUGGAGGAGAAGUUGGACCCCUUUAUAAGGGUCUCUCUUCCACAUGCUAUUGGAGAGUGAGAAGAGAAGGUGCCCUCGCGCACUCCUCCUCCACCGCCUGCCUCGCCACGCCACGCCUCGUCACGACGCGCCGCGCCGCGGGUUUCGGGAAUGAGCCGAGCCAAGCUCAUACCUACGCGCUUAUUUUUGUCGGUCAGGAACGGAGAAUACGUAACGGACACGGCAUGAUCCGAGAAAUCGGAUCGUGGGCUGUUACCGACUCGGACGUGGGUUCGGCCCACGUCUCUCCGUCCAGUCGCCUAUAUAAGCAGGCUAACGCCUACCCUAGCCGUCACGAGAAUCAUAUCACAUCUGCCUCACGCGUUCGUUCCUUUUGCUGCUACUGCCGCCGGCGACUCCGUCCCGUUUACCGCGUACAUGGUCGACGGGAGAGCAGGCCUCCGAAACCUCGCCUCUCCGGUUCCUGUACGGGAGAGGGGCGAUUAGGUUUUUGGGGAGUGAUCACGCGACUGCUCGCCUCCGUCUGUGUGCUUCGUCUACGUCCACGUCGCCCUCGUCAUCGCCAUGUCUUCACCAAGCGAAGCUAACCGUCUCGUCCGCGAGAAGGCCGAAGCCGAGAAGAAGGCGGGAGAGGAUGCUGCCGCCGCCACCGCUGCUGCUACGGCCAAUUGGUCGAUCGGAGGGUAUGAUAUGUUUAUCUCUCUCCUGUUUAUGUCUGCACUAGUAGUACUGCCUAUAUGCGUAGAUGUUUCUGCUAUAUGCGUAGUACUUGCUAGUAUACUCCGUGAUCAGUAUGUCAUGAACCUAGUCAAUGCCAUGUUAGUAAUUAUUUCAUGGAUUAAUCUUCUCGGAAAAUUGCCUAUUUACUCAACAAUCCAAAAACCUAAUGUGUGUAGGAAUUUUUCGAUUAAUGGUUUUGCUGCUGCACUGAAACCGGAUAAGUUUACUGGUACUUAUUUCAAGCAUUGGAAAAUGAGAACCACCUUAUGGCUCACGGCUAUGAACGUGUUCUGGGUAGCCGGUGUCACUCCUACGGAAACUAUCACUCUUGAACAGGAGAAGAUGUUUAAGGAGGCCACCGUCCUAUUCCUUGGAGCAGUCAUUAGCGUGAUCGAAGAUAAGCUGGUUGAUGCAUAUUCACAUAUGCAUGUUGCCAAGGACUUUUGGGAGGCGCUCGAAUCUAAAUUCGGGGCCACCGAUGCUGGGAGUGAGAUGUAUGUUAUGGACCAGUUCCACGAUAACAAGAUGGUUGACAACCGUUCUGUAUUGGAACAGGCUCAUGAGAUAAUAUGCAUAGCUAAAGAACUUGAGGUUCUUAAGUGCAAUUUGCUGAGCAAGUUUUUCGCGGGUUGUAUAAUUUCUAAGGUCCCUAAUUCUUGGAGGAACUUUGCUACUACUCUGAAACAUGAGAGGCGUGAGUUCUCAGUAGAGGACAUCAUCGGCAUCUGAGUGUUGAGCAGAACUCGAGAGCAAAGGACUCCAAUGGAAAAGCGGUGGAAAGCUCUUCUGCUGCCAAUAUGGUACAUCAGAGGAACCUCAAUUCCCACAAGCCCAAGGGAAAGAAUUCUGCCCAACAGAAUACUGACUUCAAGAAGAAGGGAAAGAAGCCCUUCAAGAAGAAUAAGAAGGGAGAUGGUUGCUAUACUUGUGGUUUAGAGGAACAUUGGGCAAACAAAUGCCCAAACAAGUACAAGAGGCCGACGCAGGACUCCAAGUCUGCCAAUAUGAUUGUGGGCAACAAUGAAAGUGGUGCAUCUGGGUACGGUAAUUUACUUACUGUAUUUACAGUUUGUCAGUCCACCGAUUGGUGGGUGGACACGGGUGCAAAUAUUCAUGUGUGUGCUGACUUAUCAUUGUUCUCUUCUUAUCAGGCCACCGGUCACGGGUCCGUAUUGAUGGGGAAUGGCGCGAGUGCUUCUGUUCUUGGUGUUCGCACGGUCGAUCUAAAGUUUACUUCGGGAAGGAUCGUGCAGCUGAAGAACGUGCAGCAUGUCCCCGCCAUCAAGAAGAACCUCGUUAGUGCUUCCCUUCUGUGUAGAGAAGGGUUUAAGUUGGUAUUCGAGUCUAAUAAAGUAGUAGUUACGAAAUAUGGACUUUUUGUUGGAAAAGGUAAUGAGUGCGGAGGUCUGUUCCGCCUUUCCCUCGCAGAUUUUUGUAAUAAAGUCGUGAACAAUAUUCAUUCGAGUGUUAAUGAAUCUGAAGUUUGGCAUUCACGUCUUUGUCACAUAAGUUUCGGUGUUAUGUCGCGGCUAGCAAAACUGAAUUUAAUCCCGACUUUCACUUUAGCCAAAGGUUCUAAGUGCCAUUCGUGUGUGCAAGCAAGACAACCUCGCAAGCCUCACAAGGCUGCAGAGGAGAGACACUUGGCACCAUUAGAACUCAUACAUUCUGAUCUUUGUGAGAUGAAUGGUGUGUUGACUAAAGGUGGAAAGAAAUAUUUCAUGACAUUGAUAGAUGAUUCCACUAGAUAUUGCUAUGUGUAUCUGUUAAAUACUAAAUAUGAGGCUCUACACUACUUUAAAAUCUAUAAGGCAGAAGUUGAGAAUCAACUUGAAAAGAAAAUUAAACGAGUCUGGUCUGACCGUGGUGGAGAGUACUUCUCAAACGAGUUUGAUUCCUUUUGUGCGGAACACGGCAUUAUUCAUGAGAGGACGCGUCCCUAUUCACCCCAGUCAAACGGGGUUGCCGAGCGGAAAAACCGUACUCUAACUGAUUUGGUUAACGCCAUGUUAGAUACAUCGGGUUUAUCCAAGGCAUGGUGGGGGGAGGCUAUAUUGACCGCGUGUCAUGUCCUCAAUAAGGUUCCUACAAAAGAUAAUGAAGUCACUCCUUAUGAGGAGUGGUCGAAGAGAAUGACGACGCUCUCGUACUUACGUACUUGGGGCUGCUUGGCGAAAGUCAAUGUACCGAUCCCCAAGAAGCGUAAGCUUGGACCAAAGACUGUGGACUGCGUUAAUUUGGGAUACGCUAAGAAUAGCGUAGGCUAUAGAUUUCUAGUAGUGAAAUCUGAGGUACCUGACGUGAAGGUCGGUACAAUAAUGGAGUCGAGGGAUACUACAUUCUUUGAGGAUAUAUUUCCCAUGAUAGAUAUGCAAAGCACUUCUAGACAGGAAUCUGAGAUAACUCCUGAGCCUGCCAUUCCUAUCGAAUACUAUGAACAAACACAUGAUGAAAAUCCUGAGGAGGAUGACGAGGAAGCCCGUGGUAGGGGCAAGAGACAAAGGACUGCAAAGACCUUUGGUGAUGAUUUCUUCGUAUACCUUGUGGAUGAUAAUCCCACUUCUAUUUCAGAAGCGUAUGCUUCUCCAGAUGCUGAUUACUGGAAAGCUGCGGUCCAUAGCGAGAUGGAUUCCAUCAUGGCUAACGGGACAUGGGAAAUCACUGAUCGUCCCUAUGGUUGUAAACCAUUGGGAUGCAAGUGGGUGUUCAAAAAGAAGCUUAGGCCCGAUGGUACGAUUGAAAAGUACAAGGCUAGGCUUGUGGCCAAGGGCUAUGCCCAGAAAGAAGAAGAAGAUUUCUUUGAUACUUACUCACCUGUGGCUAGACUGACCACCAUUCGAGUACUACUCUCAUUGGCGGCCUCUCAUGGUCUUCUCAUUCAUCAAAUGGACGUUAAGACGGCUUUCCUGAAUGGAGAGCUAAAUGAGGAAAUCUGUAUGCAACAGCCAGAUGGCUUUGUGAUAGAAGGUCAGGAAGGAAAGGUGUGUAAGUUGCUGAAAUCUUUAUCUCGCCUGAGACAAGCACCUAAGCAAUGGCAUGAGAAGUUUAAUACAACUCUGACAUCUGUUGGCUUCGUUGUUAAUGAAGCUGACAAAUGUGUAUACUAUCGCCAUGGUGGGGGCGAAGGAGUUAUAUUGUGCUUGUAUGUUGAUGACAUACUGAUUUUUGGAACCAACCUCAAAGUAACUGAGGAGGUUAAAUCUUUUCUGUCUCAAAACUUUGAGAUGAAGGACCUUGGGGUGGCUGAUGUUAUCUUGAACAUCAAGCUGUUGAGAGAUGAUGAGGGUGGGAUUACACUUCUGCAAUCCCACUAUGUUGAGAAGAUUUUGAGUCGCUUUGGAUAUUCAGACUGCAAAAUUUCUCAAACACCAUAUGAUCCUAGUGUGCUUAUUCGAAAGUUUGAAGGCACAGCUAUAGAUCAAUUGAGAUUCUCUCAAAUUAUCGGCUCGCUUAUGUACCUAGCUAGCGCAACGAGGCCUGACAUCGCGUUUGCUGUGAGCAAACUUAGCCGGUUUGUUGCAAACUCGGGCGAUGUUCAUUGGCGUGUUGUUGAAAGAAUUACGCGCUACUUGAAAGGUACUGUCAACCACGGGCUUCACUAUACGGGAUAUCCAUCGGUACUUGAAGGGUAUAGUGAUGCGAAUUGGAUCUCUGAUGCUGAUGAGAUGAAGGACACUACUGGGUAUAUGUUUACUCUUGGGGUUGGUGUUGUUUCCUGGAAGUCUUGCAAGCAAACGAUCUUAACGAGAUCGAUAAUGGAAGCAGAAUUAACAGCAUUAGAUACAUCUGGUGUCGAAGCAGAAUUUCUUCGAGAUAUUUUGAUGGACUUACCUAUAGUUGAGAAGCCGGUUCCGGUUAUCCUUAUGAACUGCGAUAAUCAGACGGUUAUUGUCAAAGUGAAGAGUCCAAAUGACAAUAUGAAGUCCAACAAACAUUUAAGAAUGAGAUUGAAGUCUGUCAGACGUUUGAGAAACUCCGGAGUGAUAGCAUUGGAUUACAUCCAAACGGCUAAGAAUCUGGUAAAUCCCUUUACUAAAGGGCUAUCAUGUGUUGUGAUAGAUAGUGCAUCGAGGGAGAUGGGUAUGAGACCCACAUGAGUUGCCAUGGUAGUAACCCAACCAAUAUGAUCGGAGAUCCCGUGAAGUAGGACCUGGGAAAACAAGCCAGUGGUGAACUGAGGAGAGUAACUUUACUAACCCACUCCGUUGGAGAUGCAAUGCUCUCGGGUACUGUAUGGUAGCAUGACUACUGUCUUAAUGUGUUCUAAAGCUUAUGUCUAAGCAAGAUGUUGUCCGACGGAGCGAUCUUUGGAGGAACACACCUAUAUGAGCUUGACUGCUAAUCAUAGUCUAUGAGAUUUGGGUGAUCUCUAGUAAACUCAUGAAUAGGCCAGGAGUGUGACUAAUAUGCUCCACCCGAGGGGUCACCUUCGGCAGUCUAGUACUAGUAAGACUUGUGGUGAAGCUCCUUUACGCCAAACUGACAAUUCAAGGCAUAGUCCAUUGUUCAGUUGUAAAGGAGUGUAGCUGCUUGAUCUAGGUGAAGCUCAACCUUAACAGGUCUUCACUAAAAUGUUGGUAUAUUAAAACAGUUAUUGGAACGAGGGAACACGAUGUGCCCUUGAGAUCUGGUGGGGGAUUGUUGAAAUUAGUAAUGGGCCUUAGGCCCAUAAGACAAUUUCAGAAAAAUCUCCAAGGGCCCAUGUAGGUGGUGGCAUGACAAGGUGGUGGGAAGUUUCGUCCCACCCCGCUAGUGGAGGAGAAGUUGGACCCCUUUAUAAGGGUCUCUCUUCCACAUGCUAUUGGAGAGUGAGAAGAGAAGGUGCCCUCGCGCACUCCUCCUCCGCCGCCCGCCUCGCCACGCCUCGUCACGACGCGCCGCGCCGCGCCGCGUCGCGGGUUGCGGGAAUGAGCCGAGCCGAGCUCAUACCUACGCGCGUAUUUUUGUCGGUCAGGAACGGAGAAUACAUAACGGACACGGCACGAUCCGAGACGUCGGAUCGUGGGUUGUUACCGACUCGGACGUGGGUUCGGCCCACGUCUCUCUGUCCAGUCGCCUAUAUAAGCAGGCUAACGCCUACCCUAGCCGUCACGAGAAUCAUAUCACAUCUGCCUCACUCGUUCGUUCCUUUUGUUGCUGCUGCCGCUGGCGACUCCGUCUCGUUUACCGUGUACACAGUCGACGGGAGAGCAGGCCUCCGAAACCCCGCCUCUCCGGUUCCUGUACGGGAGAGGGGCGAUUAGGUUUUUGGGGAGCGAUCACGCGACUGCUCGCCUCCGUCCGUCUGCUUCGUCUAUGUCCGUGUCGCCCUCGUCAUCGCCAUGUCUUCACCAAGCGAAGCUGACCGUCUCGUCCGCGAGAAGGCCGAAGCCAAGAAGAAGGCAGCAGAGGAUGCUGCCGCCGCCACCGCUGCUGCUACGGCCAAUUGGCCGAUCGGAGGGUAUGAUAUGUUUAUCUCUCUCCUGUUUCUGUCUGCACUAGUAGUACUUCCUAUAUGCGUAGAUGUUUCGGCUAUAUGCGUAGUACUUGCUAGUAUACUCCGUGAUCAGUAUGUCAUGAACCUAGUCAAUGCCAUGUUAGUAAUUAUUUCAUGGAUUAAUCUACUCGGAAAAUUGCCUAUUUACUCAACAGCUAGGCUGUUUUUCGGUUGUCUAACCAUGCGUGGGAGCGAAGAUAACUCCAAACACGUUUUCGUAGACGAGGGGAGACUUGCUGUAUCCAUUUCCCUCUCUGGCCAAUGAUUUGAGGACCUAGCAUCAGAUGGUCUAUCGUGGCCUUUUUCUUGAUAAAAACGUAUAAAAUAAAGCGUAGAUGAGACAAUGUUUAGCGAGGAACUUGUGGAAGGCCUGGGCUGAAGGCCGGUUUGGACCGCCGUUUUCCUUUGAAAUAUACGUGUAAAUAAUACACGUAUCGCCCGUCGUUUCUUUUCCAGAGGUAAAUUGCUUACACCGCGCUUGGAUUGUUGGUGAAAUCUUACAAACGUAGAUACUUACAAUUGUAUAUUAUCAGUGUCCAGUAAUAUGCAACCGACGGUAUUUUCCGCUUGUAAAUUCCCAUGUGUGGAGAGUUUUCUGAAAUUUGAUGCCGAAACUCUACCAUCAAGACGAUGACGCUGUAACAAUCCUCCGCCGCCGACGACCUCCGCGCGGCCCUCUCCUCCUCAAGCUCCCGCAUCGGCCUUCACUUUCGCUUCGCCGCCUACCUUCAGCCUUUCUGCCCCACCUGCCCAUCGCGAACCCUGCCCAAGCCACCGCCGAAGAGGGCGACCAAGCAGGCCAAGCAGAUGCAGCAGCCGCUGCGGCCCCCCGGUGCGGCUGUCGUCCGCCCCCUUGCGAAGCGCUUCCGCCCGUUCCUCUGCAGCAUGCUCCAGCUCCUCCUGCCGCUCCUCCGCCUGAACCCUAGCGACGCAGGCGACGCGGAGGGCCUCGACGUGCGGUGUGGUGGAACGCCAUCAUGUCACCCUCUCGUGGACACCGACGCCGGCGCCUCCGGGCGGCAAAACCUCGAUCUGGUCUUGAGCAAGGGCGAGGUGGGGAAAAGGAAUCUCGAUCUGGUCUCGAGCGAGAGGCGAGGUGGGGAAAAAUGACGGACGUUGAUCUGUAUCAAAUACCGGCCUAAUCCGGGUGUAAACGAGAAAACUGAUGUAAAGCUUACAGCCCAAAAACGACAUGCCAACAAGCAACGUGAGGUCCAUCCGUUUAGCUGUAUUGGGCCUCAAAACGAGGAACCAAGCGGGGCCUUAGCACCUGGUGAGAUACACGUGUAAGUGAAACACUUCUGUAUCAAAUUAUAUCCAUUCUAAAGCGCGUUCUAAGACUACUCACAAUGAGGAGUAACAUAGAGUAGUAACAUAUAUAUGUUACUAGUCUAAGUUACUACCUCCAAAGUGGAUAAUAACAUAGGGGUAAUAACAUUGAGCAUAUCAUUUAUUAGGCUAUAGACUCAUCUUGCCUUGAUAUCCGCUGUGUUACUCAUAGAGGUAGUAACAUGCUAAGUUACUCAAUUUCUCUCUCUUCUCAUUUAUUAGUUGCCACAUCAUACUUUUUGCUUACGUGGCACUUAUGUUACUACCUAUGUUACUCCCAUUUUGUGUAGUCUAAGGAUGCGCGCUGCCGGAAAGACCCCGAUCUUGCGCUCUCAAUCGCCACCAGCUAAUCCCGGUUAAGAGAUCUCAAACAACAGCCGCACAAUCGUUGCACGCAUUAAAAAUAUUUUGCAACGUCGAAAUAGCUAUUUUUAGCGCGUCGAAGAGGGCUGGCUCCAACGACGGUCGCAAAAAAAAUGCACACGCGCUGCAAAAAACGGCACGCCCGUCCAUCAGAAACAACAUAUGACACUUCAAACAAAAUUAAUUAAAAUCAAACACAUAAAAAUAAUCAACAAGAAAUAGUUCAAUUUUGGACAAAUAGUUUAUCUUCCAAUACAAUAAAUAGUUCAACACUACAACAUCAAACAUACAAAUCAUCAUUCGUUUUUUCAACCAUUCCAUGUUCACCACUCCUCGAUUAGAUCCUUCUGCAGAUCAUUAUGUGUUUGGUCACGUCGAAUGGCAUGAUAGGAGGCAACAAAUCGGGCCACCCUCGCAGUGUUGGGGAAUGUCGCAUGGGAAACAAAAAAAAUUCCUACGUGCACGAAGACCUAUCAUGGUGAUGUCCAUCUACGAGAGAGGAUUUCCGAUCUACGUACCCUUGUAGAUCACACAGCAGAAGCGUUAAGAAACGCGGUUGAUGUAGUGGAACGUCCUCACGUCCCUCGAUCCGCCCCGCGAACCGUCCUACGAACCGUCCCGUGAUCCGUCCCACGAUCUAGUGCCGAAUGGACGACACCUCCGCGUUCAGCACACGUAUAGCUCGACGAUGAUCUCGGCCUUCUUGAUCCAGCAAGAGAGACGGAUAGGUAAAUGAGUUCUCUGGCAGCGUGACGGCGCUCCGGAGGUUGGUGGUGAUCUAAUCUCAGCAGGGCUACGCCCGAGCUCCACAGAAACGCGAUCUAGAGGUAAAACCGUGGAGGUAUGUGGUCGGGCUACCUUGAAAAAGUUGUCUCAAAUCAGCCCUAAUAGCUCCAUGUAUAUAGGAGGAGGGAGGGGAGGCUUGCCUUGAGGCUCAAGGAGCCCCAAGGGUUGCGCACCAAGGGGAGGAGGAGUCCUCCUCCAAUCCUAGUCCAACUAGGAUUGGAAGGUGGAGUCCUUCUCUUCCUUCCCACCUCCUUUUUUUCUUUUCUCUUUGAUUUUCUAUCUAUGGCGCAUAGGGCCUUCUUGGGCUGUCCCACCAGCCCACCAAGGGCUGGUGCGCCACCCCCAAGGCCUAUGGGCUUCCCCGGGGUGGGGUGCCCCCCCCCCCCGGUGAACAUCCGGAACCCAUUCGUCAUUCCCGGUACAUUCCUGGUAACUCCGAAAACCUUCCGGUAAUCAAAUGAGGUCAUCCUAUAUAUCAAUCUUCGUUUCCGGACCAUUCCGGAAACCCUCGUGACAUCCGUGAUCUCAUCCGGGACUCCGAACAACAUUCGGUAACCAACCAUAUAACUCAAAUACGCAUAAAACAACGUCGAACCUUAAGUGUGCAGACCAUGCGGGUUCGAGAACUAUGUAGACAUGACCCGAGUGACUCCUCGGUCAGUAUCCAAUAGCGGGACCUGGAUGCCCAUAUUGGAUCCUAUAUAUUCUACGAAGAUCUUAUCGUUUGAACCUCAGUGCCAAGGAUUCAUAUAAUCCCGUAUGUCAUUCCCUUUGUCCUUCGGUAUGUUACUUGCCCGAGAUUCGAUCGUCAGUAUCCGCAUACCUAUUUCAAUCUCGUUUACCGGCAAGUCUCUUUACUCGUUCCGUAAUACAAGAUCCCGCAACUUACACAAAGUCGCGUUGCAUGCAAGGCUUGUGUGUGAUGUUGUAUUACCGAGUGGGCCCCGAGAUACCUGUCCGUCACAUGGAGUGACAAAUCCCAGUCUUGAUCCAUACUAACUCAACGGACACCUUCGGAGAUACCUGUAGAGCAUCUUUAUAGCCAUCCAGUUACGUUGUGACGUUUGAUACACACAAAGCAUUCCCCCGGUGUCAGUGAGUUAUAUGAUCUCAUGGGCAUAGGAAUAAAUACUUGACACGUAGAAAACAGUAGCAACAAAAUGACACGAUCAACAUGCUACGUCUAUUAGUUUGGGUCUAGUCCAUCACAUGAUUCUCCCAAUGAUGUGAUCUAGUUAUCAAGCCACAACACCUUGCUCAUAGCCAGAAGACCCUGACUAUCCUUGAUCAACUGGCUAGCCAACUAGAGGCUUGCUAGGGAUGGUGUUUUGUCUAUGUAUCCACACAUGCAUCUAAGUCUUCAUUCAAUACAAUUACAGCAUGGAUAAUAAACGAUUAUCUUGACACAUGAAUUAUAAUAAUAACUUAUUUAUCAUUGCCUCUAGGGCAUAAUUCCAACACGUAGAACUCCACCGCACUCGCACGGGAUGUACGGAGAGCUCAUACUGAGAGUAGUAUAAAUCUUGGCCACGCUCAUUCUCGAUGAUCAUGUUAUGCAUGAUCACACAAGCGUGCAUGAUGUACCAAAAGAUCUUUUAAUCCCAAAAUCUAGCCAGUCCUCUCACAAUAGCAAAUUGGGCUUGCAAAAUCCCAAAAGCUUUCUCCACAUCUUUCCGAGCAGCCACCUGAGCGUUGUGGAAAUCUAGAUUUUUCUUACCUUCUUCACAAAUGUUUGCCAUUUUGGAUAGAUGCCAUCCGAAAGAUAGUUGCUAUAGUUGUAUGUAUGGCCAUUAGCGACAAACUUCACCGGUGACAGUUCACCAUUUGCAAUCUUAUCCAUGAGUGGUGACCGAUUAACAACGUUGAUCUCAUUUACAGAUCCAGGCAUUCCAAAAGAAAAAGCAUGCCAAAUCCAAGUCUCUUGAUCGGCCACCGCUUCAAGGAUUAUAGUGUAACCCUUUUUCUGACCGUGGAAUUGCCCAUGCCAUGCCUUAGGAUAGUUCUUCCAACUCCAAUGCAUGUAAUCUAUUGAGACAAGGAUACCUGGGAACCCACGAGCUUUGUUCAUCUCCAAUAGCCUUGCGACGUCUUCAACAUUGGGAGAUCUCAAAUACUCCGGGGCAAACACUUGCACAAUUCGGACUGCGAAGCGCUUGACACACAUGACGGCCUGAAUCUCACCCAUGGCCAAGUGGUCAUCAACUAGAUCAGCCGGAAUACCGUAUGCUAACAUACGCAAAGCGGUUGUCACCUUUUGAAAGGUGUUAUGCUCGAGUUCUCGGGCGGCAUUCCUCCUUUGCUGAAAAAACUGAUCAUGGCUCGCCAGUUUCUGUGCAAUGCGCCUGAACAACUCGGUGCUCAUCCUAAAACGACGCCUGAAGUAGGACUCGGGGUAUGUGGGAUUCUCCACAAACUAGUGACUCAGCAAUCUGUUGUGGGCAUCACUAUUAUCCUUCCAAAUUUUCUACCGACCCAUAACCAAACCACCGUGCUCUGGCUUUUUGUUGAUGUGCAUAGCUAGGAUCAUUGCAAGGUCCUCCUCCUCUUCAAUAUCAAAUUCUUCUUCGAAAGAAUCAUAUGACGAACUCAUCUACAAUAUUGAAUUUAAACCAGUCUAAAAAACUACAAAAAAUGUGCAUCAAAUUCAUGUAAAAAGGAUGAAGUUGAAGCAAUACAUACCUUGCAAGCGUUUUGUCGAACACCUUAUGGGGGUCGAGCGGCAAUGGGCGGCCGGACGUUGUUCAGCGGAGGAAUGGCGUGUGCGAGGUGAGGCGGCAAGUAGAGGGAGACGAAGGAAGCAGCGGCGGCGCGGGGAUAGGCCGGGGAAGCGUCGUCGGGUCGCCGGAGCAAAUGAGGUGACGCGGGUGGCGACCCCAGCGCCUGGAUCAAGUGAUGGAUGAAAGUCGCGCAUGAGUCAUUGAUGUCCAGCGCACAAGAGCGGGCACUCGAAAAAAGAACGCGUGAUGCCAUUUCGCCCCGCGCGCUGAACCAUUUAUGAUGCACACGCAUUUUUUGCGCCUUCACUAGAACGACCCAAGCGGUUGCGCACGCGUAAAAAACUGUCUUUUUUCAGCACGCGCUUAUAUACCCGCGCUGAACCAUUUAUGAUGCGCACGCAUUUUUUGCAUCUUUACUAGAGCGACCGACGUAAAAAACUGUCUUUUUUCAGCACAACUGUUUGGAGAUGCUCUAAGAAGAAUCGAACAGCAGCGAGAAAGUCACACGAGACGUGAGGGGGAAUGAAUAACACGCACACGUGGGCUGAAUCAGAUUUGUAUUACACGUGAUCUCAUUACGGUGCAAUCGAGCUAAGCAUAAACUUAACGUAUUCAGAUCAGGGCGUAAUCUCGAACCAAACACAUCAUCAAUGCUGAGUUAAAUGCUUAUUCUCAUGUUCAAUGCUUUUAUUCAAUAGGCAGUCCACGUUCUGCAAAAGCAAUAGCACCUACAAGAUGAUACCUGGCAGGCAUACGGAGUCUUUACAGUAGGCACAGUAUCUCUACGAUCAGAUACAUCAAGCACCAAAAUACGUGAUUUACCAAAAAUGUGCAAAAGAAAAAAGAAUAGAUAAGAAACAGUUGAAUACAUGUUGACAUUUCAAAGGGUUUCACCCGAAAUAAUUUACAGAGAUUCCCAGAUGGAUGGUAUUAGACUUUCGUUGGCCAUGUUGCUUGAGCUGACAUGAUUAUACCCACGAUCACUCCAAAGAGGCCCAAAGCACUGCCAAAGAUCUCAAUCACCAGGAUCUUUACAAAGAGUGUUGAAUUCUGGGCAUCAGACAGUGCACAGCUGCUUCCGAUUAUUCCCACGCAUACCCUGAAGAUUCAAAAUUUGAUCAUCUUCAGCAAUGGAUCAUGAUAUGUAUGAAAAUAAAAUGUGAAUUCUACCACUUACCCGCAAACAAGAUUAGCAAAGCCGACAAUAAGACCUGAGGCAAAGAUUGCAUAACCAGCUCGCAUAGACUCUGGAUCAUGCAUUCGGGAUGUUGGCACACUUUCAAGCUUUGUUUGGAGGAUGAUUGCCACGAUUACACCAUAAAUUGCAACGGCCUCACAGAAGAUGACACUGGCAAAGGAGAUGCAUACGUGUCGAAAGUUAAAAGGAAUAUCCAUGAUAUGCAAUCAGAAGAGAAUUAACGUUAGAUAAAAUUCCAAUAUAAAGCUAGAUGCAGGCAUUAGCCAACCAGUUUUGCUAAAAUUCCAAUGUGGUUUUGGUUGCUUGCCUCGAAAGAAGCAUGAAUCAGCAGAUGCAAGCAUAAACCCAUCAGAUGUUUUCACAAGAUCCACAUGCAGCCAUAAGCAUUCUAGGCCAGACAUGGAACUUAUUUGAGAAACCAAACUUCAACAGCAUCUUGGCACAAUCAGGGGCCAUCCUCGUAUUAAUUAUAGAGGUCUAACCAAUUUAUCUGAGCUCGUUUAUUACCAAAUCCCAAAAACCAGUAAUCCAUGUGUGCAUUGGCUCAGCCAUUUACAAAUAACCAUGGUGAGUUGAAAUGAGCAAACUGACUAAAAGGUUGUAGCUAAAAACAAAUGUUUUCACAAGAUCCAGAUGCUGUCAAUGCUGCAAAAGGAUGGUUAUAUCGAUGAAGAUGUGAGCCAUCGAAUCAAAGUUGGAUGGAUGAAGUGAUGCCAAGCUUCUGGCAUCCUCUGUGACAAGAGUAUGCCGUAAAAGCUAAAUGGCAGGUUCUAUAGGGCGGCGAUUCGACCUGCACUGUUGUAUGGUGCAACAGCGCAUGGCCAACUAAAAGGCGACAUGUCCAAGAGUUAUGUGUAGCAGAGAUGCGCAUGUUGAGAUGGAUAUGUGGCCACACAAGAAAGGAUCAGGUCCGGAAUGAUGAUAUACGGGAUAGAGAUGGGGUAGCACCGAUCAAAGAGAAGCUUGUCCAGCAUCGUCUGAGAUGGUUUAGGCAUAUACAACGCUGGCCUCCCGAAGCGCCAGUACAUAGCAGGCGGUUAAAGUGUGCUGAUAAUUUCAAGACAGGUUGGGGUAGACCGAAUAUAACAUGGGAGUCCGUAAAGAGAGAUAUUAAGGACUGGAAUAUCACCAAAGAACUAACCAUGGACAGGGGUGCGCGGAAGUUAGCUAUCCACAUGCUAGUACCAUGACUUGGUUUGUUACUGUUGUAAUUGUUGUUGUUGUUGUUGUUGACUACAUCUGUAUUAUUGGUUGGACUAUACAGAAUGUGAAAUAUGGUCUUGUCUACUGAAGAAAUUGUGACACUGCAGAACUAACAGUCAACUAAUAUCUCCAAUAUUAUUGAAGCGUAUGACCUAGUGUAUACAUAAUGGCAGUCUAGUUCCCUGAUUACUAUCAGACUAGUGUUUGUUGUUGAAGCAUAUGAUCUAGUGUAUACAAAAUGGCAGUCUAGCUCCCUGGUUACUAUCGGACUUGGUUUGUUAUUGUUGUUGUUGUUGUUGUUGACUAAAUCUGUAUUAUUGGUUGGACUACACAGAAUGUGAAAUAUGGUCUGGUCUACUGAAGAAAUUGGGACACUGAAGAACUAACAGCCAACUAGUAUCUCCAAUAUUAUUGAAGCAUAUGAUCUAGUGUAUACAAAAUGGCAGUCUAGCUCCCUGGUUACUAUCAGACUAGUGUUUCUCCAAUACAUCAUAUGAACUCACAUCCUUCUUCCUCUAACGACAUAGAGGGUGUUUGUGCUACAUCCAAUUGUAGAUGUAGAGCCAAAACACUAGUUUUCCUUUGUUAUACUGCCUACCAUUCUAACGAACAUGCCCUCCAACAAAACAAGAGAAGAAUAAAAGCCACAAACACAGGUUCAAUGACGAAUCAAAUUAUAAAGACAAACUAAGGAACUAGACCAGAUCCCACACGACCACUGUAAGAACUUGAUGGGCCUAACAUAACAGAGGAACCGCAAAACAAACAAAAGAAAAUAAGCCUCCUGCUUUGACUUUCUAUCUAUCAUGAUUCCAGUAGAAGUUGAUAGCAGUAUCUGGCCUUCGUGCGUUGCCAGCAUGCAGAGCGUUUGUCACGACUUACAUAACGGUUAAAUUGGUUUAUUAAAACGAGACGGUUAAAUUGGUUUAUUAAAACGAGACUAAACAAGUGCGAAAUGUGAGGAUUCAGGAUGGGUGACUGACACAACAAUGGACAUACGGACCUAUAUCCAAAUUAGGCGUGUCUGACAUAACCACGAAAAUUUCUUCACAGGCAACAACAAUUGCACGCCCUUGUCUUUGGCAUUUGUUAGAAUAUCAUCAGUGCAUUUACCCAUGGAUAGUUUGCAAUGAGAUAAUGUCCGAUUCUUCCUACUAAGAGAUGUAAGUCAACUAAUCGUAUAAACACCGAAAGUGAUUCACCAUGGAAGGAAUAUCAGCCCCUCCAAGCUAGUUGAAUAAUUUACCAUCAGAAGCAAGGUGGUUUGCUCUACUCAAACAUCGGACGCUUAAUUUCAUGUAACACAAUGCUAACUAACAGAAGAAACAAUGGCCAAUCCAUCUCCUGGACGCAACCACGCAUCAUCAAGUUUAAGGUAGACAAAAGUCAAGAGCUCACAGCCCAGAGCCCACCCACCAAGCAAGGCCAAAUCUAGCUACCGCAGUGCAGAGGAGACGGCGUCGAGACAAAUCAGGCCCACCAGGUUAGCAAGGCUCCAGAGAUUCCCUCACCUGAUGAGGUUCUUGGAGGUGAUCCUGGGCGCCUUGAUGGCGGCCCCGAUGAGGCUGCUCCCCGUGAUGAAGAUCCCCCUGACAGCAGCAAAACCACAGUGGGGCAGUAUGAGAAGAUGCGCGCAGCAGAUCCAGCGAGGCGAUGCCCGGAAGGGGGGGAAGAUUAGGUCUCACCAUGCUGCGCCGAGGACAGAGACGCCGAUGGAGACGGCGAUGCCGAUGGCGGAGAAGGUGUAGGGCGAGAUAUGCACGAGCGCGCGCGCCCACGACGACGAGUAGUCCGACGACAUCCUCCCACCACGAUCUCCACCGGUGCGCGCUCGGUGCUGGAUCGGGGAUUUUCUUUCUCUCUCUUUGGGAUGGUUGGAUCGGUGACUGGGGAAGGAGAGAGAGUCGGGGUGCGAUGGAGGAGAAGAUGUGUGCGUGGUCUGCACGGGGACCAACCAGCCUUGCU
rnacentral:lncRNA from 1 species